ACUGCAAAGCACAAAAACUCAAACUGAAGGCGGUGAAUAGCAUAGAAUAAAACUAAUGGAAAUUUUCAGAUAAUUGUAGUUUUUCUGUCAUUGUAACUGAAGCCUCUAUCAAGAUGGAUUCAUUAAGAGAAGCAAUUCACAACAAGCAGACUUGAAUAACUACCAGAAUGCUUCAGAACAUUGCACAUAGAGUUGUUCAGUUGGAAGAUACUCCACCAAGUUUUGUGCAACUUCAUUGCUCAAACAGUACAAACCUUCCUUUGCUACCUCAAAAAUAUCUUCGUGAUGACAAGAUUUGUUUUUUGUUUCAUACGUAAUAGAUUAGAUAUUGAAGGGGUUAAAAGUCAAAAUUGAGUAGUGAAAGAAGAGAAGCAUAUCUAAAAUUACUAAAAUUUUUGAACCAAAACAUGAAAGUGAUGACCAACAGCUGCGAAAACUCCUCAAUUAACCACAUUGUCUUCAUGGAUAAAAAGCCAAAAUCAAGGAAAAGUGAGCCAGAAAUCCAUCAUAUACGACUCUGAUAGACCAAUUACUAGUCAAAUAGUUCAGAUAAGUAUGCAAGUUCAUUAUCAAGAGACAAGAGGUAAAAGUUCAGUCCCCUUAGAAUCACAAUUUUAAACAGAGUGAGAUGACUUUAGCAAUAACAACUUAAAAUCCACAGAAGCAGAGCAUGUAAUAUAAACAGAACUAGACUGCUAGAUAGGCUAUUUGUAGGAAAUGCAGGCCAAAAGUUAUUGCGGUCUAGCCAUAUAGACGGUGCUGAAGAAGCUUCAAAAUUCUAACCUCUGUUCGUGAAGCUAUUCUUCUAUCAAUCCUACAAAAACAAAGCAUAGAACAGAAUAUGAACAGAGAUACAGUAAAACAUCAAAGCACGAAACAGAACAGGUGCUUGGGGUCAUUCUAAUUGAUAGUUUCAAGAGUAUUACUAUUAUGUUGUAAGGAGUAAAUGAAGAGCACCAAUAUUUUGGACCUAAUAAGAAAUGCUUAUGCCGCAGCUUUGAAAGAUAAUAAAUAGGAUGAUAAAAAGGGAGAAGAGAGAAUUGUGAAGAAAAACCAUGGGGACUUUUUAGGUUUUCUCACGAGAAGGUUAAUCAGAGGGGGAAGUGAAGAGAAGGGGAGAUUGAUUGAUUGUAAAGCAAAUUAAGAAAGAGGUUAUUGAAGGCAAUCUUACUUGAUUGAAUUUGAUCUGAAGAUGAAAGUUGGUUAUUAAUCAACGUAUGCGUAGGUCUUGAAUGUGAGAAACUUUGGACCACUGGGAGUCGGGGCCGCUGCUCUCAGGAGUGCAUCUUUCUUUUAACAGAGGAGAACCAAAAACCCACAGACGUUUUAGUUUGGUGAGACUUCUCAUGGCAUCCUCAGAGGGUAGAUGUCCAAGCUCUUUGAAACCAAAUAACCGCAGCUCUUCAAGAGCAGCGAAGUUUCCGAACCAAUCUGGCAGAGCUUUUAUACCUCCAAAGUCGUAUAGCCAUAGUGACGUCAGAGCGGUCAAGCAUUGGAUCUGAGGUGGCAGGGACUCCAUGUGUGGCAACCCACAUAAGUCUAAUCCACGGGGUGCGGAUGACGAAGAGGAGGAUAUCAAUCCAGACCAAUCAAACUCAUUGUAAAUUGAAGAAUUUUCAUGAUCAUCACCAUCUUCUGAGAAGGGACCAAUGCUAAGCUCCCUUAAGCUGGUUAGGAAACCAAAUCCUUUGGGCGUCAUGCUUGUUUUCAGUUUGGGACACCUGUAUAAUUCCAGCUCCAAGAGAGAAGGCGUUUGUUGCAAAUUGAGCGGAAAGGAGAUAAGAUUGUCGCAAUAAGCCACCCGAAGCUUCUGGAGAGAGGUACAAGAGUGUAGCAUGUCACCUGGCAGAUUCGUCAACCCAUCGAAACGAGCAAUCACUAGCUCUUUAAGAGACGCAAAGUUUUGCAGGGGAAGGAGUUCUCUGCAUCUGUCGCAGCUAUAAAAUCGCAAACGCGCUAACUCGGGGAGUGUUAUUGCUGACUCGGGGAGUGUUGUUGUUGUUGUUGGCAAAUCCAUUAACCAUCGAGGAAAUUGAUCGCCCAUAAAAUUGCAAAUUGCCAACUCCUCCAAAUUUGGGUGGGCUUGAAGGCCAUCUAACACAUCUUCGUCGUUGUAGUCGUCGCCUUCUCGAUCAUCUGCCCACUCAAGUACCAACUCAAAUAGAUUUGCCUUUUCAGAUAGUUUUGCUUCCUCAGCUCCUUCCUUAUCCUUUACUAGUUCCAGAUUGCAUAUCCUCAAACUGCCUUUGAGGUUCUUCAAGCUUCCAAGCUCUCCAAUUCGUCGACCCUUCUCUCGACCCACGUUAAAGAACUCUAGUGUCUGAAGGCAAGUCAGCCGUCCCAUCUCUAGCGGCAUUUGAAAUUUUUUAUCAAAGGUGUGAAAGUGGAGAUGUCUCAAGCUAAUCAAAUCGCACAUCCCCUUCGGAAGAACUUUAAGAAAGUGACUUAGCCUCAGUGUCUGCAAAUUAUAAAGUUUGCAAACAGAUUCCGGCAACGUUUGACUUCUAGAACGCUCAAAGUUGAUGUACCUCAAGUGUCUCAGUUUGCCAAUUGAGAUUGGCAGAUUCUGAUUUUCUUCACCGGACAAAUUCAGAACGUGCAGAUUCUUCAACCUCAUUAGCAUAUCAUCAGAUAAGCUACCCUGACUCAGAAACAAUGUAUGAAGCAAAUUUGAUGGACUCUCAAAAAGAUUUUUUGUGCCUUCUCCAAAUGAGUCUAUUACAAGACAACGAACCUGAUUACUAUUGUCUUCUGAACCAGUCUCCGAAUUAAUGACUUUAGCAGACUUUGACAUUAUUGAUGUUGCGACGUCGUGCACCAUAUCAUGCAUUUUAUAAUACCUUCUCCCAUAUUUUCCUAUUUCUUCCAGCAAAGAACUCUGCAAUAAAAUUUCCAAGUAAUACUCUCCAAUUUCCUCCAUUGUUUUGUUCUCGAGACCUGCAUGGAGGAAACCUUCUGCCAUCCAAAGUUCGAUCAGCAUAUCCCGUUCCAUCUCAGUAUCCUUGGGAAAAAUAGAACAAUAUGCAAAACAUUUCUUAAUGGGUGCUUGGGUCAUUCUAAUUGAUAGUUUCAAGAGUAUUACUAUUAUGUUGUAAGGAGUAAAUGAAGAGCACCAAUAUUUUGGACCUAAUAAGAAAUGCUUAUGCCGCAGCUUUGAAAGAUAAUAAAUAGGAUGAUAAAAAGGGAGAAGAGAGAAUUGUGAAGAAAAACCAUGGGACUUUUUAGGUUUUCUCACGAGAAGGUUAAUCAGAGGGGGAAGUGAAGAGAAGGGGAGAUUGAUUGAUUGUAAAGCAAAUUAAGAAAGAGGUUAUUGAAGGCAAUCUUACUUGAUUGAAUUUGAUCUGAAGAUGAAAGUUGGUUAUUAAUCAACGUAUGCGUAGGUCUUGAAUGUGAGAAACUUUGGACCACUGGGAGUCGGGGCCGCUGCUCUCAGGAGUGCAUCUUUCUUUUAACAGAGGAGAACCAAAAACCCACAGACGUUUUAGUUUGGUGAGACUUCUCAUGGCAUCCUCAGAGGGUAGAUGUCCAAGCUCUUUGAAACCAAAUAACCGCAGCUCUUCAAGAGCAGCGAAGUUUCCGAACCAAUCUGGCAGAGCUUUUAUACCUCCAAAGUCGUAUAGCCAUAGUGACGUCAGAGCGGUCAAGCAUUGGAUCUGAGGUGGCAGGGACUCCAUGUGUGGCAACCCACAUAAGUCUAAUCCACGGGGUGCGGAUGACGAAGAGGAGGAUAUCAAUCCAGACCAAUCAAACUCAUUGUAAAUUGAAGAAUUUUCAUGAUCAUCACCAUCUUCUGAGAAGGGACCAAUGCUAAGCUCCCUUAAGCUGGUUAGGAAACCAAAUCCUUUGGGCGUCAUGCUUGUUUUCAGUUUGGGACACCUGUAUAAUUCCAGCUCCAAGAGAGAAGGCGUUUGUUGCAAAUUGAGCGGAAAGGAGAUAAGAUUGUCGCAAUAAGCCACCCGAAGCUUCUGGAGAGAGUACAAGAGUGUAGCAUGUCACCUGGCAGAUUCGUCAACCCAUCGAAACGAGCAAUCACUAGCUCUUUAAGAGACGCAAAGUUUUGCAGGGGAAGGAGUUCUCUGCAUCUGUCGCAGCUAUAAAAUCGCAAACGCGCUAACUCGGGGAGUGUUAUUGCUGACUCGGGGAGUGUUGUUGUUGUUGUUGGCAAAUCCAUUAACCAUCGAGGAAAUUGAUCGCCCAUAAAAUUGCAAAUUGCCAACUCCUCCAAAUUUGGGUGGGCUUGAAGGCCAUCUAACACAUCUUCGUCGUUGUAGUCGUCGCCUUCUCGAUCAUCUGCCCACUCAAGUACCAACUCAAAUAGAUUUGCCUUUUCAGAUAGUUUUGCUUCCUCAGCUCCUUCCUUAUCCUUUACUAGUUCCAGAUUGCAUAUCCUCAAACUGCCUUUGAGGUUCUUCAAGCUUCCAAACUCUCCAAUUCGUCGACCCUUCUCUCGACCCACGUUAAAUAACUCUAGUGUCUGAAGGCAAGUCAGCCGUCCCAUCUCUAGCGGCAUUUGAAAUUUUUUAUCAAAGGUGUGAAAGUGGAGAUGUCUCAAGCUAAUCAAAUCGCACAUCCCCUUCGGAAGAACUUUAAGAAAGUGACUUAGCCUCAGUGUCUGCAAAUUAUAAAGUUUGCAAACAGAUUCCGGCAACGUUUGACUUCUAGAACGCUCAAAGUUGAUGUACCUCAAGUGUCUCAGUUUGCCAAUUGAGAUUGGCAGAUUCUGAUUUUCUUCACCGGACAAAUUCAGAACGUGCAGAUUCUUCAACCUCAUUAGCAUAUCAUCAGAUAAGCUACCCUGACUCAGAAACAAUGUAUGAAGCAAAUUUGAUGGACUCUCAAAAAGAUUUUUUGUGCCUUCUCCAAAUGAGUCUAUUACAAGACAACGAACCUGAUUACUAUUGUCUUCUGAACCAGUCUCCGAAUUAAUGACUUUAGCAGACUUUGACAUUAUUGAUGUUGCGACGUCGUGCACACCAUAUCAUGCAUUUUAUAAUACCUUCUCCCAUAUUUUCCUAUUUCUUCCAGCAAAGAACUCUGCAAUAAAAUUUCCAAGUAAUACUCUCCAAUUUCCUCCAUUGUUUUGUUCUCGAGACCUGCAUGGAGGAAACCUUCUGCCAUCCAAAGUUCGAUCAGCAUAUCCCGUUCCAUCUCAGUAUCCUUGGGAAAAUAGAACAAUAUGCAAAACAUUUCUUAAUGGCUGGUGAUGGUAGAUUAUCAAAACUCAACUGAAGUAUUUGCAUGACACUGUCUUCAUCUCCGCUCAAAUUUGAAAGCUUAUUCAUCAAAAUCAAUUUCCACUCCUUCCUUCGCAAUAAACCUCCCAUUACACUUGCAGCUAGCGGUAGGCCACCACAUUUUUUUAUAAUUUCCUUUUUCAUGACUUGCAGUUGUUCGGGAAUUUCUCCACCUGCAUUGGCUUUCUCUCUGUUAGGAUAGACCAACAAUCAUCAUCAGAUAGCUUUCCUAACACAUAAGGAUCAUGUGUAGCCAAAAUGGAUGCAGUUUGUUGUUUACGAGUUGUCACAACACACCAAUUUCCAUUAGUUGCAUUCAGGCCCCGUAACAAACGUAAAAGAUCAUCCCACAAGAUUUGGCUUUCGGUCCAGACGUCAUCAAGAACAAGAAGAUAUUUUUUUCCCACAAGUUGUUGUCUAAUUUCCUGGACAAUGACAUCCCUACUGGUCAUUUCAACAUUUCUUCUCGUGAGUGAUUCUAAAAUCAUUUUCAAAAGCCUUGUCACUUCAAAAUUGUCGGACACACAAACCCAAAUUUUUUUCUCAAAAUGGCUAUCAACUUGGCUAUUGUUGUAUACAGAUUGAGCUAAAGUUGUCUUUCCCAAUCCGCCCAUCCCAAGGAUGGGAAUUACAGAAACGGCAUUUUCUGACAAGCUUAGCAAUCUCCACCAGCCUUGUUUCAUCCUUAGCUCUUCCUACAACAUAAUGGCCAGCAAUAGAAUCCGUCUCUCUAUUUAGUGUGACUUUAGCACUAGUAGAAGGGGGGAAACUUGCCCUUUGGAAUCUGAUCAGUCCAAAAUCAUUGGCUUCUUUAUUGAUCUUAUACAACUUCUUGUUGAUGUCCCUGAUCUUAGAAGCCAUUCUCCGUCGGAAAACAAUAUUAAUGUCAGAGGACAGGAUGAAGGAGCGCACCUUGCUCACAAGUUGGCGACGAAGAGCUUCAUAAUUCAGCUCGUCCAACAAAUUCUCGGCAUCAAACGCCACGGCUUCUAGCCUCUGGAGCCACAGUUGCACGGCCUUGUCAUGCAUUUGCUUUUCCUCAGCAUCAGCCAAGACAGCUUGGAUCAUGGCAACAGAUCCUUUCAGGGUCUCCAAAUCCUCCUUGAAUUGGAAUAACUUGCCAAUCCUUUCAUUGGCAAGGGAAAGUGUCUUCUCCAACGCUACCUCUAUUGUGGAAGCUAUAAUUGCAUCAGCCAUUCUUCUUGUUCCUUGGUACAGUCUUCAGAUAAGAAUACUCUUUUGCAAUGGAAGGUUUUAGCUGUAGUUAGAAGCAGCAAGGAACUGCUUUGAUUCCAAUGGAAGUGACGAGUUAUGCUGGGUCAGAUGACAAACUGGGUCAUAAACAACAAUUUUGCAAACUGGGUCAGAUGCUUUUGCAACGGAAGUUGCUUGGCAUUUUCAGUUGAAAACAAAAUAUAGUCAUUGCCGGGAUUCUACAUCUACUUUUGAUCCAACAUGCCUGGGGCCCCUGGACGUGGAAAAUUCCACCGAAGAAGGAUAAGAAAAUGUGCUGAACAAUGAAAGGUCCAAAAUAAUUUUUAGAUAAUUCACAUUAAUGUUAAGUCACAAAAUGGUUUGGUGCAUUAGCAAACAGAAGGGUACAUCUACGGUUACUACGACAUGUUUUACGUUAAAGUGGGAGAUUUGUAAACCACUUCAGAGCAAACAAACGGUGUUGAGGAAAAAAUUAUGUUAGUUGCAACGCAAUCAUAAAAGCUAUGAUACAUUUGUGAAAGCAAGAAACAUUUAUUAAUUUGGUGCAGUCUAAUUGGAAACCUAGAAAAAAAUAAAUGAAUGAUCCGAAAGGGUGAAAGGUAUCAUUUUACUCAAAUAAAAGUGUGACCGAAUAGGGGAUUAGUUAAAUAAAAAAAAUUAGAUUAAUAAUGUAACACUUUUUGUAUUUUUAUAUAAUGCAUGUGAGACAGGAUGGUGGCUGGAAAAAUAAAAAAAUAGUGAGUGGAAUAAGUAUAAACUGUUUUUUCAUAUAUUUAUCUAAUGAUAAUAGUGACAGGGUAAAAAAAACAAAGGUGAUAACAAUGAUAAGUGUAGAGAGUUGAGAUGGAUAACGCACAAUUAUUUCUUGCAAUUGACUGCACCAUGCAAUCUAUAUUUUACAUUGGGUAAAUUUGAAAUUGGAUGAAUAGAAUUGAUUAGCAUGAAAAACUUUUAAUGAAUAAAACAUUUAUUGUGCUUUUGUGUAUUGUUAUUUUUUUCUACAUUUAAUAUCUUAGUGUAUACGUCUAUUGUGCCAGUACCUGAAUUUAAAAUUCCUCCUUUCAAUUUUAAAAUAAUACUACUUAUCUUACUUAUAACUUCCAUAGUUACAGUUGGACUUUUGAUGCAAAAAGAUGGGGAAAAUGGCAAUCAUAAUUGCUACCGAGGCAACCAUUUUUUUUUUAAUCUAAUUUGGUAAUUCUUGGGACAUAAGGAUAGAAUUGACUUCAUCUAGAUUAAUAAUUCGUUGACAAACUUGGAUGCUAUUAAUUGCCAUAGAAGAUGCUUGGCAAUUUCGAUACGUGGCCUUUCUUAGUCAGUGCAUGAUGCUUACAUCUUGGACAAACUUGGAUGCAAUCUCAAGUGGUCAUUAGAAUGGUGGUUUGACCCAAGAAUGACAAAUAGCUAUGUUCAACAGCCAAAAUGUAAGAGAGAAGGGAAGUGGGAUAUGGAGCCGAGACGGUCAUCAGGCGGAAUGUCUCCGAGCACCCCUCGCACAAAAGGGAAUGAAAGGACUGCAAUAGAUCACAUAUAAUAGGAACAGUAGUAAAGGAAAACAGUACUGUUUUACUAAGUGAGUAGGGAAAAAGAUUUUUAAAAAAAACAUAUGAGGGGGGACUCCUUUUAAAAAACCUCAGCUUCCGUUUCAAAAAUUUCCCUCAAAUUAAUGAGGCACGACUAUUCUUGUGAAAUCUUCAAAUGAAAUAAACUUUUGAUCUCCCUCCAAAACUUAUCUUUUGAACAUUCCUUCACAAUUUCAGAGUAUCAACAGAAUAAUAUCCCUGCCCAAAUUGGGAAGUUUCAGAUGAGAUUCUAUUUAUAAGUAUUGUACAAUUAGUUAGUAUUUAAGUACUAUUUGUUAUUAAUUUUUCAUUGUUAGCUCGAUCUGUUUUACAAUAUAUCCAAAACAAUAACUUCUAUUCUAUCGAUUGGUUAAAAAAGAAAAAAAUUUACAAUCUAUUGCUAAUUAGUACAUACCGAUGUUGUACCCCAUGUUGGUAUUUAUUGACUUUCCAUUGCUAAUGCCUUACAAACUAUUUAGUCCAUUUUAUGAUAUGUUUAAGGAAAUAAAGAUUUUUGUUUCACAAAUUGGCGAAAACUAAUGACAUUUGGUUACUUAUAAGUUCGUGUUGAUUGAACAAAAAUUUAACUAGUCAUUUACCACUAUUAUGAAAGUAGUUGCUUUAGGUAAAAUUUUAGUUGUCAAUAUAUUACAAUCUCAAAAAGUAGAAGUUACCAUCAACACAUUUGUAACAUCCAAUCCUAGUAUGACUCGUUUCCAUUUUUAUCAAAUCCCAGACUAAAAGUCUUAGAAAAGUUGUUGGGAUGUCAAUUUUGGCAUACUUCUAUCAUUUAAUUGCUCUUUGAACAAAUAGCUUUGGGUUGGUUGAGAUGUCAAUUUUGCAUACUUCUAUCAUUUAAUUGCUUUUUGAAUAAAUAUUCUUGGGUUUAUUAGAUAUGAUGCAUAUAAAAAUAAUAUAUACAUAAAGAGGGAUGAUGUGUGACUUAAAAUGAAGAAUGGAUUUCUCAAAAAAAAAAAAAUGAAGAAUGGGGAAGUUUGUUAAGUUUAUAAAUAUAGCAAAGUGCCUCUUUGUUAGAUAAUUUUAUUACUUAUAAAUAUUUCUAAAAUUGAACAAAAAAAUUAGCCAAAUGUACACAAUCAUAGUUGGUGACGUUGGCAACAUCAAUCAUGUCAUCUCUUAAUCCAAAAUAAUUUUGAAAAGAAUAAUAAAUUGGUCUUACUAACUAUCUUUGAGAAUUAGGCUUAUUUUGGGAGUUUAGGAUAGACAAGAAAGGAAGGAAAACUUAAGUUAUGAGAGAGGAGAAGAGAAAGAAGGGAUUGUUAUGUUGUUUGAGAGUUUUGAAAAUUAGUGGAAUGUUUUUGGAUAUGGAAGUUAUUAAAUAUUUGUUCAAGACCUUUUUAAGGACAAAAUAGGCAUUUUGAAAAAAAUUGACAAGCUUUCUCAAAGUUUCCUUCCAUUUCUGUCCAAUUUAGGAGGAAAAGUUUUGGCUAUUGUUGCACUGCAUUUCAUCCUUUUGAAUCUUCCCAUUUCUUUCUUUUAUUUCUUACUAAAAACUAAAGGAAAGCUAACUCUCUCUUCUUUUCCUUUCAUUCCUAUCAAAAUCCCAACCCCAAACGAAGCCUUAGACUAACAGCAUAACCAAUAUUUCAUUUGUAAAUUAGAAGCAAAAUUGAUUUUGUUUUCCUCAACUGGCACAACGAGGAAGACCUGCAAAGGCUAGAAGAGCAAAGAGGAGAGUGACACCUGCUAGACAAUUUAUCAUUGCACAGAAUAACAAUGCAGUUUCUGAAUCUUUUGGAAAUGUUACUACCAUUGGUGACGAAAGAAAUCGGUUUUGAGCAUAUAGAGUCAAUUUGGUACAAGUAUAUUUCUUUGCAAAUAUCUUUUUGUUUUUUAAAUUUAUAUUUUUAUGGGUUAUUGCAUUAUGAUGUAGUUACUGCUAGAAAUUAUUUUUUAUGUGAUGGUUUUUUUUAAGCAAAUAAAGCUGUUUAGGAAUAUUUUUAUUUAGCAAGUAAAAGGGUAAUUUAGAAUUUUUAAAAAUUUUGUCACACAAAUAACAAAGUAAGGUAGGUAAAUUAUAUUUUUAAAACUUUAAAAGUAUUAGGUGAUAUUAAGAGAAAUAUCAGGGAAGGCUUUGAUAUCAUCCCAUAUCUCAAUGGUUGUUGCAUCGACAAAGGACAACCAUUUACGUCCAAGAUAAAAUUGAAUUCAGAAUUCCCUACUUAGAAUUCAUCCCAUCUUAGCAUCCAAUCCAAUCUUCCGCCAACGUGAAUCAUAAUUUGGUCUUAAUUACUGAUCCUCAAGAAUUAAAAUUAGAACAUGCAUCUUAUUUUGUUUGGUUUCCUCAAGUGCUAGCAGCAAGAAUUUUUAUAGGAUCAGCUAAUGGUUAGUUUUUUUAUUAAUACAAACAUUCUAAAUAAGCUUGUGAAAUCAAUUGAUUUCAUAUGCAAUCCAAAUAAGAUUAUGAACUCCUUAUUUGUUUGAUUAAUUUCAUAUACUAACGACUGUACUUGCCAAAUAAUUGAUGGUGACCGUAAUAAAAUUUCUUUGUUAGGGGUCAAAGUUCUUCCUUUCCGCACUGACUACGGUGCAUGCUGCUUCUUGGCUAAAUAAUCCGGCUUUGUGACUUCCAAUUUCAUAUUCAUUAACACACAAACACAGAAACUCUCCCUAAUUAUUAAUGAGCGAGAAAUUUCACUUGUAGAUAAUAUAGUCCACGUUCUGCCCAUCUGAAACUCCCCAUAUUAUUUCUAGGUUCCAAACAAUUAUUUUCUUUUGUUUUCGAAAGAAAAAGUUUGAGUGAUUUCAACUCUGGUUAUCACCAGGGCUGAAACAUGAUAGACUUCUGUAUUUAUUUAUUUUUUUACAAAAAAAAAUACGACUAAGAAUUAGGCUAACUGACAAGAAAAAAAGCACAGUUGAUUGAUUUAAUUCUAGCCCAGGCCUGGUUAACCAAGAAAAGUACAUAGCGGUUGAAUGUUCACCCAAUAAAAUGAACACUUGAGAAUCUGAAAGAAGAAGCAAUGAUUCUUUUCUUAAACCUGAAUCAAUUUUCUAUGCUUAGACAUGCUUUAACAUAAAGCUUCAUUUCUUUUAGGAUAAAUUAACUUUUACCUUCUUAUGUUUGUUGAUUUAUCACAUAACCUCUCUAUGAUUUAAAAAUUUAUAAUGAUAUUUGUAGUCGAAAAAGAUUUUGUUUUUAUUUUUGUAUUUAAUUUUUUUAUAUUUUCCUUCUAUCUUUUUGUUUCUUAUUUAUUUAUCUUUUAUUUCCCUUCCAUCUCUUUGGAUUUAGAGAAAAUUAAGAUUUUGUUGGCCAGAGUAUAGAUUUUCAGAAUCAUCUCUUCUUUUCCCCAAAAAAAAAAAAAUGUGAGAAAGAAAGGACAAAAGAAAAAAGAAAGGAAAAAAAUAGUGAAAUGGUGAAUUUAUCAGUUUAUUAGUUUGAUUUUGACUUUUUAUUAUUGACCAUUAGUUCUAACUAAAAAACUAAACAUGACACGUUAACCUAAACUAUGAGGAAAUUAUAUAUAGGUUUUUAAACCAUAGGAAGAUUGUAUUGUAAGGCAUCAAAUCACAAGAGAGAAAGGUAAUUUACCCUUUCUUUUAUGUGAACUCAGUUUACAAUAAAACCAAACUUUUUCUCCAAGAGGCCUUAAGACAUUGGCAAUUGUAGGUAGCACGCGCAAAAGCAAUAGAACAUUCAAUUCCAGCCAUAGAUGUACAUGGCGGCAAGAGUUGUUGACCUGAGAACAAUGAAUGUGCUACUGGCUACAUGCAAUGUCCUGAAUCGAAAAAAUGAUGGACGAAACUGGACUGCAAGAAUCAGAUAAGAUGAUUGCUGAUUUCUUGCAAAAUGGCGACCCAAGAAAAUCUUGUACAUUUGGCUAUUUGAUUUCUUGCAAAAGCUCAAUCAAUAUUUGUGUUCGUUGUUCUUACUGACCUAAAUCAGUAAGCAGACAUCAAAUCUUUCUGCUCAGUCUACAAGUACCAGAAGUGCCAUAGAAACUAUAUUAGCUUUUGUUCAAAACACUGAAAAAAGAGAAAGUGCUAUAAAAAUAACGAUAAUGAGUGGCACCCACAAGCAUGAGAGGCAGAGAGCUCUAGAAUUGCCAUGAAGGCCAACUCUUUGAGACAGCAAGAUGCAACAAGUAGAGCUAAUCACAACUAUUUGACUCUUAAAAUCUCAAAUCAUCGCACUUGAACAUAAACUUCAGUAGAAUGAGAUUACUCGUAUUAUAAAUUAUCAGACUACCAAUCUCACAACCAUUGGGUUUAAGUCCAGAUCAUAGCUGAAGAGAGUCAACAGAAUCCCAUCAUUUAAGAGACACAAUAAGAAAGCCAAUAAUCAGAUAAUUCGGAGCAAGAUGGUGAAUACAUUUCCAUGAGGUGGAGGUUCAGAGUAAGCAUUUCCAUCCCAAUAGAAUCUCAAAUUUAAAGAGGUUUAGCUACCUUCAGCAAUCAUGAUGUACAACUAGAAGUAGCAAACAUAUGAGAUGAGCAAAAGCAAAGAAUUUUGUACUGUAUAUGUAAAUACAAAAAGUUUUCAGCUUUGACAUUGUGCUUGACUGUCCACAUCAAUAAUCUGCUCUUGAACAUCCGUAUUCCAUAAUCGAAUUUAACAUAUGGUUAGUGAUAUUGUUUUCUUCCCUGAACAGCACUUGUAAGUUUGUAGAAAAUGUUAGCAUUGAUUAUUACGCUGGAGUAUGUUGUCCAGAAGAAACAAAAACUAGAAUUAACUCUUAAAGUCUUUGUCCAUCAUUGCUUAUUCAUAAUUUUCUGUGCUCCAUCAAACUUUGAUUUAACAAUCUAUUUCAUGAAUGUAGACACAUUACCAUUCUUUUCUAGCAAAUGAACUUUUAGCGUGCUUAGUUGGAUGAGGAGCUUCUAGAUUCAAAAUCUAAGGCAGGCAUGUUUGCCAGCAUUGCAAUAAAGAUAGAAGAGCAAUUUCCAUGUCAUUUUUGAGCUGGGAAUCUUACACAAAGAAAGAGCUUCUUUUUGUUGCCUUUGUUCGAAAAGUAAUAAGCAGGAUAGAAGACUUGAUACUAAGUACAGCUACUUAUCCAUUUAGAACAAAAUCAAUAACCUGAUGCUAUUUCUAGAAAAUUUGCAAGCUUCUCACGAUCAAUGUGUUUCUCUAUCACCAACCAAACCUCUCAGGAUGAUCACCAGAAAUUCACGUUAAUGAUGUCCUUGAUCUUGAGAGACUUUACAUAUGUUGGGGAAAGAAAUUUUAGCGAGCAGUUCAUAGAGGCCAGCUGAAAAAAAUAGAGCAUCUUAUCAAGUUUUAGACACUAAGAAGAAAGAAAAGUGUACCUGUAGUGUGCCAUCCUAGUCAUUUCUCUCCAAUUGAAACAGGAUCUGAUUCAACAAAGUUUUCAAAGGUUAAGAGCAGUUGUAGAUUCCAGUUGACGUUUGAGCCUGAUAUCAUUGCACAACAGAAAACUCGAACUGGGACAAUAUGUGGUCAACAAGAAAGCUAAUGAGAAAGUUCAGAUAAUUCAACAAUACUUUGGUUCUGUCAAUCUCACAAAAGGGUAAAAUGUUUGUUUACAGAGUUGUGUUUACAGUUAUUCCUAUGACCAUUACAUUAGUUUGGUUCCGACCGCAAUGCAACGCAAGUAAUUACAACUUAAAAACUUGAAAAUAAUGAUAGGCACUUUUCGUAGCACAUGCAAAGCAUCCCAUAUUGAGGCAUUGAUGCACAAUAGAGCUAUGGGACAAUGAGGCACAAUAGAGAUCCACAUUCAACUACUACCAUAACACUGGGUAGAUCUAACUCCUAACUACAAGCAGCAUGCCAGAGAUGACAAAUUGAGUUCUAAAACAUGUAAAUCAGCACCUUAUUAUCAUGACAACAAAUGUCUGAAUCAUUUGCUAGUUUAAAAGCAUCAAUGAGGUUCCCUGUUGAGCUUUGGGCCUAAAAUCACUCCAAAGCACAAAAACUCAAACUCAGGAUGGCAUAUAGCGUAGCAUACAACUAAAGGAAAAUUUCAAUAAUUGCAGGUUUUCUGUCAUUGUAACCAAAGCCCCAAAAGAAGAAAUUUACCAUACAAAUACUAGCAACCAACAAUCAUAAAAACAGAGAGAGCUUGAGAGCCUUUAUCAAGGUAGGUUCACUAAGAGCAGCAAGUAGCAACAAACAGGCUUGACUAACUACCAGAAUGCUCCAAAACAUUCCGCUUAGACUUGAAUGUUGGAAGAUACUCCACCAAGUUUUGUGCAACUUCAUUGCUUGAACGGUACAUCUUCCUUGGCUAACUCAAAAAUAUCUUCAGGACGACAAGAUUUCUUUUGUUUUGUGGAUAUCAAAGUGGUUAAAAGUCACAAUUGAGCAAUGAAAGAAGAGAAGCAUAUCUAAAAUUACCAGACUUUUUGAACCAAAACAUGAAAGCGAUGACCAACAGCUGCGAAAUAAUCCUUGGUUGACCAUAGUCUUCAUGGCUAGAAAGUCAAAACCAAGGAAAAGAGACUCAGAAAACCAUCAUAUAUGACUCUGAUAGAGCAGUUACUAAUCAAAUGGUUCGGAUAAGUAUGUAAGCCCAUUAUCAAGAGAAAAAAGUUCAGAGAAACCAUUUCAUUCCCGUAGAAUCACAAGUUUAAACAGAGUGAGCUGACUUUAGCAACAAUAACUUACAAUCCACAGAAGCAGACAUGUAAAAUCAACAAAAAUAGACUGCUGGCUGUUUUAAACGUUGAUGGGCUAUUUAUAGGAAAUGCAAGCCAAAAGUUAUUGAGUUCCAGCCAUAUAGAUCGUCCUGAAGAAGCUUCAAAAUUCUAACCUCCGUUUGUCUAAGCAAGAGACCACCAAAAUCAGUUUGGACAGUAUUGAAGACAGGAGUGUGGUCAGAAUUGUAAUUUAAGGACAUAUAGAAAAAGUUCCUCAAAUUUUCUACAUACCCUAUGGAAUAUAAAACGCAUUUGCAUUUUAAAGAAAACUCAUUUCAUCCUGAUGCACACCGUGAGUUUAAAGAGAGAGCUAAUCUUAGAAAUCAUAAUAUACAACUGAUUGGCUGACAUACAUGAUAAACAAAGUAAAGUCAAAUCUUAAUUUCUUUUAUAUUGUUACUUGAUUAGUUGAUUUGUUUCAUUUUUCUUUUAUGCAAAACUUGCUUUGGUCAUCCAAGAAAUAUGAAGACAUGUAACCAUCGCAUAUUGAUGGUAAUUUUUAUGAACUACCUAUAACUUUGAAUCAUGAUUCUGAAACCUAAGAAUGACAUUAAACAAAUUGAAAAGAACCACUACAUGCAAUUCUUCAUUUUUGGUUAAACGACUACCAACAUAAGAUGUAGUACUCAACAUCAUAUAGACCAAGUAAUAUUGGAAUAAUAACAAAUCUUAAAGUAACAGAAUCAUUCUAGACAUGCCAUUUUUAACUGCAAAAAGAGAACAUGAAAACUCAGAAAAUCAUGUUGCAUGUAAUGGCGCAAAGAUACAGCUUCAAGAAAGGUGGCGAGCAACUUGUGGAGGCUGGCUAAUGGAGAAUAAGCAGUCACAAGACGGACCAAUACUUUUCUGCAACUAAGUUGCAGCUAACUUGAGAGACAAGCAGUCUGAGAUAGAAAAACAAAUUGAGGUCCAUAACCAAUGAAUUACUAACUCAUGUCAUGACCACAAAAGCUACAGCUGAUUUACAGUUUGAAUCACCACAUUCACAAUGUAGAUCUCAGGCUUUGGCAUUGUUUUCUAACAUAAACUGGCAUGCAGAUGUGAAAUCUUUCUGCUCAGUCUACAGAUACAAGUAAUGUCACAAGAACUAUCCUAGUUUGUGCCCGAAACUCUGAAAGAUGACCAGUUGAGUAAUUUAGAAAAAGAGAUGUGGCGGCCAACAAGUAUGACAGGCAGAGAAAGCUAAAGAAUCUUCAUGAGGCGAAUUCCCAGAGCAGCAACCAAUACAUUCUGUAAGGUCAUUGAAAACACACUUUGAAGGUACUUGAGGUAGACCUAUUUUUAAAUAAAUCAUUAGAAAUUAGAAAAUAUAGAAGCAAGAAUUAUUAAAGAUGGAAAUUUAAGAUAAAUAGGCAUUUUUUCCAAGUAAAGUUUGUUACUAUCAUUUAAUAAAACCUUUUGUAAUGACAUCGAAAAUACACUUUGAAGGUAAUUGAGGCAACUCUCUUUUAAAUAAAUCAUGAAAAAGAAAAUGCUACAGCUGAUUGACAGUUUCAACUUUGGAGGCACCAUAUUCACAACAACAAAUCACAAGCUUUGCCAGCCAAGAUAUGAAGAAUAAAAAGACUGUGCCCAAAUGUGAUCCAGUUAAGAAUCAAAUCAAUUUCAAAAGUAAAGGCAGUAAUACUAAUUAGGGGCCAACAAGGUUUAUCCAAUAAACUGGAAACAUAAUUUAUUCGUUUAGGAAGGGACCAUCUAUACUGAGUAAAAUUCCAGCACUUGGUUUUCAAUAUCAAAGACCUCAAAUUUUUGGUGAUUCUUGGAGUAGAAAUCAAAGGAAAAGUGUUGCUUUGAUCUUGGAGUACAAUUAUCCUGAUUUGUGAGAAAUUUAGGUAGCAUGGCACGAAUGCUAAAAUUCCAUGUUCCACCUUAACUUAUAAUACCUAGUAACAUGUCAUGCGCUUUGCACGUAAUCAUACUAAUCCAACAUAUAACAUUAUUGAGAUACUAAAUUCUUUGUUAAAUUUUGACUUUAAACAUCAAAAUAGAUUAAUUCUUUUGGUUUUCAGUUUCGUUAACUAGUUCUUUGAAAAAUUCUAGUUUAGGCGUACAUAUAUUGCACGCUGCAUUCCACCCCAGUUGCUAUGACUAAUAACUUAUUCAAAAUUCUUUAAACAAUUGAACUUUAAGUAAAUGAAACAAACCUUCAACGAAGAACUCAAACUCAUAUAUAAAUCAAAAUGCACUCUUCUAGUAACCAAUCCAACACUAUAUAGCCUUGACAAUAGACCAUAGAAUUCAAACAGAAUAGUAAAAUGAAACAAGAAAUAAAUAGGCUAAGAAGGUUUUUGAUUUAAUGAUUAAAUUACUUCAAGAAUAAGAGUUCCUAGAUUCAAUUCUCCGAAUUUUUACUUCUCAUGUAUGAAAAUAAAGUAUGAACGUAAAAAUGAGCUAACCUAAUGUUUCAAAAAAAAAAAAAAAGAAAUCACCUAAAACUACAAAGGAUCUUUGUAUACUCUUAAAACUUAUGCCUAUAUUUCUUCUUGUUAAUUUGCCAACCUAAACCUUUUAACUUUUUGAGUAUCUUUCCAUUUCAAAAAUUGGAGAUCCUUGAUAUUUGUAGUUGUCUUGACCAAUUCAAUUUCUUUCCUCCAUUUCAUAAUUAGUUUGCAUGCAUUUUAAUGGUGAGUUUAUCCACGAUUUGUAUAGAAUACACCUAGGGCUGUCAAUCCGUCUUUGAGCUUGGGGUUGCUUGAUUAAUUUUAAAAAAAUCUUAGGUCGAAUGAACUUUAGCAAAGAAUAAUUUGAAAUAUGCAUUUGCAAUCCCGUUAAAAAUUUAUCUUCAUACCUUUUGCAAGGUCAUUGAAAACACACAUUGAAGGAACUUGACGUUAUCCUAUUUUUAAAUAAAAUCAUUAGACAAUAGAAAUAUAGAGGCAAGAAUUAUUAAAGAUGAAAAUUUAAGAGGUACUUUGAAGACAUCAAAAAUACACAUUGAAAGUACUUGAGGUAAACCCUUUUUUUUAAUAAAUCAUUAGCAUUAAAAAAUUAAGAGGAAAGAAUUAUUAAAAAUAGAAAUAUUAAAAAAUCUACCGAAUUGUCCUUUUAGAUAAAUUUUGUAUACACAGAUAGUGUAUAUACAAGUGGGGUUGACUGCAUGCUACCUUCAUUGUGGAAGCAAUUCUUUUUGUUCCUUGGAUACUUUUUUCAGUGGAAGGUUUUAGCUCUGGCUGGAAGCAGCGAGGAACUAUUCUUUGCUUUAGCAGAAGCAACAAGACUUUGACAAACUUGUAUGCUUUUGCAACAAGGAAGAGGUUGAUACUCGAUCCGGGGCCUCACAAUUUAUGUUUUAUACAAUUUCAUACAAGUUAAUCUUUGGUGUAAAUUAGUCGGAUUUCGGUAUGAAUCAGGUCCAGUUUAAUGUAAAGUCAUCAGGUGCAGUUCAUUAUAUAUUAAUUUGUUAUUAUUUGGUAUAAAUCAGAGACACUUGUAUAUAAGUUGAUUAUUAUCAUUUAGUGUAAGUUAAGAUUAAUUGGUGUAAAUUGAGAGUAAAUUGUUAAUUUAUACCAAUUUAUGCGUAAUGGAACUUGUGAGGCCCUAUUUCCUGCAUAGAAUUUCAGUUGAAUUCUUCAAUACUUGUCGUUGUUCGGGCCUUCAUGUGCUUUUGAUCCACAUGCUGGAGCCUUGGGUUGCAUAAAAUAUGACAAUACGACAAAACAGGAAAAAAGAAAGGGAAAAAUGGCAAUCAUAAUUGCAACUCCGGCAACCAUUUUUUUUUUUGGUUAAAUACAAAAAAACUCAUUAUGAUUAAUUGAAUGUUCAAGCUAACUCCCUAUGCUUUCGAAAUCUAUAUAAAAUCCCCUUAUACUUUUGAUUAAAAUAAAGGGCAAAUUACACUUUACCCUCCUGUUAUAGUUGAUUUUCACAUAACCUCCCUAUAGUUUUAAAAGUUAUACGUAACAUUUUUAUAAUUUAGACUAAAGUAUCAAAAUGACGGAAAUAAUAACAAAAUCUAUGAAAAUGUCAAAAUUACUAAAAUAGAAAUAUAAUAUAUAUUAUGGCACUCUAACCCUGUAUGAUUUUAUAUUUAACAUAUAAUCCCGUUAUGGUUUAGUACUUUAUCAUAUUACCCCCUCAUGGUUUUCAAUAUAUAUACAUAACUUCCUGUGGUUAAUAAAUAAUUUUCAACUUUAUAUAGGGGUAUUUUUGAUAUUUUAGCCAUCUCUAUUAUGGAUUGCAAAUUCCGUCAUUUUGAUACUUUAAUCCAAAUCAUGAGGGGGUUAUCUAUAACUUUUGACAUCAUAGUGAGGUUAUGUAAGAAAUACUAAACCACAAGGAGGUAAAGCAUAAUUUGCUCUAAAUUAAAAUAUUAAGUUUUUUGUUAUAGUUAACCGCCGUAAAGGUAAGUUGGUUAUUUGAUUAUAAGGCAAUUUAUAUUAUAUAGAAUGGGAAAAUAGAAAUUUUUUUUCUCUUCUUUCCAUCCAUACGCCUUACAAUGUCUCUCUUUUUUGUAUUUUUGGUUAUUGUAUCUCCUUCUCACCACCUGACCUUCCCUUUUCUUUCUCUCUCUUUUUUUUUUUAACUUGUGUCCCUAUUCACCUCUGAAUCACCCAUAAAUUAGUACUAUUUCAAAUCCAAAAUCUUAUGACCCAAAAUGAUGACGUCUUCAAAAUUUUGGAAAUGGAUGGAGUGGUUGAUCUACUCCUUCAUUUGUGCAUAUAUGGUAUUUCUGUCCAUGGUGCCAGCCUAUUUAUGUCAAGUAAUUCCGUGCGGUGGCUGCUUGCGGUGCACAAGAGCGGUUAUCUGCUGAAGAUGAUACAAGAAAAGAUGAUCAUACCUGUGAUUUGGUGUUUUACUACAUAACCCUUCUAUAAUUUAAAAACUUAAAUAUAAUUCCUUCAUAAUUUGGAUUAAAGUGUUAUCAUCAUUUUUUUCCAUUAAAACUAACGGUCAAUAGCAAAAAUCAAAGUCAAACUAAUAAAUAGACAAAUUCACAUUUUCACUACAUUUUUGCCUGAGAACAAUGAAUGUACUACUGGCUACAUGCAAUGUCCUGAAUCGAAAAAUGAUGGACGAAACUGGACUGCAAGAAUCAGAUAAGAUGAUUGUUGAUUUCUUGCAAAAUGGAGACUCAAGAAAAUCUUGUACAUUUGGUUAUUUGAUUACCUGCAAAAGCUCAAUCAAUAUUUGUUUUCGUUGUUCUUACUGACCUAAAUCAGUAAGCAGGCAUCAAAUCUUUCUGCUCAGUCUACAAGUACCAGAAGUGCCAUAGAAACUAUAUUAGCUUUUGCUCAAAACACUGAAAAAAAGAGCUAGAAAGUGCUAUAACAAUAACGAUAAUGAGUGGCAACCACAGGCAUGAGAGGCAGAGAGCUCCAGAAUUGCCAUGAAGGCAAACUCUUUGAGACAGCAAGAUGCAACAAGUAGAGCUAAUUACAACUAUUCGUGAAAGUUCCAUGAAUAUUGUUACUUGAUUAGUUGAUUUGUUUCACUUCUCUUUUAUGCAAAACUUGCUUUGGUCAUCCAAGAAAUAUUGUGCAUUUGGUUAUUAACUACAAAAACAAGAUAUUAACUCAAGCUUCCAAUGAAGACACAUUUUUAUAAUUUGGGGAUUAAAACUGCUUGUGUUAAAAUUUGGGUACAAAAACUACAUUUUUCUCUACUUAUCGUUGCUCGGGCCUUCAUCUACUUUUGAUCCACAUGCUGGAGCCUUGGGUUGUGUAAAAUAUGACAAUCAAGGAUUUAAAAUACGACAAUCAAGGAUUUAAAAUACGACAAAAAAGGAAAAAGAAAGGGAAAAUGCCAAUCAUAAUUGCAAAUCCGGCAACCAUUUUCUUUUUGGGUUAAAUACAAAAAGCCUCGCUAUGAUUAACCGAAUGUUCAAGUUAACUCCCUAUCCUUUUGAAACCUACAAAAAACCCCCUUAUGCUUUUGAUUAAAAUAAAUGGCAAAUUACACUUUACCCUCCUGUGGUAUGGCUAAUUUUCACAUAACCGUCCUAUAGUUUUAAAACCUAUGUAUAACUUUUUUAUAGUUUGGACUAAAGUGUCAAAGAGAUGGAAAUAAUCAUUUGUAACAGAAUUUAUGAAAAUGUCAAAAUUACCAAAAUAUAGAAAUAUAAUAUGCAUGACACUCUAACCCUGUAUGGUUUAAUAUUUUAUCAUAUAACCCCCUUAUGGUUUAGUGCUUUACCAUAUAACCCCUUUAUGAUUUCAACAUCUAUACAUCACCUCCCUGCGUUAAUAAAUAAUUUUCAACUUUACAUAAGGGUAUUUUUAAUAUUUUAGUUGUCUCUGUUAUGGAUUGCAAAUUCCGUCACCUUGAUAUUUUAAUUCAAAUCAUGAGUGAGUUAUGUAUACCUUUUGACACCAUAGUAAGGUUAUGUAAGAAAACAUUAAACUACAAAGGAGAUAAAGUGUAAUUUGUCCUAAAUUAAAAUAUUAAGUUUUUUGUUAUAGUUAACAGUCGUAAAGGGUUAGUUGGUUAUUUGAUUAUAAGGCAAUAUAUAAAAUGGGAAAAUAGAAAAUCUUUUUCUCUUCUUUCCAUCCAUACGCCUUACAAUGUAUCUCUUUUUUGUAUUUUUUGGUUAAAACAUAUUGUAUCUCCUUCUCACCACUUGACCUUCCCUUUUCUUUUUUUUUUCUUUUUUUUAACUUUGUUCCUAUUCACCUCUGAAUCACCCAUAAAUUAGUACUAUUCAAACCCAAAAUCUUAUGACCCAAAAUGAUGGCGUCUUCAAAAUUUCAGAAAUGGAUGGAGUGCUUGAUCUACUUCUUCAUUUGUGCAUAUAUGAUAUUUCUGUCCGUGGCGCCAGCCUAUUUAUGUCAAGUAAUUCCGUGCGGUGGCUGCUUGCGGUGCACAGGGGCGGUUUUCUGGAGAAGAUGAUAUGAAAAAAGAUGAUCAUACUUUGUGAUUUGGUGUUUUACCACAUAAUCUUUCUAUAGUUUAAAAACUUAUAUAUAAUCUCUUCAUAAUUUGGAUUAAAGUGUUACCAUCAUUUUUUUCCGUUAAAACUAACAGUCAAUAGCAAAAAUCAAAGUCAAACUAAUAUAUAGACAAAUUCACCUUUUCACUACAUUUUUUUUCCUUUCUUUCUUUUUUUUUCUUUUCUCUUUCUUUCUCUCUCUUUUUUUUGGAAGAGAAGAGAUGAAUUAAAAUCUGUACUUGGCUUAUAAAAUCUUAAUUUUCUCUGGAUACAAAAAAAAGGAAGGGAAAUGAAAAAUAAACAAUUAAGAAAUAGAAAGAUGGAAGGAAAGUGAAAAAAAUAAAUUAAUAAGAAACCAAAAAUGGAAGGGAAAUAUAAAACAAAUAAAUAAGAAACAAAAAAUACCAAAUCUUUAUUGACUGCAAAUAUCAUGAUAGGCUUUUAGACCAAAUCUUUUAUGGUAUUUUCUACUUAUUAUUUAUCUAUUCUUUAUUUAAAUUUCUUCUUUUUUGUAUUUGGAUGAAAAAAAAACGAAAAUAGUGAAAGAGUAAAUUUGUCAAUGUAUUAGUUCGACUUUGAUUCUUUUUUUACUAUUGAUAACUUUGAUGGAGAAACUACCGGUGACCCAUUAAGUCACACCAUGAGAAGGUUAUAUAUAGGUAUAUUAAGUCAAAUCAUGAGGGCAAAAGGUAAUUUGUCCUAAUUAUUAUUUUGUUUGCUUAAAAUCUUUGAGAAUUUGGGCAAAGUCCAGAGACCACAAAGUGAUAAUUUCCAUACUACUUAUCUGGCUGGUUGGUUCAGUAUGGAGGAAUAUGUGUACUGGAUGUCCACCUCAAUACUCAGACUUGGUCAUACACCAUGUAAUUGGCCACGAAUUGGACUCUUUUCUUUGCAUUUUAACUUGUGAAAGUUGUUCAAAUAUUCUCUCGUACUUUAGGAAGUCUUCUAAAGCAUCAAUGAUACUUGAAAGAAGGAAUUUAACAACUCAUAUCUUAGACCGUAUUCUUCUAUUAGCCUCCUAUCCCAUUUAUAAUUAGUUUUCACACUCAAUAUGUCUUGGUUAUGUUUCAUGUGCAAGAUUUAAGUGGUGAAAAUUUGAGGAGUUUGUUUAACCAAAGUACAAUAUGCUUUUCCCAGGGAAGCUGCUUGGCUUUUUACUGCAAAAUAAUUUCCCAGGUCAAUGCUGGGAUUCCCUUUUUUUUUUUUUUUUUUAAGUGGCUUGUUUGUGUUGUCAUCCUGCACUUGGUUUUGUGAAUUGGAUUUUGACUUUGCUGGCUUGUUCAAACUUCCAAGUUUCUUAAACACAAGUACCUCCCGGAAUAGAGAAAAUACCAAAUUGAGGCCGGCUUCUACUUUGUGUAUUAUCCGCAAUCAGGUUUGGUUAGGCAGAGCCAAAGAAGAAGUAAGAUUUACAGCAACUAGUAGGCGUUGUUCUGAAGCCGCGGAUUAAAACGCAUACACAGAGUCAUGCCAGUAAAGAGAGAGCAUUGGCAAUCAAAUAUCAGAGGGUGAAUUACACACAAUCCCCUUGUAGUUUUGAAUAAUACCACAUUUCAAAAUAAGAAGAUUUACUUGUAUUGGCCGUCAAAGUCUUAGAGGCAUAGAAAAGUAGAAAUGCAUUCCUUGUUACAUAUCCUGAGCUAGCAAUGAAUAGGAUUUGAAGCCAAGAGACAAGUUCACAUAGAAGUAAUUUUACAAAUAGAUGCUAUGUAAAAUAUCAGUUUGAUGAACUAAGGUUGACCUUGUAUGUUCCCAUUUAAUUCUUGAUCCUGUUCAAUUGAUUUCCAUAAUUUCAUCUCUCCAACGUUCCCAUCCACCAAGUGGGAUCCUCUCUUGAAUAGAAAUUGGUGCCUCAAUUCAUCUGAUUUAACAUAAAUAGAAGGGCUCAAGCUGACUGAUUCUUGUGCUCCGAGUCCUGUCUGAGAUUUACAGAUACAAAGAGCAAUGGAAAAAGUAUCAUUGGGCACAACUUGUAGUCGACUGCAGAACAGUGAGAAAAAAUAUGUUGCCUGUUAUAGAGCUAAGAUACAACUUCAAGAAGGAUGCAAGCACCUAUCAGGGUUCAGCUAAUCCACAUCUUUCUGCUGCUUUGAACUACAAGCAGUAUGGAAGAUAUGGCAAAUUGAGUUCCAAAAGAAGUAAAAUAGCACCUCAUUAACAUGUCUACAAAUUGCUGAAUUGGUUGGACAGUUCAACAGCACCAGACAGACAGGGAAGAUCUCAGGCUUUGGGCAUCCGAGGCAGAGAGCAAAAGGGAAUUCCAUGCCGGAUGUUUUCAUCUGAUCUGACUGAAUCAGGAUCUGGUUCAACAAGGGAUCACAGGACUUCAUUACAAAUGAUAGUAAGAGCGAGCUAUCAAGGUUAAUGUUGAUCUUCGAGUGUAAAAUCACUGCAAAACACAAAAACUCAAACUUAAGAAACUCAAGACAGCAUGUAGUCAAGAAUAAAGCCAGCACAUAGUUGCAUGACAUUUUUGUUGUAUUUGAAACACUAAAAUAAGAACUUACCAUGAAGAGAUGAGCAAUAUCAACAAGUAUAGGUUGUAGAAUGAGCUUCAUAGCCAUCAUCACAGCGGAUGAAAUAAUUGCAGCCAACAAGCAUGCUUGGCAGUCUCGACUAACCACAGCGAUAUGCUUCGAAACUGGCAGCUUAGACUUGAUUGUGUUAGAAGAUGCUCUGAAAAAACAUCUUCCAUGGCUGCUCCAAAAAACAUCUUCCAUUACGAGAAGAUUUCUCAAGUUUUAGUUGUAAUAUAUUCAGAAUCAAAGUAUUUAAAAGUCAAAAUUGCGUAGUAAAAGAAGAGUAGUAUAUCUGAACUUACUGGACUCUUAGAACCAAAAACCAAUUUGAUGACCAACACUCUGGAAACUCCUGAAAUCUUUCAGGCUAGAAAAUCACAACCAACGAAAAGUGAGACAGAAACCCAUCAUUUACAAGACUUAUCGAACAAAUCACUAAUCAAAUGGUUCAAGAAGCUUGAUAAAUGCGCCCUCAAGGGGCCAUUAAACUUUGGAGCCACUAUUUACUCCCUCUAGAAUCAUAAGCUAGGGAGCUGAUCACUUUAGCAAUCACAUCUUACAUCCACAAAAGCAGAUAUAUAAAAUCAACAAAACAAAACUCCUAGUCACUUCAAAACAGAAAACUGGAAAUUGCAUGACAUUCUUGUUUGGUCAAUUAUUCAGAAAGCUAAAUCAAUAUUUGUUCUUGUUGUUCUUUUCUAACCUAAAUCAGCAAGAAGAUAUCAAAUCUUUCUGGUCAGUCUACAAGUACCAGAAGUAUCAUAGAAACUAUAUUAGUUUUUGUUCAAAACACUGAAAAAGGAGGAGUUCUAUAACAAUAAUGACAAUGAGUGGCAACACAAGCAUGAAAGGAAGAGAGCCUCAGAAUUGCCAUGAAGGCGAUCUCUUUGAGACUGCAAGAUGCAACAGGCAGAGCUAAUUACAACUAUUUUACUUAAAUCUCAUAUGACAACUUCAGUAGAGGAUAGUCUACCAACUCUCUACCGCUUGAAAAACAUCUUAACAUCUUAACCCAACAUUAAGUAAUGGAAGAAGAUUGUUGGUAUUAUAAAUUAUCAGACCACCAAUUUCACAACCAAAGGCAGUGAGAGUAACUCGAUUGACCAUUGGAUUUAGGUCAAGAGAUCAUAGCUAAAGAAAGAUGAUAAAUAUAUUGGAGCAAUUAUGUCGAAUCCCAUCAUUUAAGAGACAUAAUAAGAAUACCAAUUAUCAGAUAAUUUCGAGCAAGAUGAUAAAUAUAUUUAAAAGAGAUCAGAGCAAGCAUUUCCAUCCCGGUAGACUCUCAAGUUUAAAGAGAAAUAGCAGUCAUGAUGGAAAUACAAAAGUAAACUGGAAGUAGCAGACAUAUGAGAUGAGCAAAAGUAAACUGCUAGUUUUUAUUUUAAAAAAAGAAUUUUGCACCGUAGAUGUAAAUACAAAAAGUUUUUCAGCUUUGGCAUCGUGUUAAACUGUCCACACUCCACAUCAAAUAACUUGCUCUUGAACAUCUGUUGAGCUUUUAGCUUUGACAAACUAAAUUUCUAAAAUUGCAAUUUACUUCGAUAAUUCACAGCUUAUAAGGUAGUACAAUUAAUGAUUGAGAUGUCUAUUUGCAACCUGCAAUCAACUUGCAAAAUGAUAAUUCUUCAGUCCUUACUGUUACAUUACUAGACAACAUCUUGGAAACAGACGUUUUAAAACUUCAGAUAUUUUGCAACAAAAUCAUCUUACCAUACAAUAUUUAUCACCUGAUAUUGGAUAGAUUUAAAAGAAUUUAGUAAUGAUUUUACUGGAGUAUGUUGUCCUGAAGAAACAAAAAAUUAGAAAUUGACUCCUAAAAUCUUUGUCCAUCAUUGCCUCUCUAUAAUUUUCUGUUCCAUCAAACUUUGAUUUUGACAAUCUAUUUCAUGAAUGUAAACGCAUUAUCAUUCUUUUCUAGCAAAUUGAUAACCAAAUGAACUUUUAGAGUACUUAGUUGGCCGAGGAGCUUUUAGAUUGAAAAUCUCAGGAAGGCAUGUUUGCCUGCAUUCCAAUAAAGAUAGAAGAGCAAAUUUCAUGUCAUUUUUGAGCUAGGAAUCUUACAGAGAGAAAGGGUUUCUUUUUGUUGCCUUUGAUCUAAAACUAAUGAGCAGGAAAAAGGCUUGAUACUAAGUACAUCUACUAAUCCAUUUAAAACAAAUUCCCUAACGUUACAGUACUUCUUGAAAAUUUGGAAGCUUCUCAUUGUCAAUCUGUUUCUCUAAUACAAGCUCUACCGCCAACCAAACCCCCAUGCUCAUCAGCAGAAAUUCACGGUAAUGAUGGCUCUUGAUCUUGAAAGACAUUACAUAAGUUGGGGAAAGAAAUUCAGGUGAGCAGUUUGUAGAGGCCAGCUGACAAAGAUAGAGCAUUUUAUCAGGUUUUAGGCACUAGGAAGAAAGAAAAGUGUGCCUGUAGCGUCCCAUCCUAAUCAUUUCUGUCCAAUUGAAACAGGAUUUGAUUCAACAAAGUUUUCAAAAGUUACAAGCUGUGUAAUUCAAUCAGUAAGUAAGUGCAAUUGUAGAUUUCUGUUGACAUUUAAGCCUGAGAUCAUUGCAGAGCAGAAAACUCGAGCUGAGACAAUAAGUGAACAAGAAAGCUAAUCAGAAAGUUCAGAAAAUUCGACAAUAGUUUUGUUCUGUCAUUCUUACAGAAGGCUAAAAUAUGUCUUGUUUGUUAUGAAACUAAAUGGAUAAACAAGUACUGAGUCGUGUUUACAAUUACAGUGGUUUGGUUCCAACCACAAAGCAAGUAAGCACAAUCAUAAGCUUGAAAAUAAUGAUAGGCAAUUUGCAUUUUACAUUGAGGCAUUGAGGAACAGUAGAGCUAUGGGCCGCUGAGGAACGUAGAGCUAUGGGGAUUCACAUUUAACUGCUACCAAAACACCAGUUAAUUCUAACUUCUAACUGUGAGCAGUAUGCCACAGAUGACAAUUUGAACCCUAAAACAUGUACAUCAGCCCCUCAUUAUCAUGACUAAAUAUCACUGAAUCGUUUGGACAGUUUAAAAGAACCUACCCCAAUGGAUAUCUUAGACUUUGGCCAUCUGAGGCACAGAGCGAAAGCGAAUGCCAUCCUAGAUGUCACUAUUCAACUGAAGCAGGAUCUUGUUCAGCAAAGAAUUGCAGGACUUUCAAAAAGUAAAGACAGUAAGAGCCAUCGAUUAGGUUCCCUGUUAAGCUUUGUGCUAAAAUCACAGCAAAGCACAAAAACUCAAACUUAAGACGACUUUCAGGACAGAAUAAAGCUAAUGGAAAUUUUCAGAUAAUUGCAGGUUUUCUAUCAUUGUAACUGAAGCCCCAGAAGGCAAAACUUACCAUAAAAAAAAAGAAGCAACCAACAAUCAUAAAAGCAGAGAGAGCUUAAGAGGCUUUAUCAAGGUGGAUUCAUUAAGAGCUGAAAGUCGCAACAAACAGACUUGACCAACUACUGGAAUGCUUCAAAAUAUUCCACUUAGACAAGAAUGUUGGAAGAUACUCCACCAAGUUUUGUGCAAGAUUUCUUUUGUUUUAUAUGUGAUAUAUUACAUAUUAAAGUGGUUAAAAGUCAAAAUGGAGUAGUGAAAGAAGAGAAGCAUAUCUAAAAUUACCAGAAUUUUUGAACCAAAACAUGAAUUCUUCAUGGCUCAAAAGUCAAAAUGAAGGAAAAGUGAGUCAGACAACCGUCAUAUAUGACUCUGAUAGAGCAAUUACUAAUCAAAUAGUUCAGAUAAGUUUGCAAGUUCAUUAUCAAGAUGUCAAAGUUCAGAGAAACCAUUUCAUCCCCUCAGAAUCACAAUUUUAAAUAGAGUGAGCUGACUUUAGCAAUAAUAAAUUAAAAUCCAUAGAAACAGACAUUUAAAAUAAACAAAACUAGACUGCUAGUUGUUUUAAACAUUAAUAGGAUAUUUGUAGGAAAUGCAGGCCAAAAGUUAUUGAGUUCCAGCCAUAUAGAUGUUACUGAAGAAGCUUCAAAAUUCUAACCUCUGUUUGUCUAAGCAAGAGACCACAAAAAUCAGCUUGGAAAGUUUUGAAGAAAGGAGUGUCAUCAGCAUUGCUGAUCUAAAGACAUAUAGAAAAUGUUUCACAAAUUUUCUGCAGAUGCUAUGAAUAUAAAAUGCAAAUGCAUUUUCCACGGACAAAAGUGCAGAGAACUCAUUUCAUCCUGAUGCAAAUCGUGAGUUUAAAGCUGAGAGCUAAUCUUAGAAAUAAUCUUUUACAUUGUUACUUGAUUAGUUAAUUUGUUUCACUUCUCUUUUAUGCAGAACUUGCUUUGGUCACCAAGAAAAUCUUGUGCCUUUGGUUAUUCAUACACAGACAAGAUAUUAAGUCAAGCUUCCAUUGAAGACAUGUAACCAUCACCUAUUUAUGGUAAUGUUUAUGGAGUACCUAUAACUUUCAAUCAAGAUACAGAAACCUAAGAAAGACGCCAGACAAAAUUGAAAAGAACAACUUCAUGCAAUUCUUCGUUUUUGGUCAAGCGACUACCAACAUAAGAUUUACUCAACAUCAUAUAGACCAGUAAUUUUGGAAUAACUAUGAAUCUUAAAGUAAGAGCAUCAUUCUAGACUUACGAUUUUUAACUGAAAAAGAGAACAGGCAAGCUCAUAAAAUCAUGUUGUAUCUAAUGGAGCUAAGAUACAACUUCAAGAAGGGUGGUGAGUAGCUUGCAAAGGCCAACUAACAGACAAUAAGCAGUCAUAAAGACAGACUGACAAUUUUCCGCAACUAAAUUGCAGCUAAUUUGAGAGGCAAGCAGUAUGAGACAGAAUAGCAAAUGAGGUCCAUAAUUGAUGAAUUACUACCUCAUGUCAUGGCCAACAGGUUGAAGGCAUCACAUUCACACCGUAGAUCUCAGGCUUUGGCCAUCUCAGUCACUUAGGAGCGAAAGAGAGUGUCAUUCUAUAUGUUUGUCUCCAAUUUGAAAAUGAUGUGGUUGAAGAAGGAAUAAUGGAUAUUGAUACGUAUGGCAGUAAUUAAGCCAUUGAGGUCUCCCGUGAGCUGUGAGCAUAACACCACUGCAAAAUAGAAUACUCAAAACUCAAGACAGUGUAUAGAAAAUCAUAAAGCUAACUAGAAAAUUCGGGUAAUUGCAGGACAUUUCUGUUCAACAAAUCUUGCAGAAAGCUUAAGAAAAAGAGAUAUUGUCAUUGAUUUCAAACCUAAAUAGCAGAUACAAAAUCUUUCUGCUCAGUCUCAGGUACCAAAUUCUUAUUGCUAGACCUCGUGACUGAAAUGGCAGACUGACAGUGUGCAAGCUUCGACAAUAAGGAUAUUUGGCUAUUUGAGGCAGCAAUAUGAAAGAAAAGAGGGCCAUCAUAAACAUUUCUGUCCAAGAUACUGGGUUUGCAAUUGAAUGAGCAAUUACUGCUAGUUGUUCUAAACGUUGAUAGGUCAUUUGUAGGAAAUGCAGGCCAAAAGUUAUGGUGCUGAAGAAGCUUCAAAAUUCAAACCUCUGUUCGUGAAGCUAUUCUUCUAUCAAUCCUACAAAAACAAAGCAUAGAACAGAAUAUGAACAGAGAUACAGUAAAACAUCAAAGCACGAAACAGAACAGGUGCUUGCGGUCAUUCUAAUUGAUAGUUACAAGAGUAUUACUAUUAUGUUGUAAGGAGUAAAUGAAGAGCACCAAUAUUUUGGACCUAAUAAGAAAUGCUAAUGCCGCAGCUUUGAGAGAUAAUAAAUAGGACGAUAAAAAGGGAAAAGAGAAAAUUGUGAAAAUAACCACGGGUACUUUUUUAGGUUUUCUCACGAGAAGGUUAAUCAGAGGGGGAGGUGAAGAGAAGGGGAGAUUGAUUGAUUGUAAAGCAAAUUAAGAAAGAGGUUAUUGAAGGCAAUCUUACAUGAUUGAAUUUGAUCCAAAGAUGAAAGUUGGUUAUUAAUCGGUUAUGUCUAGGUGUUGAAUGUGAGAAACUUUGGACCACUGGGAGUCGGCGCCGCUGCUCUCAGGAGUGCAUCUUUCUUUUAACAGAGGAGAACCAUAAACCUCCAGACGUUUUAAUUUGGUGAGACUUCUCAUGGCAUCCUCAGAGGGUAGAUGUCCAAGCUCUUUGAAAAACCAUAAGUGCAAGUCUUCAAGAGCCGCAAAGUUUCCGAACCAAUCUGGCAGAGCUUUUAUACCUCCAAAUUGAUAUAGCGUUAGUGACGUCAUAGUGGUCAAGUAUUGGAUCUGAGGUGGCAGGGACUCCAUGUAUGGCAACCCAUAUAAGUCUAAUUCACGGAGUGCGGAUGACGAAGAGGAGGAGGAGGAUAUCAAUCCAGACCAAUCAAACUCAUUGUAAAUUGAAGAAUUUUCAUGAUCAUCUGAGAAGGACCAAUUACAAGCUUCCUUAAGCUGGUUAGGAUACCAAAUCCUCUGGGCGUCAUGCUUGUUUUCAGUUUGGGACACCAAUAUAAUCCCAGCUCCAAGAGAGAAGGCGUUUGUCGCAAAUCAAGUGGAAAGGAGAUAAGAUUGUCGCAAGCAAAAACCCGAAGCUCCUGGAGAGAGGUACAAGAGUGUAGCAUGUCACCUGGCAGAUUCGUAAAGUUGAAGCAAUAAAAUGCCAAAUGAGCUAACUUGGGGAGUGUUGUUGGCAAAUCCAUUAACCAUCGAGGAAAUUGAUUGCCCAUAAAAUACCAAAUUACCAACUCCUCCAAAUUUGAAUGGGGUCGAAGGCCAUCUAACACAUCUUUGUCGUUGUAGUUGUCGCCUUCUCGGUUGUAGGCCCACUCAAGUUGCAGCCUAAAUAGAUUUGCCUUUUCAGAUAGUUUUGCUUCCUCAGCUUCUUCCUUAUCCUUUGCUAGUUCCAGAUUGCGUAUAGUUAAACUGCCUUUGAGGUUCUUCAAGCUUCCAAGCUCUCCAAUUCGUCGACCCUUCUCUCGACCCACGUUAAAGAACUCCAGCGUCUGAAGGCAAGUCAGCCGUCCCAUCUCUAGCGGCAUUUGAAAUGCUUUAUCCAUGAUGUAAAGGUGGAGAUGUCUCAAGCUAAUCAAAUCGCGCAUCCCCUUCGGAAGAACUUUAAGAAAGUGACUAUUUAGCCUCAGUGUCUGCAAAUUAUAAAGUUUGCAAACAGAUUCCGGCAAAGUUUCACUUGUGGAAUCCUCAAAGUUAAUGUACCUCAAGUGUCUCAGUUUGCCAAUUGAGAUUGGCAGAUUCUGAUUUUUUGCACCGGACAAAUUCAAAACGUGCAAAUUCUUCAACUUCAUUAGCAUAUCAUCAGAUAAGCUACCCUGACUCAGAAACAAUGUAUGAAGCAAAUUUGAUCGACUCUCAAGAAGAUUUUUUGCACCUUCUCCAAAUGAGUCUAUUACAAGACAACGAACCUAUUACUAUUGUCUCCUGAACCAGUCUCCGAAUUAAUGAAUUUAGUAGACUUUGACAUUAUUGAUUUUGAGACUUCGUGUACCAUAUCAUGCAUUUUAUAACAUUCCUUCUCCAACCGUCUCUUAUUUCUUCCAGCAAAGAACUCUGCAAUAAAAUUUCCAAGUAAUACUCUCCAAUUUCCUCCAUUGUUUUGUUCUCGAGACCUGCAUGGAGGAAACCUUCUGCCAUCCAAAGUUCGAUCAGCACAUCCCCUUCCAUCUCAGCAUCCUCGGGAAAAAUAGAACAAUAUGCAAAACAUUUCUUGACGGCUGGUAAUGGCAAAUUAUCAAAACUAAACUUAAGUAUUUGCCUCACAUGGUCUCCACCUGCACUCAAAAGCCUAUUCUCCAAAAUUGAUUGCCACUCCUCUUUUCUCUUUAAAGAUAAUAGACCUCCGAUUACACUUGCAGCCAAUGGUAGACCGUCACAUCUUUUGAUUACUCUCUCUUUAAUUGCUUUUAGUUCAUCAGGUUCUUCUUCCCUUCCAACUACUUUUUCUUUUAGGAUAGACCAGCAAAGAUCAUCAGGUAGCCUUCCUAAGGCAUAGGCUUCAUCAUCCAUCCUCAGAACUUUCAACACAAUAUCUGCCAGUUGACCAAUACGAGUAGUGACAAGACACCAGCUUCCAUCAGUUGGAUUGAGCCCCUUCAAGGUGGUGAAAAAGUCAUCCCACAAUGCCUGAUUAUCAUCCCACACAUCAUCAAGGACAAGGAAAUAUCUUUUUCCCUCUAGUUGAUUCUGAAUUUUUUCAACGAUGACAUUCCUAUCAUCCACUUCAACCUUUUCUCCCGUCAAUUGCACUAGUAUGAGUUUGAAAAGUUCCACUACUGGAACUUUUUUUGAUACGCAAACCCACAACUUUUUCUGAAAGUGCCCAUCAAUUUGGUGAUUGUUGUAUAUCGAUUUAGCCAAAGUUGUUUUGCCUAGACCUCCCAUACCAGUUAUGGGAAGACAAGAGACAACCUUCUCAGAUGGGCUCAACAGCAUCUUCACUAUCUUUGAUUCAUCAUCGGCUCUUCCAGUCAUUGGAACAGCAACCGAGUCGGUCUGCCGAUUUCUUCUGUCUCCAGCAUCAGCAGCAGCAGGGAGGGCAGCUGUCAUCACUAACCUACUGACCAGCUCCAAUCUGUUGGCUUCUUCAUUUAUCUUAUUCAACUCAAGGUUGAUGUCCCUGACCUUAGAAGCCAUUCUCCAACGAAAAGCAAGAUUAAUGUUAGAGAAGGAGAAGAAGCAGCAUACCUUGAGCUUGUGUCGGUUUCGGGACUCCACCUGUUGACGAAGGGAUUCAUAGUGGAGCUCAUCCAACACAUUGUCCGCCUCAUAAGCCACCUCCUCGAGACUCUUCAACCAUUCUUGCACUACCCGUCCUGGUUUUGUUGUCUUUCCUCAGCAUCAGCCAAGAAAGCAUUGAUCCAGCGGAGAGUACGUGUCAUGCUGGCAACAUCCUUCUUGAACCCAACUAACAUACCAAUCCUGUCAGUGGCAAGAGAUACUGCCGUCUCCAAGGCAACCUGAAUAGUGGCACUGAUAACAGGGUCGGCCAUUUCUUCUUCCGUGGAUAUACAGCUCUGAGAUCAAGAUGGUUUUUUUUUUUGAUGGAAGUGUUUUUGCAGCGAGGAACUGGUAAUCUUAUCUAGGCUAGUAUAAUUGGUUAUGAAGAAAGGAGCAUUAAUAAUUAUUGCGCGUAGACGUGGAGUUCUUCUCUGACAAAUUUGGAAGCUUUUGCAUUGGCAUGUUUACAGAGUAACUUUCUCAAUAACCAUUGUUUUUGUCCACUUACAUGCAUGUCAUUAUUGUUAAUCCUUGGAAAAUGAAUUUAUGACAUACAGUAAUUUGGUCUGAAUUUUGUUCGGUUUUGGGAAGCGACCACACUGGGAAGCAAUAAUAAUAAAUGUUCUCUGUUUUCGCACUAGCUAUGAUGCAUUUUGCUUCUUGGCUUAGUAAUUAGGCUUGAGAUUUUAAAUUACCUUUUGUACUUUAGCGUUUUCAAGUACAUAACAUGAUCGGUAUGAAAUCCCAACUUAUGUUUCCUUGUUGCAAAUCUUGCCAAAACUUUAUAAGAAAUGUCUUAUCAAUUUCUUUGAUACCUGAAACACUAGAAAUUUCUCAUUCCUUAUGCGUAUUCUUGUUUAAUUAUUUAAUUUGGUUCCUGAAACACAAGAAGUUAGUAAAGAAUUUCGAUCCAAUUUGGUGCAACGUUUCUUUGACAAACUGAAUCGGAUGCUCCUGCAAUGAAAGUGUUUUUUUUUAUAGCAACAAUAACUUUCCUACAACCUAAUCUAAUCUAUUCUAUAGAGAAAGGGAGCCUAAUCUAUUUUAUUCUACAUGCCAGAGAGCCUAAAAAGACUAUAUAAGUGAGUUGGUAUACAGACCUAAUCCUAAUUAUAUCGUAUUUUGACGCUUUUUUUAAUUUUUUUUCAUUACGUAGAGUUCGAACUCCACAUUUACAAUCCAAAAAAAAAUUAAUCUCUUUUUUGUUACCGCUGAGCCAAAUCUCCCUUGUUUGUAGCAUAGUAGUUGCCGGGAUUCUUCAUCUGCCUCUGAUCCACAUGCCACUUGCAUGGGGGGCCAUCGGAUGUGGAAAAUUCCACCCAAGAAGGAAAAGAAACCGAGUUGAAUGAUGAAGAAAAGAAAAUGGCAAUCAUCAUUGAGACUCUAAUAAAUCUCACUCCUCAGUUCCUGGGACGUGAACGUACAAUUAAUAAUUCCAUCUAAAUUGCUGAUCCUAGGUGGAUCAGAUUUGAAACAUAUUAAUCAUUUGGAGACUCCUUAUUUUGUUUGCUUUCUGCAGGGGAUUUGAAACACAUUAAUUUCUUUAAAAUCCUCCAAUUUCUUUAAAAUUCACAGACCCCCAAAGUUCUCCAUUUCCAUGCUAGCUAUAUAUUUUCUUCUUAGGCUAGUUCAGAAUAGCUAGAAAUUUACAGUGGAUGCUUUUGUCAGCUCUUUAACCACUGGUAGAAAGAAGUGCUGCAGUGGAUACCAUUAUUAAUUGCCAUGCAGAAGUUUGCAUGCCAUUAUUGACUUGGCCUUUAUUGAUCAAUGCUUAGCUGGGUAUUUUACCUUUUUCUGAUUGAAAGCUGUCUGGGGCCUUUGGUCGUGGAAAAUAUCUCAAUGGUUUGACCCAAGACUGAGCCCCGCCAAAAAAAAAAAAAGAAAAAAAACUAUGUUCAACGAUAAAAAUGUAAAGGAGAAAGAGGAAAUGACAGCCAUAGCUGGUGACUUUGCAACAUUAAUUGCCUCAGUCAUUAAUCCUUGAGAAAUAGACUAAAAACGUUAUUUUGUGGGGGAAAAACUUUAAUAAAAAAUAAUCCUUGGUUCACUUAUCAAAAACAUGAAGUGGAGUUAGCAAUCAGGUUUGGCAUAUAGCGACAUAAUUGGGCAAUGGUUGGGUGCUUUCUUAGCUUUUACACUUGUGAAAUUGCCAAAAUAAUCACUCAUAAUUCCACAAGCUUUCUAGCACUUUAAAAUUUCAGACAUUUUGUUUCAAAAUGUCUUGUUUAUGUAUAGCAUGCAAAAUUUAAGUGUGAAAGUUUAAGGAGUUUCUUUAUUACCAAUUUUUUUUUGGAGUGCAAUAUACAAUCAACUGAAGUUAGAAGUGAAAUAGACCUUUAGCUCACACUAUGAUUAUACACUUUGACUGAAUUGGGAUGUUUUGGGAAGGGGAAAUGAGCAUGUUCUUGUGGAUUUCAAUUUUUACAAUUGAAUUAUUUGCCUAUGAUAUGUUCACAAGUUUAAUUUAAAUCGAGUUGUGAUAAUAGAAGAUUGUCGAAAGAAGACUUCAAAAGGUGGAAAUUGAUGGGGAAUAAACUGGUUAUUUGGAUACUUGAGUUUUCCCCAUUUUUGUAUCCGAUUCUUUUAUAAUUAAUUUUUCUCGUCCUAAAAAAUUUAUCUUUUUAGCUAAAUUUGAAUUAUUUUUUCUUAUGGUUCUUCUUUCUUCUAACAAUAUGAUAAAUUUGUUUAAUUUUUUUUAUCCCUAUGGACUAACUUAGUGUCAAAAAACUUUAACUAUUAACUGAUAGAUUUAUUAAUAUUGCUAGAAAUUGAAUAUUUGUUUAUGCAUAAAUAAAUUGCUAAAUUUUUCGUCCUUAAUUAAGUAGGAAUAUGUAACUAUGUUUAUGGUUAAUAUAAAAAUUGCAAUAAUGUAAAAACUAUACAUACACAAAAGGGUAGAGAGAAGAGCAUUGAUAUUUGGUCGCUUAAAAGUGCAGAGUUAUUCUUAACUUUGAUGCCUUCCUUUGCAAUGGAAAUAUAUAUUCCUUGCAUGGCAUCUUCGCUUUAAGUUUCUUGGAUGCUUUGAAAUGCAGAGUUAUUCUUGGCUUUGAUGCCUUCCUUCGCAAUGGAAAUAUAUAUUCCUUGCUCGGCAUCUUCACUUUAAAUUUCUUGGAUGCUUUGAAAUGGAAAUUCCUGGCAUGGGAUUUUCACUUUAACUUUCUUGCUGGGGCGGGGCCUUCAUCCUUACAUUUGCUGUUUGCUUAACAUAUAUUUCAUUCAUUCGUUAAUCCCUGAAAGAUGAACUAAUUAGAACAUAAUUUGGUCUUAACGCACACCUUAAUCUGUUAGCUAGAGACGUAUAUUAAGUGAAUAGUCAAUACAAAAAUCUAUUAGGCUUCUAAUUAUUUGUUAAUUCAAAUUUUGAUAUUGUUGAUGUUGAGCAUCGAGCCUUUUCAACUUUGCAUAAUCAAUGAGUACCCCACAUUCUGAACUGUGGUGAAUGAAGUUUGGCAAAGAAUAACUUCAAAUGUGGAUUUGCUUCAAACGUUAUAUUCUGAAAUGAAGUUCGGCAAAUAUAGCACCUGUGGAGCUCCAGUCCUUAAAGUUUUGACAAAAACAAAUUUAGUCCUCAAGCACGAUUGUAGUCCCUAAAGUUUCUAUAAGAACAACUCUGGUCUCUAACGUAUCCAAUAUAAAGUAGAUUUAGCAUAACUGAAUAUUUUUACAUUAUUGACAGAAUUUAUUCAUGUUUCCAUUAUAUUAAAUAUAAAAAAAAAAGAAAAAAUAGUGGCUAACUCUAAACAACAGUAUUAAGGACAAACAACUCAUUAGCUAACUAAUUAACUGGUAAAAAUUUGUUAAAAGUACAAAAUUCAAAUUAGUUGAAUCACUUAAUUCAUCAAUUUAAAACUUACUUUUUCUCUCUAUCCCUACCAACCCUAAGAAACGAAAAAAAGCCAUUGAAUUGCAUCUUUGCUUACAAAAUUAAUUUAAUGUACACAUGACUGAACGUUACUAAAUUCCCAUAGUAAUUAAAAAAAAGUUAGUCGAUUAUCCUAAAUUUGCUUAAAAUUGGAAACAUUUUGGGACAAAAAUUAUUUUUGAUCAAACUUUUAGAAGUAAAAUAGUUCAAGUGCCAAAAAUUGAGGACCAUACUUGUUUUUGCUAAAACUUUAGAACUAAAACCGUGCAAGUGCAAAACACUAAGGACAAAAACUACAUUUUUUCCAAAAGUUAAAAGAAACUUCAAAAAACUAGAAAAAAAUAUUAGCAAUCGGCGAGGUGUGAGAUUUAAGAAACCAGAGUUUUGAAUUUAGAACUUCUACUGUUUAUAUAGUUUCAAAUACAAAAAAUUUGCUUUUUAUGCUAUCUAAAAGAAUUUGUAAUGGAACUUGAUGAGUUUAAAUGCUUUCGCUACAGCACCAUUUUGAUUGCAUUGUAUUAAUUCAUUUACUCAUAAUUGUAUGUUGUACAAUGAUAAAUAAUGUUUCUUGAUUUGAUUGAAGCAACUAUUAUCCAUAGUUCAAACGAGUCAAUUAAGUAGAAAUGCUAUAUUGGAUACUUAUAAAGUAAACAUUGAAAAAUAUCAUUAAGCAGUUUCUACCUAUAGUUUGCAAUUCGAAUUCAUAUGAGGAAUUUCUUCUGAUUUUAGUUACCAUUUUUCUAAAAUUUCAAAUUUAGAAAAUAUUAUUUGCACCAAUUUUUUAUAAUCAAGAUAGUUUCAAUUCAGAUCUUUAACAAUUAUGCAGAUUUGAACUUAUUUAUGAGAUUAUAAAGAAAUGCCCCUAGCAAAAACACCAAAUCUGAAUAGUUUCUACAAAACUUUGAAAAAGACCACUUAAGUUUCUUAUCUAUCUAUCACUUUUGGGCAUUAUUAUCUCUGUAAGAAACAUGUGAUUAAGUCGUAUUAUGCCCACCUAAUUAUAUAAAUAGUUAGUCAAAAAUAAAAUUAUUUUAGUAUUGUCUCCUGAACCAGUCUCCGAAUUGAUGACUUUAGUACACUUUGACAUUAUUGAUUUUGCGACGUCGUGCACCAUAUCAUGCAUUUUAUAACACCUUCUCCAACCGUCUCUUAUUUCUUCCAGCAAAGAACUCUGCAAUAAAAUUUCCAAGUAAUACUCUCCAAUUUCCUCAUUGUUUUGUUCUUGAGAUCUACUUGAAGGAAGCCUUCUGCCAUCCAAAGUUCGAUUAGCAUAUCUCUUUUCAUCUCAGUAUCCUUAGGAAACAUAGAACAAUAUGCAAAACAUUUCUUAACGGCUGGUGAUGGUAAACAAUUAAAACUCAAUUUAAGUAUUUUCAUGACACUGUCUUCAUCUCCGCUCAAAUUUGAAAGCUUAUUCAUCAAAAUCAAUUCCGACUCCUCUUUUCCCUUCAUGCGCAAUAAACCUCCCAUUGCACUUGCAGCUAGCGGUAGGCCACCACAUUUUUUUAUAAUUUCCUUUUUCAUGACUUGCAAUUUUUCGGGAAUUUCUCCACCUGCAUUGGCUUUCUCUGUUAGGAUAAACCAACAAUCAUCAUCAGAUAGCUUUCCUAACACAUAAGGAUCAUGUGUGGCCACAAUGGAUGCAGUUUGUUGUUUGCGAGUUGUCACAACACACCAAUUUCCAUUAGUUGCAUUCAGGCCCCGUAACAAACGUAAAAAAUCAUCCCACAAGAUUUGGCUUUCAGUCCAGACGUCAUCAAGAACAAGAAGAUAUUUUUUCCCCACAAGUUGUUGUCUAAUUUCCUGGACAAUGACAUCCCUACUGGUUAUUUCAACAUUUCUUCUCGUGAGUGAUUCUAAAAUCAUUUUCAAAAGCCUUGUCACUUCAAAAUUGUCGGACACGCAAACCCAAAUUUUUUUCUCAAAAUGGCUAUCAACUUGGCUAUUGUUGUAUACAGAUUGAGCUAAAGUUGUCUUUCCCAAUCCGCCCAUCCCAAGGAUGGGAAUUACAGAAACGGCAUUUUCUGACAAGCUUAGCAAAAUCUCCACCAGCCUUGUUUCAUCCUUAGCUCUUCCUACAACAUAAUGGCCAGCUAUAGAAUCCGUCUCUCUAUUUAGAGUGACUUUAGCAGUUGUAGAAGGGGGGAAAGUUGCCCUUUGGAAUCUGAUCAGUCCAAAAUCAUUCGCUUCUUUAUUGAUCUUAUUCAACUUCUUGUUGAUGUCGCUGAUCUUAGAGGCCAUUCUCCAUCGGAAAACGAUAUUAAUGUCAGAGGACAGGAUGAAGGAGCGUACCUUGCCCACGAGUUGGCGAUGAAGAGCUUCAUAAUUCAGCUCGUCCAACAAAUUCUCAGCAUCAAACGCCACGGCUUCCAGCCUCUGGAGCCACAGUUGCACGGCCUGGUCGUGCGUUUGCUUUUCCUCAGCAUCAGCCAAGACAGCUUGUAUCAUGGCAACGGAUCCUCUCAGGGUCUCCAAAUCCUUCUUGAAUUGGAAUAACUUGCCAAUCCUUUCAUUGGCAAGGGCAAGUGUCUUCUCCAGUGCCACCUUUAUUGUGGAAGUAAUAAGUGCAUCAGCCAUUCUUUUUGUUCCUUGGGCGAGUCUUCAGAUCAAGAUACUCUUUUGCAGCGGUAGGUUUUAGCUGUAGCUAGAAGCAGAAAGGAACUGCUCUUUACUCAAACGGAAGUGACAAGACUUAUGAGGAUUUUUUGGUGCUGCACUUCUUUGACAAACUGGAUCGGAUGCUUUUGCAACGGAAGUUGCUUGGCAUUUUCAGUUGAAAACAUAGAGGUUGCUGGGAUUCUGCAUCUGCUUUUGAUCCACAUUCCACACGCUUGGGCCCCUGGUCGUGGAAAAUUCCACCCAAGAAGGACAAGAAACUGUGCUGAAAAAUGAAAGGUCCACAAUAAUUUUUUAUAAGAGAGAAAAAGCAAAAGAGAAUGACAAUCAUAAUUGAGACUCCGACAAUUAAACAUAGUAUUAAUUCCUUGGGGAUCAGAAUUAAAACAUAUACAAGUACACCUUAUUUUGUUGGCUUUCUGCAAAGGAAUACGCUAACACUAUGGCUUAAAAUCCUUGAAUUUAUUUACGGCCCAGAGACUUCAAAGUCCUGAACUUUUUUGCUUUUCCACAAAGUGUAGAAGUGUUGCAGCAGUACAUCUUUGAGAAACUGGGAUCCCUUUAAUUGAAAUAGAAGUUUGGUUGGCAAUUUCACUGGGCCUUGUUAAUCAAUGCUUAGCUGAGGUUUUCAUCUGUUUCUGAUUGAAGAACGCCAGCUGGGGCCUUCGGUUGUGGAAAAUACCUCAAAUUUGAAGUCGAAUCAGUAAGCAGACUUGGUAUGUAACGAUUUAAAUUGUCUAGCAACUGGAUGCUCUUCUUAGCUCUUUACAUUCGUGAAAUUGUCAAAAUAGUCCCUCGUAUUUCCAAAAGUUUUCUAGCUCUUUGAACUUACAAAGAAGGAAUUAAGAACUCACAUUUUGACGCAAAACGUCUUAUUCAUGUCCCAUAUACGAAAUUUAAGUGGCGAAAAUUUUGAGCAGUUUCUUUAUUAUAUAUUAUUUAUUUUUUGGCAUACAAUAUACAAUGGAUUGGAAUUAGAAGUGGAAUAGACCUUUUAUCUUACGCUAUAUUUAUACACUUUUGCUGAAUUUAGAUGUUUCAAAGGGAGGAAAUGAGCAUUUUUUGUUGAAUGCUUUGCUGAGGCGCCAACUCUUAAACUGCUGAGGCAUUCUAUUGUUUGUGCAAAAAAUUCUGAAAAGAAUGAUGGUCUGACCGAGAAGCACAAGAAAUUAUUGUCCUUAACAAUUAGAAUGUUAAAAAAAAGGGGAAAAUGACAAUGAUGUUGUGAUUUUGGGUACAUUAUUCAUCCCAUUUUUCUAGUUCUUGAGAAAUAAAAUAAAACCACAGGUGGUGACAAUCACAGGUAAAUGGGAAGGGAAAUGACAAUCACGGGUGGUGACAUGGGCAACAUUAAUCAUGUCAUCUGUUAAUCCAGAAAUAAAUUUGAAAAGAAUAAUAAAUUGGCCUUACAAACUAUCCUUGGGAAUUGGACUAACAGCAUAACUGGAGUAAUAUUUUGUUUGCUUAAAAACUUUUAGAAUUUGGUCAAAAUCAAGAGACCACAAAGUGACCGCAAAGUGAUCAUUUCAUACAUCACGUAAUUGGCCAGAAAUGGUUUGCAUUUUAACUUGUGAAAAUUGUUUAAAUAUUCUCUCAUACUUUAGGAAGUUUUCUAGCGCAUCAAUCAAACUUGAAAGAAGGAAUUUAACAAGUCAUAUCUUAGACCGUAACUCUUCUAUUAGCCUCCUAUCCUAUUUAUGAUUAGUUUUCACACUCAAUAUGUGUUGUUUACGUUUUAUGUGCAAUAUUUAAUGAAGUGCUGAAAAUUUUGAGGAGUUAGUUUAACUAAAGCACAAACUUAAAUGUUGGGAAGUUGCUUGGUUUUUAACUGAAAAAAUUUCCAAGGCCAAUGCUUGGAUUCUUUGUUUUUUUCUUAAUUUCAAUCGCUUGUUUGUGUUGUCAUAUCGAUUCCUUAAAACAUAUUAUUUGGAUGUUUUGAAAUGGCUGUGGUUGUUUGACAAAUUUGGAUGCUUUUGUAUUGGCAUUUUUACUUUAACUUUAUCAAUUAUUUUGAUUGUGGACAAUAUCUCAACGAUUGUUGCAUUUAUGAGGAGAAUCAUUUAUGUCCAAGAUAAAAUUGAACUCGGGAUCCCUUACUUACAACACCUCCUACCUUAUCACCCACACCCAACCCUCCCCAACUUGAAUAAUAAUUUGGUCUUAAUUACUGAUCCUCAAGAAUUAGAAUUAGAGCGCGCAUCUUAUUUUGUUUGGUUCCCUCAAGUGCCAGAGCAAGAAUUUUUAUCGGAUCAAUUAACGGUCGGUUUUUGGCUAAUGAAAAUAUUCUAAAUAAGAUUGUGAAAUCAAUUAAUUUCAUAUACAAUCCAAAUAAGAUUAUGAACUCCUUAUUUGUUUAAUUAAUUUCAUAUGCUAAUGAUUGUAACUCGCCAAAUAAUUGACGGUGACUGUAAUAAAAUUUCUUUGUUAGGGGUCAAAGUUCUUCCUUUCCGCACUAACUGUGUUGCAUUCUGAUUCUCGGAUAAAUAAUUACGCUUUGUGACUUCAAAUUACAUAUUCAUUGACACAAAAAACACAUAAACUCUCCCUGAUUAUUAAUGAGUGACAAAUUUUAUUUGUAGAGCAUAUAGUCCACGUUCUACCAAUCUCAAACUCUCUAUAUUAUUUCUAGGUCCUAGACAAAUAUUUUUUUUUGUUUUUGAAAGAAAGAAUUUGAGUGAUUUCAACUCUAGUUAUCACUACAGUGAAACACGAUAGACUUUUGUAUUCAUUUAUUUAUUUUUUUAACAAAAAAAAGAGGUCCAACUAAGAAUCAGGCUAACUAACAAGAAAAAAGCAAUGUCAAUCGAUUUGAUUUUGGCCCAAGGAAAGUACAUAGCGGUUGAAUGUUCACUCAGUAAAAUGGUCAGAUCAUUGAGAAUCUGAAAGUAGAAGCAAUGACUCUAUUGCUUAAACCUGAAACAAUUUUCUGUGCUUAGACAUACUUUGGCAUAAUGCUUUCAUUUUUUUAUAUAAACUCAUUAUCUUCCCUUUUCUGGCAAAUCAGCAAUAAAACUCAACAUUUUCUCCGAGAGGCCUUUAGGCAUUGGCAAUUGUAGCACAAGCAAAGCAAUAAGAUGUUCAAUUCCAGCUAUACAUAUGGUAGCAAGAGUUUAUGAUCUGAAUCCGCAUAAAAAAUGAAUUGAGAUGCUAAUUUGAGACGAAUGAAUGUACUACUGGCCGCAUGUAAUGCCCUGAAUCGAAAAUGGCUACCACUUCAAUCCAUAGAAUCCACUAGCGUAAGGAGCAGAAAUAUGAUGAAGGAAACUGGACUGCAACAUGGACUAAUAAGAAUCAGAUAUGAUGAUUCUUGAUUGCUUCAGAAAAUCUUGUAUAUUUGAUUAUUUGACACAAGACGUCAAUAUGCUUCAAAUGAAAGAGUGAAUCCAACAAAUAAGGCAUGACAAGCUGUGAUUAAUGCCAUACAAACCUGAGUUUAUCUAUACGAAUUAUUCAGGAAGUUGCUGUUAGUUUCAUUGAAUUAACAGAGAAGAUAGUGAAGAGUGAAGAGUGAAGAGCAGAGCCAUUCCAAAAUGCCAAAGAGACAGAGAGAUUAUAAAGAUGAUCAACUAAUCAUAAUCAGCCACACGCCCUUCAAGAAGGGCAUCAUACAGGGAGGCAUGAAAAUAACAUUUAGUCCAACAUAACGACAUUCAACACGAAUAGCCAAAUAUCGGAGGUUUGAGAAAUGACAGCAAUUGUUGCAGUCAAGCAAUAGCAAUGAAAGGGGGGACUACACAUCCAAAAGAAGGCACAGCAAUAUGAUCAGUGUGGAACAAAAUUUUCAUUAUAAACUAAUUCAGAGCCAGCUACAACAUCACAGAAUUGCAGGCAAUAGACAUGAAACUUCCAAUACAAGGCCUUUGAUAGGUUGCAAUUCAUUCACUUAUUUUAUUAUUAAUUUCCCCUAUUACUUGACCUGAUGUGAAUUAAUUAUUAGAUUCUACUCACUUUUCGUAAUUUACAUUUAUUUCAGGGAGUAGAACGAAAAUAUAAUAACAGGUGCUAAUUUGGCAGGAAAAGAGUCCAGAUGAUAGAGCUUAUUCUAGGGCAUUUUUGGAACAACAAACGUGAGCCCUUGUUGGGCGAAUUGGGCCGAAGUCUUCACUUUCCUGCACAGGAGCCGCCGCAAGGAGUAUUCCUUUAUAUAGGAAAAUUAUGCAGGAAAAAGGGGGCUUCUUCUUCUGGUGCGGCGGACGCCGCACAGGAGCAAUAGGCUAAUUGGAAUAGGAGUUGCGCAGAGGAAGAGCAGUGACUCUCUUCUUAGUUUCUUUUGUCCUUUAGCUUAGUUUCUUUUGACUUUUCUUUCUUUUUAGCUUUUAGUAGUUCCUUGUCUUCCUUCGAAUGUUAGCCAAGAGUACAAGCAAUCAAUCAACUCAUGUAGCUUACUUUUCUUAUUGAUUUGAGCGAAUUGAAUUUGCCUAAUUCAUGGAUACGAAGGUCGCAGCUAUUGCCGCAAUUUCUGGUGGGUUUAGUUCAUCAAACAUGAACUAAUUUCGCCACUCUAGUCAAGAACAACGGGGAUUUGGUUCUACUAAAUUUGUGAGAUCGAAUUGGUUUUUAUAUAUUUCCAUUAUUCACUGGUAUUUGUCUAUCUUCUGCUUUAUGUUCAUAUGGUUGUUUUGUUAUUUGAUUAUCCAGGGCCCGGAUUCUAGAUUAAUUCAAUAACCUGAAGCCAAUUAGGGUAGUUAAAUCCAUAAUUGUUUAAUUAUUCUAAACUGGUGGUAACUGGCAUGAUUGGGUUUGUGUCAGGGAGAUAGACAGGCUAACUUAAAGAGACCCUCGUAGCGUGUUGAUUGGUUAGAAUUAGGCUCUUCUAAUUAUUCAUGCAAUUAGGGAAUUAAACUUCUAUGGUCGUACCUAGGGUUGUUUCCUGAUUAGAGAAAUAGUCAACGGUCGUACCUUGGCUAUCGACAAAUUGAGGAAGAGUUGGUUGUUUAUCGCAUGUAUGACAACUAUAACUAAUUUAUCAGAUAGUAACUGGAAUAAUCCUUGCAUCUGUGAUCGAAUUAAGUGAACCAUCUCCGAAGUUGUCUCUUGGCUAGAGUUCGUCCAUUAUUAUUUUUAUUGUGAUAAUUAGUUAUUUGAGUUGUAGUUAUUUUAUUUUAUUUAUUCAAGUAAUUUAGUUACUCUCAUUUUCAAAAACCCCCCAUAUCUGGAACUUGAGAAGAAAUUAAAUUAUCCCCAGUCCCUGUGGAUUCGACCCUGCUCACCGCUAUAUACAGAAUUUGUAUUUUAUUUGAGCAGGUAUUUAUUAUUGCACAGGUUCGGCACCUGUCAAUUUUUGGCGCCGUUGCCGAGGACUGGUGUCAGAUUAAUUUGUUUCUUUUCGAGUUCACCUUGUUUUCAUUUUUAAUUUAUUUUUUUUCCCUUUUUUUAUAUAUAGUUUAUGGCUGCUAACAUUCCAUAUUUUGAUGAUAGACUGGACUUUGUUCCUGAAUGGGGUUAUGAAACUCAUGUUUUUCCUAAUGAUCAAUGGGCUGUUGCAAAUUGUGGAACUUAUUUUGAUUCAGGUUAUUCAACUAACACAUGCCCCGCAUUUCAAGAUAAUCUAAGCGUUCCAAUUGAUACUUUUGGAGAUUUUCCACCCCAAUAUCAAACGUGGUAUGACCCUUAUUCAAACGGGUAUGAUCAAGGAUGGUGGGAUAAUUCCAAUUUUGAUUAUGCGACCGGGCCAAUGGAUUUUCAACAGCAAGAGUCUCAGCAAUCGUCCUCCGUGUCAGGUAUGUCUCUUGAAGAAAUGAUAGGUUUACUAAUUGCUAAUUCAAAUCGAUUUCAUCAGGAGACACAAGCGAGCCUAAAUCGAUUUCAUCAGAAGACACAAGCUGUCGCGACCUGGCGGAUCAACUGCGUCAAUUGACAGCCAGGAUAGAGCGAUUAGAGGCUCACCUUGAAGAAUUGCCCUCACAAACCAAUAUCAAUCUUGAGGAAGAUGAGAGUGCAAUUGUCCGGCCAAAUGACAUGGAACUGCAAGAGUUUCAAGAAAACGGAUUUAAAGAUGCAGUUGAAAAGGAAGCUGAAGUGCAAGAAAUGAGACUCCAGGAUCAACUCAUUCAAGUGAACGAUUCCAGUGAACAAUCUCCAAAUGCGGUGACAUCUUCUCCACUCCUUAAUCAAUAUUUUCCUGACUCCUAUUCUUCAACUCCUGUUACUGAAAUUGAUUUUAUUAUACCAGAAAAUUUAAUAUUUCAUGACAGGAAUAAGUUAAGAGUGGAGAUGGCAAAAUAUCUUGAACCAAUGAAUGUGUGUGAUGGAGGAGUGAGUAGAGAAUGCAGAUCAUUGUUGACUUGUUUAGCGCCAUUUACUAGUCCAUGGAAGCCCGUAACUCGUGUGCCAAGAAUUACUCCAUCUAUGAGGGUUACCAGGAUCACGUUGAAGAUGAACCAUUGAAGCGAGCCACAAGAUUCUAUCCUCCAUGAGCAAAACAUGAUAAUGUCUAGCCAAAGACAUUAAAGAAAGGCGCUCAUUGGGAGGCAACCCAAUUGUUUCUUUCAAUUGCUUAUUGGUUUAGUGACAUAGUUUAAAUCUGUUUUCCCUUUAAUUUGACUGAUUUUGGGUGUUGAUCUUCGUCUUUGCUGAUUUGUAAGUGACCUUCACCCAUGACGCGCCCGUGAUGAUGUGCAGGAAGCUCACGAUCAGGAAUUUCUGAACUUCUGGGAGCUCUCUUGCCCUCAUGACGUGCCCGCGUGAUGAUGUGCAGGAAGCUCACGAUCAGGAAUUUCUGAACUUCUGGGAGCUCUCUUGCCCUCAUGACGUGCCCGCGUGAUGAUGUGCAGGAAGCUCACGAUCAGGAAUUUCUGAACUUCUGGGAGCUCUCUUGCCCUCAUGACGUGCCCGCGUGGUGACGUGCAGAUAGCUCACGAGCAGAAACUUCUGGAGCUCUCUUGCCCGCAUGGCGUGCCCGCGUCACGUUCGCGGAAAGGUAAAAAAAAAAAAAAAAGAGAGAGAAAUUUUUUUCAAACCGUAGCUAGGUUUCUCAAUUAUCAAAAAAAAAAAAAAAAAAUUUCUCAAUUAUCAAGAAAAAACAAAAACAAAAACAAACAAAAAAAAAAGUUUUUUUCCUUCUUUCUUUUCUUUCUUUCCUUUCUUUUUCUUUCUUUCUCUUUUCUUUCUUUCUUCUCCUCUGUUCGCUGUGUCCGCCGCUCGUGCCCACCGCCAUCUCAACUCCACCGCGUGCCACCCCCUUCCUCAACUCAAUCGCGCGCCCCGCCGCCGCUCUCCGCUGCUCUCCACCAGAUCGCGCGCAGCCCGCGACCCCGGCGCGCCACUAAGCCGCGGCCCAGCCUCUGCGCCGCCGCUGCUAAAGCCCCACGCGACUCCCUCCGCAAGUGGCGACGAGCCCACAGGGACGUGCAGCAGCCUCUGUCCAGCAGCCAUGCUCUGCGCACGGACGCAGCCAUCCACCACCAACUUCAACGCCGCUUCUCUGUCUGCCGCCUGGGGUAGUCCCAGUGGAGGUAUUCGACACUUGCCCCCAAUUUCUCAGUGUUAGUCGGUGAUAUUUGGUAGUAGCUUAUGCAUAUUUGGGUGAUUUCCACCAGUGGUACUGGUUAGAUUAUUCUAGCUUGGAAUUGCUAAUUCUUUUGGGGUGGGUGAAGUUGUGCAUUUAAUUGGCCAUCUGGAGCCACUUGUUGCAAUUUUGGGGUGAUUGGAUGAUUCCUGUAGUUGAAUUGGGUGGAAUUUGUGGCAUUUGUGUUGCCUGUUGAAAUUGGACGAAUUUACUUCAAUUGUUGGGAGUGGUCUGUCCAUUGUUUCCAAUGCUGCUUCACGAGAUAUUCUAUUAUAAAUCUGGGGUCCCGCUGAUUGCUUUGUCCAUUAUACUUUUAGCCCUAUGUUGACUUUCUUUGGAGAUUCGGAAUUAUUCACUGGUUACUGGAUAAAUAUUGGGGCUUAUUGCUUGAAUUGUUAGGACUGUAGUAGCGCAAAUUUCUGGGUUGUUUGUUGAAUCGGAAGGGCAUUGUGACCCUGUAUCGCUUCUUGAAGUUGGUUAACUAAUUUUGGUUUACUGGGUGUGUUUAGUCUCUUGAUUUCACUUGCCUUCCGUAGUCGUUGCAAAUGAGUUCAUUUGCUGCCUUUGUUGGAGUAUCUGUUGCGAGUGUGGCAUUGUAUAGCUUCUACUGUUAGCUGAUCCAUUGGGGGCCAUAGGUAGCAUUUACUCUGCUCUGUUAUAUCUAUUUCAUUGAUUUUGGACUACGUUUUGCACCAGUGGUACUGGUUGGGGUAUUUUGAUUAGCAUUUGUUAUUUCCAAUUGGUUGGCUGCCUGAUUAAAAAGGAAAAACUUGUGAUUGUGUGGUUAUUGUCUACUUUCUAUACUACUAUUGCUGGAAUUGCCGCUUCUGAGUUGAAAAUUAACUAUCCACUUGGAGACUUUGUUGAGAUUUUGGGUGGACAGAGUUGUGCAUUUGCUGGUUGAAUUGAGUUAUGAUGUCUCAGAACUGGGGCAUGUACUUCACCACAUUGGUUUCCCUCCGCAGCUGCCAAAUACCCUUAGCCACUCGAGAGGGAAGUUUCUUUGUCCUCUUCACUUUAAUUGUUUUAUUCCCUCCAUUGAGGACAAUGUAGGAUCUAGGUGUGGGGGGGACAGCUAUGCUAGUUUCUUUGCUAGUUUCUUUUUCUAGUUCUUAGUUUUCAGAUAUUUUUCUUUUAUUUUUAGUCUGUUAUUUGUCUAGUUUUCGUUUACAUUUUGUCAUUUAUCUGUCUAGCUCUCCUAUGACUGCCAAAUUUGAUGUUGGAUUGUUGCCCCUAUUUCUACUUUUGCCAAGUUUUAAUAAUAAAAAUGUGUCGAGUUAAUGUGGUUGAAUCAAGAGCAUUCCUUUGGUGAAUAUCAGUGAUUAUGUGGCUCUUAUAAUUUUUGGUUAACUUUCCUAGACAUAGGGAAUGAUUAUUGGCAUUUUCAUGUGAAUUGGUCCGGUUAUUAACUUUAGUUCUCCAUGUUUGAACAUGAGGCUAGCUGAUGCAAGUUUUCUUUUGGUUCUUGUGUUAUAUUGAGUUUUUUUUUAUUUUUAGCUAUGAAUAAACUUGACUGUACUCCGCUAUUAGUUACUACUGAGUAACCGGGGAUCUGCACCUAAAAGUGUUGAUUCUAGCGUCAAAAGGUAGUAAUUCCUAUGAAUACGUGGUCACGUGGCGAUAGAAGCUGAGUAACCGGGCUCUUUCAUCUGGCCAAUGUUGGAGUUCGCGUCAAAAGGCUUAAAUGGCUAGCGACUAAGUCUUUUGUUACUAUUGAAAAAAAAAGAAAGAAUCAAAACAAAAAAAACAAAAAAAAGAAAAAAGAAAAAUCAAUCAAAACAAAAAAAAAAAAAAAAAAAAAAGUGAAGGUUGUGUUAGUCAGCUUGCCGAAUUAUGGAUUUAAUGUUGAGAUUUUGUUAAUAGUUGGACCACUUGCUGAUAAAUGUUGUGCGUCAUUCCUUUUUCUUAUAUUAGUUAACUUGAAAUUAGAGGAGUUUGUGGUUUAGAAGCUAACCGAAGUGAUAUUUCUUGGACUUGAUCAUUGGUGCUUGAUUAUUAUUUUUCUUGAUAUCUUGGCAAUUUGGUAGAUAGAGCAAUGGUCAUUAUCACAUUUUGGUAUCUGUUUACUAUUCUUAUGCUUGAGGACAACAUGGUUUAGGUGUGGGGGGAAUUGAUAGGUUGCAAUUCAUUCACUUAUUUUAUUAUUAAUUUCCCUAUUACUUGACCUGAUGUGAAUUAAUUAUUAGAUUCUACUCACUUUUCGUAAUUUACAUUUAUUUCAGGGAGUAGAACGAAAAUAUAAUAACAGGUGCUAAUUUGGCAGGAAAAGAGUCCAGAUGAUAGAGCUUAUUCUAGGGGCAUUUUUGGAACAACAAACGUGAGCCCUUGUUGGGCAAUUGGGCCGAAGUCUUCACUUUCCUGCACAGGAGCCGCCGCAAGGAGUAUUCCUUUAUAUAGGAAAAUUACGCAGGAAAAAGGGAGCUUCUUCUUCUGGUGCGGCGGACGCCGCACAGGAGCAAUAGGCUAAUUGGAAUAGGAGUUGCGCAGAGGAAGAGCAGUGACUCUCUUCUUAGUUUCUUUUGUCCUUUAGCUUAGUUUCUUUUGACUUUUCUUUCUUUUUAGCUUUUAGUAGUUCCUUGUCUUCCUUCGAAUGUUAGCCAAGAGUACAAGCAAUCAAUCAACUCCUGUAGCUUACUUUUCUUAUUGAUUUGAGCGAAUUGAAUUUGCCUAAUUCAUGGAUACGAAGGUCGCAGCUAUUGCCGCAAUUUCUGGUGGGUUUAGUUCAUCAAACAUGAACUAAUUUCACCACUCUAGUCAAGAACAACGGGGGAUUUGGUUCUACUAAAUUUGUGAGAUCGAAUUGUUUUUAUAUAUUUCCAUUAUUCACUGGUAUUUGUCUAUCUUUGCUUUAUGUUCAUAUGGUUGUUUUGUUAUUUGAUUAUCCAGGGCCCGGAUUCUAGAUUAAUUCAAUAACCUGAAGCCAAUUAGGGUAGUUAAAUCCGUAAUUGUUUAAUUAUUCUAAACUGGUGGUAACUGGCAUGAUUGGGUUUGUGUCAGGGAGAUAGACAGGCUAACUUAAAGAGACCCUCGUAGCGUGUUGAUUGGUUAGAAUUAGGCUCUUCUAAUUAUUCAUGCAAUUAGGGAAUUAAACUUCUAUGGUCGUACCUAGGGUUGUUUCCUGAUUAGAGAAAUAGUCAACGGUCGUACCUUGGCUAUCGACAAAUUGAGGAAGAGUUGGUUGUUUAUCGCAUGUAUGACAACUAUAACUAAUUUAUCAGAUAGUAACUGGAAUAAUCCUUGCAUCUGUGAUCGAAUUAAGUGAACCAUCUCCGAAGUUGUCUCUUGGCUAGAGUUCGUCCAUUAUUAUUUUUAUUGUGAUAAUUAGUUAUUUGAGUUGUAGUUAUUUUAUUUUAUUUAUUCCAAGUAAUUUAGUUACUCUCAUUUUUAAAAACCCCCCAUAUCUGGAACUUGAGAAGAAAUUAAAUUAUCCCCAGUCCCUGUGGAUUCGACCCUGCUCACCGCUAUAUACAGAAUUUGUAUUUUAUUUGAGCAGGUAUUUAUUAUUGCACAGGUUCGGCACCUGUCAGCCUUGCUCGUAAACUCCCAAUGACUAGGCUAAUUUGCAAGAAAUUCCUGGGUUGAAUGAUAUUUUUAUAUUAUUAUUUUUCGAAUUGUCAUUUCCUCUACUUGUUUAUUUAUAUAUUAUAAAUUCACAUGAAAAAAGUAGAUAUCCAAAACAUUCUACAGGAGGAAAAUAGCCCCUCCCCCCCCUUUUGUGGAGAAAUAAGUUCAUCUGAAAUUUUUGUGCAACAAACAGAUUCCCUUCCUUCUUUCUUUCUGAGAAGUUAGUUUUUAUUACUUUUAGGUAACUAGUUAAAAUAUUACCACUACAUUCCGUACUGAUACAGAUAUGAGAUGAUUUACUUAUAUUGGCCAUCAAAGUCUUAGAGGCAUAGAAAGGUAGAAAUGCUUUAAUUGUAACUACAAUGAAAAUGAUUUGAGGCCAAGAUGUGUAAGAUCCAUGUCACAUUAUUGCUUCAUGGAACAAUAUUGACGUAAAAGGAGACAAGUUCGCAUAGAAGUAAUUUUGCAGAUAGAUGCUAUGUAAAAUGUCAGCUUGAUGAAGUAAGGUUGACGUUAUAUGUUCCUAUAUAAUCCUGUUCAAUUGAUUUCCAUAAUUUCAUCUCUCCACCGUUCCCAUCCACCAAGUGGGAUCCUUUCUUGAAUAAAAAUUGGUGCCUUAGCAAUUCAGUUUUCUAAAUUGCUCUCAAAUUAACACAUAUAGAAGGGCUCAACUGAUUCUUUGUGCUCUGAGUCCUGUCUGAGCUUUACAGAUACAAGGAGCAAUGGAAAAGUAUCAUGUAGUCAACUGCAGAACACUGAGAAAAAAUAUGUUGCCUGUUAUAGAGCUAAGAUACAACUUCAAGAAGGAUGCAAGCACCUAUCAGGGUUCAGCUAAUCCACAUCUUUCUGCUGCAAAAUACUGGCUACUUUGAACUACAAGCAGCACGGAAGAUAUGGCAAAUUGAGUUCCAAAAGAGGUAAAAGAACACCUCAUCAACAUGUCUACAAAUUGCUGAAUGGUUGGACAGUUUAAAAUCACCAGCCGACAAGGAAGAUCUCCGGCUUUAGCCAUCCAAGGCAGAGAGCAAAAGAGAAUUCCAUCCUGGAUGUUUUCAUCUGAUCUGAUUGAAACAGGAUCUGGUUCAGCAAGGGAUCAUACGACUUUUAAUAAUGUACCAAGGAUAGUAAGAGCUAUGAAGGUUUUGAACUUAAAAUCACUGCAAAACACAAAAACUCAAGAAACUCGGGACAACAUGUAGUCAAGAAUAAGGCCAACACAUAGUUGCAUGACAUUUUUGUUGUAUUUGAAACACUAAAAAAAGAACUUACCAUGAAGAAAGGAGCAACCAGCAAGUAUAGAAGGUGGGAUGAGCUUAAUAGCCUUCAUCACAGCGGAUGAAACAAUUGCAGCAAGUAGCAGCGAGCAGCAAGUAUGCUUGACAGUCUUGACUAACUACGCCAGAGUCCAUGCAGCUUUAUUGCAUGAACAGACAUCUUCUGUGGCUGCUCCAAAAAACUUCUACAUUAGGAGAAGAUUUCUCAAGUUUUAGUUGUCAUAUAAUCAGAAUCAAAGUAUUUAAAAGUAAAAAUUGAAUAGUAAAACAAGAGUAGUAUAUCUGACCUCACCGGACUCUUAGAACCAAAAAGUAGUUUGACAACCAACAGCUUUGGAAACUCCUGGAGUCUUUUUGGCUAGAAAAUCACAACCAAGGAAAAGUGAGACAGAAACCCAUCAUCUACGAGAUUAUCGAACAAAUCACUAAUCAAAUGGUUCAAGAAGCUUGAUAAAUGCGCCUUCAAGAGGUGAUUAAACUUUGGAGCAACUAUUUACUCCCACUAGAAUCAUAAGUUAGGGAGCUGAUCACUUUAGCAAUCACAUCUUACAUCCACAAAAGCAUAUAUAUAAAAUCAACAAAACGAAACUCCUAGUGCUUAUUUCAUAUUGAUGGGUAACUUGUAGGAAAUGCAAACCAAAAAUUAAUUAAUACCAGACAUAAAUCUAAUCUAAGUUCAUCUAGGGUAGAGACCACAAAAAUCUGCUCGUUAAGUGCAGGAGAAAGACGCGCAGCAGAGAAUUGCUGGUUUAAAGUCUUGUAGAAAAGGUUUCUCGAAUUGCUGCAUGUGAUACCGAAUCUAAAACAUCCAAUUCAUUUUCAACUGGGGAAACUUUAGAGUGAGCAACCAUUUCAUCCUGGUGAAAUCACAAAUUUAAAGAGAGUGUGCUGAUGUAGAACGUACAAAGGACAUUAACUGACAUACUAUGAUAAACAAAACUAAAUGCUCAAUUCCACCCCACAUUGGUGCGUUUGUUUCAUCCCCAAAACAUGGUAUUGAAUUAAGCCUCCAUUUGCUAUGUUUGAUCUUUGCAUCAGCAAAUAAUAUGUGAUAGAAAGUGAGGAAUACCAAUUUAACAUUAGAAAUUAACCAAAAAGAUUGUUCAGUUUCAUUAAUUGAUAUGGAGCCAUGCAUGGCUUACUAGUGGAAAAGGUUACGAAAUAUUGUGCUUAUUCUCAUUAAUUGAUAAAAUUUACCUGUAACCUUCAAUCAUGAUGAAGUGAUUGAAAGGACUGUCUCUGCAUCCAACUUGGCAGACCUACUCUGUGUUGCUUCAAUUAUGAGUUGAUAUACUGUCAAGGGAAGAGAGGAUUUUCAAGAGUGAGAAGCCUACAGUAAUUACGAGCCAUCAGGGUUCCCGACUGAGCUUUAAGGCUACAGUCACUGCAAAACAGAAAACUCAGAUUCAGGAUUUCACAUAGCAAAUCAUAAGGCUAACUGGAAAUUGCAUGACAUUUUUUUAGUCAAUUAUUCAGAAAGCCAAAUCAGUAUUUGUUUCUGUUGUGCUUUUCUAACCUAAAUCAGUAAGAAGAUAUCAAAAUUUUCUGCUUAGUCUACAAGUACCGGAAGUGCCAUAGAAACUAUAAUAGUUUUUGUUUAAAACACUGAAAAAAGAGAAGUUUUAUAACAAAAUAUUAAAUAUUAUUUUCCUGACGACAAGAUUUCUUUUGUUUUACAUUACCAGUGGUUAAAAGUCAAAAUUGAGUAGUGAAAGACGAGAGGCAUAUCUAAAAUUACCAGAAAUUUUGAACCAAAACAUGAGAGUAAUGACCAACAGCUGCGAAAACUUCGCAAUUUUCCAUUGUAUUCAUGGUUCAAAAGCCAAAAUCAAGGAGAAGUGAGCCAGAAAACCAUCAUAUACGACUCCGAUGGAGCUAUUACCAGUCAAAUAGUUCAGAUAAGUAUGCAAGUUCAUUAUCAAGAGGUAAAAGUUCAGUCCCCUUAGAAUUACAAUUUUAAACAGAGUGAGAUGACUUUAGCAAUAACAGCUUAAAAUCCACAGAAGCAGACCAUGUAAAAUAAACGAGACUAGACUGCUAGUUGUUCUAAACGUUGAUAAACUAUUUGUAGGAAACGCAGGCCAAAAGUUAUUGAGUUCUUCUAGCCAUAUAGACGGUGCUGAAGAAGCUUCAAAAUUCUGACCUCUGUUCGUGAAGCUAUUCUUCUAUCAAUCCUACAAAAACAAAGCAUAGAACAGAAUAUGAACAGGUUAGAAGAGUAUUAUGUUGUAAGGAGUAAAUGAAGAGCACCAAUAUUUUGGACCUGAUAAGAAAUGCUAAUGCCGCAGCUUUGAAAGAUAAUAAAUAGGACGAUAAAAAGGGAGAAGAGAAAAUUGUGAAAAUAACCACGAAAGGGAGACUUUUUUAGGUUUUCUCACGAGAAGGUUAAUCAGAGGGGGAGGUGAAGAGAAGGGGAGAUUGAUUGUAAAGCAAAUUAAGAAAGUGGUUAUUGAAGGCAAUCUUACUUGAUUGAAUUUGAUCCAAAGGUGAAAGUUGGUUAUUAAUCAACUUAUUUCUAGGAGUUGAAUGUGAGAAACUUUGGACCACUGGGAGUCGGGCCGCUGCUCUCAGGAGUGCAUCUUUCUUUUAACAGAGGAGAACCAUAAACCUGCAGAACUUUUAGUUUGGUGAGACUUCUCAUGGCAUCCUCAGAGGGUAGAUGUCGAAGCUCUUUGAAAAACCAUAAGUGCACGUCUUCAAGAGCCGCAAAGUUUCCGAACCAAUCUGGCAGAGCUUUUAUACCUCCAAAGUCAAGUAGCGUUAGUGACGUCAGAGUGGUCAAGUAUUGGAUCUGAUGUGGCAGGGACUCCAUGUGUGGCAACCCAUAUAAUUCUAAUUCACGGAGUGCGGAUGACGAAGAGGAGGAUAUCAAUCCAGACCAAUCAAAUUCAUUGUAAAUUAAAGAAUUUUCAUGAUCAUCACCGUCAUCUGAGAAGGGACCAAUUGUAAGAUCCCUUAAGCUGGUUAGGAAACCAAAUCCUUUGGGCGUCAUGCUUGUUUUCAGUUUGGGACACUUCCGUAAUUCCAGCUCCAUGAGAGAAGGCGUUUGUUGCAAAUCAAGCGGAAAGGAGAUAAGAUUGUCGCAACCAACCACUCGAAGCUUCUGGAGAGAGGCACAAGAGUGUAGCAUGUCACCUGGCAGAUUCGUCAACCCAUUGCAAUUAUAAAUCUGCAGCUCUUUAAGAGACGUAAAGUUUUGCAGGGGAAGGAGUUCUCUACAUCUGUUGCAGCGAUUAAAUUCCAAACACGCUAACUUGGGAGGUGUUGUUGUUGUUGGCAAAUCCAUUAACCAUCGAGGAAAUUGAUUGCCCAUAAAAUACCAAAUUACCAACUCCUCCAAAUUUUGGUGGGGUCGAAGGCCAUCUAACACAUCUUCGUCAUUGUAGUCGUCGCCUUCUCGAACAGGGGCCCACUUAAGUUCCAGCUCAAAUAGAUUAGCCUUUUCAAAUAGAUUUGCUUUUUCAGCUCCUUUUCUAUCCUUCACUAGUUCCAGAUUGCGUAUCCUCAAUUUGCCUUUGAGGUUCUUCAAGCUUCCAAGCUCUCCAAUUCGUCGACCCUUCUCUCGACCCACAUUAAAGAACUCUAGCGUCUGAAGGCAAGUCAGCCUUCCCAUCUCUAGCGGCAUUUGAAAUUCUUCAUUAUCACUUAUGUAAUAGUGGAGAUGUCUCAAGCUAAUCAAAUCGCACAUCCCCUUCGGAAGAUGUUUAACAUCUGAGUCAAUUAGCGUCAAUGUCUGCAGAUUAUAAAGCUUGCAAAGGAGUCCGGCAAAAUACUGAUUGAAGACCACUCAAGGUUAACGUACCGCAAAUGUAUCAGUUUGCCAAUUGAGACUGGUAGCUCUCGAGUUCUUGUACGAGACAAAUUCAAAACAUACAAGUUCUUCAACUUCAUUAACAUAUCACCAGAUAAGUCACCAUUUACGAUGAAUAAUGUAUGAAGCGAAGUUGAUAGACUCUCCAGAAGUUUUUCUCUGUCUUCUCUGCCACCAGAUGAGUCUAUUGCAAGGUAACGAAUCUGAUCACCUUUGUCUGCUACACGUGUAUCCCUAUCAUUAAUGAUUUUGGUAGACUUCGACAUUGACUCUGCAACGUCAUGGACCAGAUCAUGCAUCUUAUAACAUGUUCCCUGAUAAUUUCUUGUUUCUUCAAACAACGAACUUUGCAAUAAAAUUCUCAGAUAAUUCAUUCCAAUUUCCUCCAUCAUCAUUUGGCUGUUGAGAUCUGCUUGGAGGAAACCUUCUGCCAUCCAAAGUUCGAUGAGCAUAUUCCUUUCUAUCUCACUAUCCUUGGGAAAUAUAGAACAAUAUGCAAAACAUUUCUUAAUGUAUGGAGAUGGCAAAUUAUCAAAACUAAACUUCAGUAUUUGCAUCACACGAUCUCCAUCUCCACUCAAAAGCCUAUUCUCCAAAAUUGAUCGCCACUCCUCUUUUCUCUUUAAAGAUAAUAGACCUCCGAUUACACUUGCAGCCAAUGGUAGACCAUCACAUCUUUUGAUUACUCUCUUUUUAAUUGCUUUUAGUUCAUCAGUUUCUUCUUCCCCUCCAACUACUUUUUCUUUUAGGAUAGACCAACAAUGAUCAUCAGGUAGUUUUCUUAAUGGAUAGGCUUCAUUUUCCAUCAUCCUUAAACGAGUAGUGACAAGACACCAACUUCCAUUGGUUGGAUUGAGCCCCUUCAAGGUGGUGAAAAAGUCAUCCCACAAUGCCUCAUCAUCAUCCCACACAUCAUCAAGCACUAGGAAAUAUCUUUUUCCCCCUAGUUGAUUCCCAAUUUUUCCAACGACGACAUUCCUAUCAUCUACUUCAACCUUUUCUCCCGUCAAUUGCACUAAUAUGAGUUUGAAAAGCUCAACUAUUGGAACUUUUUUCGAUACACAAACCCAAAUCUUUUUGUUAAAGUGCGCAUCAAUUUGCUGCUUGUUGUAUAUCGAUUUAGCCAAAGUUGUUUUGCCUAGACCUCCCAUACCAAUUAUGGGAAGAACAGAAACAACCUUCUUAGACGGGCUCAACAAUAUCUUCACUAUAUUUGAUUCAUCAUCGGCUCUUCCAAUUAUUGGAACAAGAACAGAGUCAGUCUGCCGAUUUCUUGUGUCUCCAACAGCAGGAGCAGCAGGGAGGGCAGCCGUCAAGACUUCCCUACUGACCAGUCCCAAUCCAUGGGCGUCUUGAUAGAUGCCAUUCAACUUAAGUUUGAUGUCUCUGACCUUAGAAGCCAUUCUCCAACGAAAAGCAAGAUUAAUGUUAGAGAAGGAGAAGAAGCAGCAUACCUUGAGCUUGUGUCGGUUUCGGGACUCCACCUGUUGACGAAGGGAUUCAUAGUGGAGCUCAUCCAACACAUUGUCCGCCUCAUAAGCCACCUCCUCGAGACUCUUCAACCAUUCUUGCACUACCCGGUCCUGGUUUUGUUUUCUUUCCUCAGCAUCAGCCAAGAAAGCAUUGAUCCAGCGGAGAGUACGUGUCAUGCUGGCCACAUCCUUCUUGAAGCCAACUAACAUACCAAUCCUGUCAGUGGCAAGAGAUACUGCCGUCUCCAAGGCAACCUGAAUAGUGGCACUAAUGACGGGAUCGGCCAUUUUUUUUUUUUGAAUAACUUGGAUUCAGUCUUGAGAUCAAGAUGGUUUUUCAAAAUGGGAGGUUUUAGCAGCCAGAAAUUGGUAAUGUUACGAGUGGUUAAAAAGAGGAGAGCAUUGGUAUUUGGUCGCUUAAAAGUGCAGAGUUAUUCUUAACUUGGAUGCCUUCCUUGGCAACGGAAAUAUAUAUUCCUUGCUUGGCAUCUUCACUUUAAGUUUCUUGGGAAACUUGGAUGCUUUGAAAUGGAAAUUCCUGGCUUGGGAUUUUCACUUUAACUUUCUUGCUGGGGCCUUCAUCUUUAUUCCAAUUCCAUUGAGGGCUUCAUCUUUAUUCCAUAUUUCAUUCGUUAAUCCUUGAAAGAUGAACUAAUUAGAACAUAAUUUGUGUCUCAAUACAAAAAUCUAUUAGGCUUCUAAUUAUUUUGUAAUUCAGAUUCUGAUAUUGUUGAGCAUUGAGCCUUUUCAACUUUGCAUAAUCAAGAUGCAGAGUCCAAUAGCAAUAUUUCUACUAUGAAGAAGAAAUACAAAAGCCGUAGGAAAGUGGUUCCUAGGCCAAUAAGGCACUUAUAAAAGAGUUUAGAAAAUAUUCCUAAACUCAAAACAAGAGAGCCUAAAAUAUUUAACUGAAUGGGCUAGAUGACUCAAGAAGCUAAUAGCCCAUAUAACUCUCUUGAGUGGUGCGAUUGAAACCUUCAUAUGAGCCCCCUAUUUAUAGUUGUAUUUGGGAGGCUUUCCUUCUGCUUCAGGCGAUGUGGGAUGAGGAAAUUUUGCCACAGUCAAGGAUUGCGGCUGAAGAAUUGCGGCUCAACAAAUCUCCACCUUGGCAUAAUUUUGAGUCCCACCAUCGUCAAUAGUAAAAUCGCUCCACCUUCUCCACAUAAGACCCAAUGGGUCUAAAUCACAAAUAACGAACACCAACCAAGUCCAAGCACUGCUUGAACUUGUAAUUUGGAAGAGGCUUCGUAAACAUAUCGGCUGGAUUGUCCUUAGUAUUGAUUUUCUGAAUAAGGACUUUUCCCUCAGCAAUGAUAUCUCGAAUGAAGUGAUACUUCACAUCAAUAUGCUUCGUCCUCUCAUGAUACAUCUGAUCUUUAGUCAAGUGUAUGGCACUUUGACUAUCACAGUGAAUAUCAGUAACACCUUGAUAUAGACUUAACUCGCUAAAUAAACUCUUCAACCACAAGGCUUCUUUGAUUGCCUCGGUCACAGCCAUAUAUUCUGCUUCAGUAGUAGACAAAGCUAUGACAGGUUGUAGAGUAGCUUUCCAACUAACAGCACAACUGCCAAUGCAAAAUACAUAGCCUGAAAGUGAUCUUCUCCUGUCAAGAUCCCCAGCGUAGUCUGAGUCUACAAAACCAACCAAAGUGUUAUUAUUUCUUCCAAACUCCAAACAUACAUUUGAAGUACCUCGCAAGUAUCUGAGAAUCCACUUCACAGCCUGCCAAUGUGUUUUACCAGGGCAAGACAUAUAUCUGCUAACAACACUGACUGCUUGUGCAAUAUCUGGACGAGUACAAACCAUUGCAUACAUAAUACUGCCGACUGCACUGGAAUAAGGAACCCGUGCCAUAUAAUCUUCCUCUUCAUCUGAUUUUGGUGAUUGAGCAGCAGAUAGCCGAAAAUGGCUAGCAAGAGGAGUAGAUACUGGUUUAGCAUCUUUCAUGCCAAAACGCUCCAAGACUUUCUCAAGGUAAUUUUUCUGGGUCAAAAAUAACUUUCCUACUCCUCGAUCUCGAUUGAUAUCCAUGCCAAGAAUUUUCUUAGCUGCUCCUAAAUCUUUCAUUUCAAAUUCACUAUUUAACUGCAGUUUCAAGGUGUGAAUUUCUGACAAAUUCUUGGCAGCAAUGAGCAUGUCAUCAACAUAAAGCAGCAAAUAAAUGAAAGAACCAUCAUUUAACUUCCGGAAGUAAACACAGCUAUCAUACAUGCUCCUCAAAUAACCAUGACCCAACAUAAAGGAAUCAAACCUUUUAUACCAUUGUCUUGGAGACUGCUUCAAUCCAUAUAAGGAUUUCUUCAACAAGCAAACAUGGUCUUCCUUACCUUCAAUUUCAAAACCCUGGGGUUGUCUCAUAUAAAUUUGUUCUUCAAGUUCGCCAUGUAAGAAAGCUGUCUUAACGUCGAGCUGUUCUAACUCCAAAUUAUACAUGGCAACUAAAGCAAGCAAAACACGAAUAGAGCUAUGUUUAACAACAGGUGAGAAUAUAUCAUUAAAAUCAACACCUUGUACCUGACUAUAGCCCUUUGCAACUAAUCGUGCUUUAUACCUUGCAUUUUCAACCCCUGGAAUACCUUCCUUUUUCUUGAAGACCCACUUGCAACCAACAAUUUUCUUAGCUGACGGCGGCUUUACAAGAACCCAAGUUUCAUUCUGAUGAAGAGAUUCAAUUUCUUCAUUCAUCGCAAUCAACCACUUUGCAGAAUCAUCACAAGAAACUGCUUCUAAAUAGGUGGAAGGCUCACCAACUGCAUCAGUUUCUUCUGCAACAGACAAAGCAUAUGCAACUAAAUUUGCAUAUCUUUGUGGUGGUCGAAUUUCUCUCCUUGCUCUAUCUCUGGCUAUGGAAUACUCAUCUUCUUCUGAACUAUCUUCAACAGUAGAUUCAGGUGCAUCUACUGGCACUUGCUGAAUAGAAGAUUUGGAUUGAGAAGGACCAGAACUGCCAAUAUCAAGCUCCACUUGCUUCUGUGUACUAUCAAUAGUACAAGGACUAGAAGACUCCUUCUUGGAAGAUAACAUAGACAAUUCAUCAAAAGUAACAUCUCUACUGAUUACAAAUUUUGGGGAUUUGGGAUCAGGAUACCAUAAUCUGUAUCCUUUCACCCCAGAAGCAUACCCAAGAAAAAUGCACUUUUUAGCCCUAGGCUCCAAUUUUCCAUCAUUCACGUGCAUGUAUGCUGGACACCCAAAAACUUUUAAAUUGGAGUAAUCAGCAGGAGUACCUGACCAAACUUCCUCAGGAGUUUUGAAAUCAAGAGAUGCAGAAGGAGAACGGUUGACAAUAUAACAGGCCAUAUUGAUCGCCUCUGCCCAAAAGUCGUUUGUCAACCCUGCAUUGAAGAUCAUACAUCUUGCUCUCUCCAAAAGCGUUCUGUUCAUACGUUCGGCCACACCAUUUUGUUGAGGCGUCAUCCUGACGGUGUGAUGCCGAGCAAUUCCUUCAUUCUUACAAAAUUCAUUAAAUUCACCUUCACAAAAUUCCAUGCCAUUAUCUGUUCUCAACCGCUUAACAUGUUUUCCUGUUUGUUUCUCAAUCAAAACUUUCCAUUGCUUGAAAGUUAAGAAAACAUCAUUUUUAUGCUUAAGAAAAUAGACCCAAACUUUCCUUGAGUAAUCAUCAAUGAAAGUCAACAUGUACCUGGCACCACCUUUUGAAGGAGCACGAGAAGGACCCCAUAGAUCUGAAUGAAUGUAAUCAAGAGUACCUUUUGUCUUGUGAAUUGCUGGUGAACUGAAGCUGACUCUUUUCUGCUUCCCAAAAAUACAAUGUUCACAGAAUUCCAAUGGACCGGUACUUUGUCCACACAGAAGUCCUCUUUUGCUCAGUAUGCCCAAGCUUUUUUCGCUCAUAUGCCCCAAACGCAUAUGCCAUAAUUUGGUGAUGUCUGUAUCUGACAAAGAUGAUGUUGAAACAGCAGCAGCACCUGUAACAGUAGAUCCUUGCAAAAUAUACAAAGUACCAGAUCUGUGUGCCUUCAUAACAACAAGAGCUCCUCGAGUGAUUUUGAGAACUCCAUCUCCACCUGAAUACCUGCACCCGAUAGACUCAAGAGUGCCCAAAGAGAUGAGAUUUUUCUUCAAAUCUGGAACAUGUCUAACAUUUGUGAGCGUCCUCACAAUACCAUCGUACAUUUUAAUCCGGAUUGUGCCUUUGCCAACAACUUUACAAACAGCGUUGUUGCCCAUUAAGACAACUCCACCUUCAGUUGAUUCAUAUGUUGAAAACCAGUCCCUAUUGGGACACAUAUGAUAUGAACAACCCGAAUCUAAAAUCCACUCAUUGUUAGACCUAAAAUUAUUUUCCGUUGCACAGAAAAUAGUUCCAUCAUUCUCAUCAACGGCAAUACUAGCCUCGGUGGUUUCACUCCUUUUCUCCUUUUGCUUUUCUUUAUUUUUCAAUUUAAAGCAAUCAGAGAUAAUAUGGCCCUUCUUUUUACAAUAGUUGCACACCACAUUUUUAUGUCUGGACUUAGAUCUACUUCUAUUUUCUGUGUUUCUCCUUUCAGAUCUACCCCGAACAAACAAGCCAUCGGCUUGACUCCCACUAGUUUCCCCAAUAAUAUCCCUAUCUAUCUGCUCUUUAGAUUUUAACGCAGAUUUAAUUUCCCGAUACGAAAUUGUUUCCUUUCCAUAUAUCAUAGUAUCACGGAAAUGCUUAAAGGAUUGGGGAAGGGAACAUAAAAGUAAUAGGGCCUGAUCUUCAUCAUCAAUUUUCGAAUCUAUAUUCUCCAAAUCCAUAAUAAUGGAAUCAAAUUUAUCAAGAUGGGAGAGUAUAGAUGUACCUUCAGACAUCCGAAGCAUAUACAAACUCUGCUUCAAAUAUAGCCGAUUCUCGACUGUCUUCUUCAUAUACAAGGCUUUCAAUUUAUCCCACAUAGCCUUGGCCGAAGUCUCCGUUGCUACCUCACGCAAUACCUCAUCGGAGAGAUUUAGGAUAAUACUGGAUCUUGCCUUCUUAUCCAUCUCAGCAAAAUUUGCAUCUGUCACAUCUUCUGGCUUUUUCUCAAUUCCUUGAAUUGCCAAAUCAACUCCGUCUUGAACAAGAAUGGCCUCCAUCUUGAGCUGCCACAUGCCGAAGUUGACAUUCCUGUCGAAUUUCUCGACAACCGUCUUUGUUAUCGUCAUUGUUGCCACAAAAUCUGUAACUUGAAAUUUGUCUCAAAAAAAAAACUGGCCAAACAAAUAUGCAAGUCUCGUGAGCGGGCCCCACAGGGUGAGCGGACCCUAAGCGGGCCCCACGGGGAUGAACGGACCCCACAAGGUGAGCGGGCCCCACGGAUAAACGGACCCCACAGGAUGAGUGGGCCCCACAGGAUGGACGGGCCCCACCAGAAUGAACCUGUCUUGCAAAAUAUAACAACCAGCUCUGAUACCAGUUUGUUAGGACCGGGCCAGGAAAUAGAUAAACUCAAGUUAGAACAAAGUAGGCGAUAUAACCGACCAUAUAAUAGAUAGGCGGUAGAUACCGGCCAUAUAAUAAUUAGGCGGUAAAACCGACCAUAUAAAGACGGAUAACAAAGCAAAUAAAAGACACAGAAGAUUUACGUGGUUCGGUCAAAUUGACCUACGUCCACGGGCGAGGGAGAAGCAAUAUUUCUACUAUGAAGAAGAAAUACAAAAGCCGUAGGAAAGUGGUUCCUAGGCCAAAAGGCACUUAUAAAAGGUUUAGGAAAUAUUCCUAAACACAAUACAAGAGAGCCUAAAAUAUUUGACUAAAUGGGCUAGAUGACUCAAGAAACUAAUAGCCCAUAUAACUCUCUUGAGUGGUGCGAAUUGAAACCUUCAUAUGAGCCCCCUAUUUAUAGUUGUAUUUGGGAGGCUUUCCUUCUGCUUCAGGCGAUGUGGGAUGAGGAAAUUCUGCCACAGUCAAGGAUUGCGGCUGAAGAAUUGCGGCUCAACAAAUCUCCACCUUGGCAUAAUUUUGAAUCCCAUCAUCGUCAAUAGUAAAAUCGCUCCACCUUCUCCACAUAAGACCCAAUGGGUCUAAAUCACAAACAACGAACACCACUGUUUAUGCAGCCUGACUUGAAGCCCCAAUUUGUAACGUAGAGAGAUUCACUCAGAAAAAGAUCAGCUUCCCAAUCUAUUCUCGCAAGUAGAAAAAAACCAAUAUUCAGCAACCAAAAAAUAAAGAGAAAACUUGGAAAGAACAUGUGCAUUAUAUUCCUUGCUUGUGUUAAUACCUUGAAAUGUGGAUGAACUUUGGCAAAGAAUAACUUGGAAUGUGGAUUUGCUUCAAACUUAUAUUCUGAAAUGAAGUUCGGCAAUAGAGGCCUAAACAAUUAUUCAGCCUUACUGCUUUAGAAAAUUUAUCUAAAAAAAUCAACCACAGAGCGAUAGUGAUUCAUAGAUUGAUUAUCACAUAAACAAACAAACUCAUGCUUGUAAUGUGCACCUGAUUGAAAUGACCCAGGACACAACAGCAUUGAUGUACUAAAAUUCUUUGUUAAUUUUUGCCUGUCAAGAUGAAAAUUCACCAUUCGUCAUUUUGUGGGUGGUUGCUUAAUGCGUUACAUAUUUGGCCAGGAAUGAACAACUCAAAGUCAUCUAUUGUAGCAAGUAGAAAAAAACCAAACUUCAGCAACCAAUAAAUAAAGAGAAAAACUAGGAAAGAACACGUGCAUUGCAUGUGUACAUUGUUGAGGAAAACUCGUUUAACUUUUAAAUUUAUGUAAUACGACUGGAAGCUACAAAAAAUUCAAAACUUGCAAACUUCCUAAGUUGCUUUUCAAUUAGGCAAACUACUUAAUGGAUGAUUAAAAGUUUUUGUUUUCAUUGUUUCCUAUCUUAGUUUCUUUUGGAAUUGUUCAUAAUCUUUUGUAAUGUUUAUCUUUUGUUUAUAGUAUAGUUUAGUCGUGGAUAACAUGAGUCAAAGAAAUAAAUUGCUUUUAAUGAGAAUAUAAUACAAUAGUGAUUCACUAUCCAUAUGAAAGAGAAUCAGCUAGAACAUUUUUUGGUAUAAUAUGAUUCCAAAUAUUGCAUGGGAAGCGUAAACUUCUUUUUAUCUAAUUUGUUUCAACUUCAUACUUUUCCUUCUUUUUUUAGUUUAUAUUGACAAUUACUUGAUGAAGCACAUUCAAAUACAUAAAAACAAGUGAUUCAAUGUUGGUUUCAUUGCUCAAAGGAAAAACUUUUAGUAUUUUUUUGUUUUUUCAAAGGAAAAAAUUUGACCGAUGAUUAAGAACAUAGUGCUCAACCAAAGUCCUAACUAACUAAAUAAAAAAAUAGUAGAUUGUGAUGCUUAAUAAUUCAAGAGAUUGAUGAACAAAAUUCAAGAAGACCUUUCUGUUUAAGUGCAAGUAUAGAAGAGAGAGAAAUGCCAAAUUGCAAGUUAAGCUUAUUCUUUUGCCAUUUCAAUCAAGAAUGUCAUUUCCAGCCUUCAAAAGUAAAGAUUUACUCACAUUGACUAAAAUGAAAAAAAAAAAUUGUGUCACUAAUUUUCAUUUUUUAUAAAUUUGCACAAACUAUCAUAAUUAAAAUUUAAUAAACCUAACAAAAACUUUAAAUGAUAGUCAUAUACAAAUCUCCAAGACUGUUUGCCAAGAUCGAAAUAGUGAGGGGUAGAUCUCAACACUCAAAUAAUGAGACAUUGUAUUGUAACUUCAAAUCACAUUUUUGGAAUUUGGCAUAUCUAUAAAACAUUGUCUAAGGUAUAAUAGUGAGACCUAAAAUAUUUGUUGUUAGAAUAUAAUCUAGCUAAUCCUUAUUUUUGGGACUAUGUUGUUUAAUACUUUUUUAGGUUAUGUUAUUUAAACGUUGGUUGCCAGGGAAUCAUUAAUGUUUCUAACUUUCAUUAACUUGUACUAAUAUUCUUUAGAAUUGCUUGCGGUUUGUUUUUUUUUUUUUUUUUGUGAUUAUGAUGAGAAUAAGCAUUUGACUCCAAAUAUAACUUAAAAUUUUCAUUGGCACCAGCUUCUUGCACUUUUUUCUUUCUUCUUUAUCUAAAAUGCUUAAAAAGGAUAAAAAAUUGAAAGUUACCUAACACGAAAGAUAACUUGGAAACCGUUGAUGCUCAAGAAAAACCUUUAAAAUUUAAAUAACUUGUAAACUAAUAUUAAGUGCUUAAAUUUCAAAUCUCUAAAAUUUCAGACAAGGUUUGAAAGUAAGAGGAAAGAGAAUGAUUGGUCUAAUUUUUACUUUUACACGGUUAGAGAUCCUUAAUUGUAAAAUUUGUCCUAAAUGUGCAUCAUAUUCAAGAUCACUUGCAAACAUAAUGAAUAAUUAGAGAAGAUUAUUCACAAGUUUAGAAAAUUUUAUAUUUAUAUAAAUUUUUUAACCUUUAGAAUAAUAACCAAUUAGAAUAGUAGACUAUCUACAAAGCAUUUAAUUUUAGUCAUGGUAAGAUUGAUGAAGGUUUGCAUCUUCAUCUUGGAUUGUUCCUUCUUUCUUAUUUCUUCUUUGACUCACAUAUAUAUAUAUAUUUUGGAUUUCACAUGCACUUAUGCCCAUUGCUAAAAGUUUUGUUCCAUACUUUCAAAAUAACUCAUAAUCCAGUAUAUCCUUAUUUUAACUCUUUGAGAUACUAGUACCAUUUAAAGUUUUCUCAUUCUCAUAUUCUCCGGUUCUUCUUGCCAAUAGUCAUAUAGCUUGUUUUAGAUAGUUAUGAUUUUCAUUAUGCUAAAGUUUACUAUAUAGGUUGCUUACAUAAACAAAUUAAGAAGUUUGAUGAAUUUUUUUGUAUCCUACAUUAACUAAUGUAAAAGGCUUUCAUCUUUCAUGGAUGCAAUUUGUUUUGUCAGUUUUAAAUCUUGCAGAUUUGUUUGCAUUAAUAAAUAAAUGAACAUGGUUCCUUUUUCUAUAUAGAGCUCUAACAUUGUCGUCUAGAUUAUUAUGGUUUAAAUCAUAUUCACACAUGUAUUUAAUGUAUUUUACAACUUAGUUAUAGCUUUUGAAAUUUUGCUAUAGACUUUUGUAGGUAUGGCAUAGUGAUUCCUAUUUAUUAUACAUCACGAUUUUCAAUGAAAUUUUAUUAUGAUUCCUAUUUUCUUCCUUUCUAUGGGAAAAAUUAUCUAAGGGAAGAAAAAUGUUGAUUCUUUGAAUAGAGAAAAUUAUAUACUAAAAGAUACAUUAUUCGAGAUAAGGAAUUGAUCUGUAAACAAAAACUAUCUCAAUUGACAUGUUAAAGUGAAGAUUUACUAUAAUCAUUUGAAAGUAAUCUACCAUAUAAUAGUCUCAUUUGACAUAACAAUUUUUUUAGCAUGCCAAUAUGAAAAAUGUAACGUAAAUAGACUAUAUGUUUAGUUACUUUUCCUUGGUUUUGUUGCUUAUUGUGAUAUUUGGAAGGAAAAAAAAUAGGGUUAUUAUCGCUUUAUCACCUUCAACUAUAUCACUACUAUCAGUUUACCCCCUAACGUUAUCUUUUAGUCACUUCACCCCUAUAAGUGAUAGGUUGCAAUUUUAUUAUUUAUUUUAUUAUUAAUUUCCCCUAUUACCUGACCUGAUGUGGAUUAAUUAUUAGAUUCUACUCAUUUUUCGUAAUUUACAUUUAUUUCAGGGAGUAGAACGAAAAUAUCACAACCAAAGCUAAUUUGACAGUCAUCGGGAAAGAAUUCAAAUGGAAGGCAUUCAGGGGCAUUUUGGAACAAGGAGACACAAGUCCGUUUUGGUAAUUUGGCCGAGGACAGCAAAAGAAAAAAAAAAAAAAGAAAGCAAGCUUGGGCAAUCUUCGUGGGCCUACGGAUUGGAGCCGCCGCACAGAAGUAGUAUGCGUUAGAUAGGAACUAGAAGUUGCAGAGGAUUAGCACUCCUUUAAUUUUGGACUUUUCCUUUUUGCUUUUGAAUAGUUUUCUUCUUCGUAUGGAGGACAAAAGGGGAGGCCAUUGAUCACUUUCCGUAGCGUUGCUUUUUUUCCUUUGACUUCCCAGCGAAUUAACUCCUCUUGAUAGGAGACAAUGUCUGUGAAUAGUAUUUCUGAAUUCUCGCGUGGGUUAUGAACUAAAUCCCCUUUUUCUAGUCAAGAAACAACGGAAGUUUUGGUUCAUCUAAAAAUUGUGAGAUCGAUUUAAUUUUAUCUUUUCCUUUUAUUUAUUGGUAUUCGCAUAUUCUUUGAUCACAGCGCUUACGAUUGUUCAAUUAAUUGAUUUUCUUGGAUCCGGAUAAUUAGUUAAUUGGGUAGUCUAUUGUCAAUUGAGACAUUAAAUCCGUAAUUGUUUAAUUGCCUUGAAAUAGUGACAACUGGCAUGAUUGGAUUUGCGUCAGGAGAAUACGUGGGCUAACCUAAAAUAACCCCGGUAGUGCGUUAUUUGGUUAGAAUAGGGCUCCUCUAAUACGUAAGACAAUUGGGGAAUUAAAUCUUAUGGGCGUACCUAGGAUUAUUUCUCAAUUAGAGUAGUGAUUAACGGGCGUACCUUAAUCACCGACACAGUAAGGAGAGGUUGACUGUUAUCGCUUGUUUGGCAGUUAUAACCUAUUUAUUGGUAAAUAAUUGGAAUUGGUUUUGCAUCGAUGAUCAAUUAGGUGAACCAUUGCUGAAGUUAUUUCUUGGUUAGAUCCUUAAUUAUCACCCAUUUGAUUUUAGUAAUUUGUUAUUUAAUUUUUAAUAGCUUCUUAGAUUUUAUUUGAAUUUCUUUGAUUGUCACCUUCUGCACAAAAACACCCCCUUUGUUACUGUGAGUUUGAAAAGAAACAGUUACACCCAGUCUCUGUGGAUUCAACCCUGCUUACCACUAGUUACAAAAAUUAACUUUAGUUGAACAUGUUUUUAUUAUUGCACAAGGUGACAACCUGUCAAUAAGUAAUUCAAUUUAACAUAUUAAGAAAUUUUGGGCAAAAUACCCUUUUAUUCUAUAGCAUUACUAAAUUAUUAUUAUUACUUUAUUCCUUUAGAUCAUAGUGAUAUAAUCGCUUUAAUUCCUAACAUUAUUUUCUAGGCAUUUUACUUCAUCGUUAAUCUAAUUAGUAUGGUCAAAAAAUUUUAAAUAUAUUGACUAUUUUAUAUAUAUAAUUAAAAAUAAAAAAUUUGAAAUGAUUAUUCUUCUUUUUUUCACUUUAAAAGAUCCAAAAUAUAAAAAAUAAAAGGAUUUUUUCAAAUUUCUUUUUUCACACUUAUUAAUAUUAGGAAAAGAAAAAGAGAUGGGAAAGAAGGAGACAAAAAAUUAGAUUUUGCAAAGAAAAUAAUAAAGAAAAGUCUAAUAUUAUCUUAUUAAUUUAAGGUUGUUGGAAUUAGAAUUGAAAUCUAGUGGUAAACAUUAAAGUAAAACAAUUUUAAAACAAUAAAAGUAUUUAAUUCUUUCUUAUUUGUAUUUAAAAAUAAAGAAUUGAGCUAUCUCUCUUCUCCUCCCAAUCUUUCUAUUUGUUUUAAUAUUAAUAAGAUUGGCAAGAAGAAAGAGAUCAAUACUUUGAAUUUUUUUCUUGAUACUAAAGAUGAAAAGAGCCACUUUAAAAUUUUUAUUGUUUUUAUUAUACAAAGAGGAGAGUACUUUCUCUAAAAAUUUUUAACUUGCUAAGUUAGUUUAAUGGUGAGAUAAAUUGCCUAAAAAAUAACUCUAUGGAGUAAAUUGAUAAUGAGACUAUAGUUUAUGAGAGUAAAGUGAUAAUAACUUUCAGGGCUAAACUUGUUUUUUUACUUUAAUUAACAAACUCCGUUAAGUUUGACCGUUAGUUUUGGGCGUAAAGUGACUAAAAAAUAAUAUUAAAGGAAAAUUUGAUAAUGGCAUCAAACGUUAACAGGGUUAAGUGAUAAUAAUCCAAAAAAGUAUGACAAGCUUUAGUGCAAAGCAAACGUGCCUAGCUUAUAUGCCUUAAUUAGAUCGUGGAUUCCUGUUUAAAAUAGUAAAUGGGUACAAUUUUGUGCGAAUCUUGGUAAAUGAGUUUAAUGGUCCCUCCAGUCCUAUUGAAUAUAUUUUGUUCCUCAACUUCUAAAAGUAUUAUCAGGUCUCAAAAUGUAUAAAUUUAGUUCUAAUUGAUCCCACAAGCAAAAUUCAAUUAAGACAAAUUUUAUAUCUUUCCACUAAAUAACAUUUAGUUUGAUGUUUCUUAGAUGCCUUCCACAUUUAUAAAAGCAUUAAAAUCACAGUAGAAAUGGCAUUGGUUUAUGAACUUUGGUUUUCACAAAAAUUGAACUAACCUUGCAAUUUCACAAUAUUUCUUUCUCAAGCAAAACAGUUCUUUAAAAAUUAAGCUGUCUCCUUCUAUUGAACCCAUUUUUCCUAUAUUCUCCACUGGGUAUCUAACAUUCUAGAGUGUUAAAAAGCUGAUUUAGAACUUUAAAAUUAAGGUGGGCUAGUAAAGCUGAAAAUUAAGGUACCAAAAUUGGCAUACAUUUUUUAUUGGGUAAAAAAGAUGCAUCAUAUAGAGAAUAGUUUAUUAGCUACCAAUAUUAUUAAAAUGUGUCUGAAAUAGUUAAAUAACCAGGGAUAAGUAGUCAUACUCCAAUCUAGAUCCAUUUGCUAUUCAAACCAUCCCUAAAUUUUUGGAACCUCAAGGUUCAAUAUUUCUAAUCUAGUUCCUUAGUCUUUGACGUGUCUUUAUAAAUAUAAUUGGCAUUAAAUAGUAUGAAGUGUGUUUAUCCAAAUCAUUAAACCAAUAGGGACUGGUAGAAUGAAGAUGUUAUCCUUUAUGCCUUAGAGUUCUUGUAAGUGUUGACAAAAUUCUCUAAAUUAGUAGUCUCUUGAGAUUUUAAUAAUAAACAUUCAUGUGACUACUACGUAGUUAUAUUGCUAAAUACUAAAUUCUAAUAGUCAAAAAGAGACAGAAAAGCAAAACCCAUUAUCCAAUUAAACAAAGAAUCCAACUAUUCAACGAAUCAUGUAAAGGAAAAAAGUUUCUGCCAUACAACUAACAAGGUAAAGAAACAACUUGCAAAGUUAAGUUAUAAAAUAUGGGAUCUCUUUUGAUAUGCUGCAUAAUAAUUAAGUUUUAAAUUUAGAAAUCUUAUUGUACGUCGUGUAGGGGUGAGCAGAUUCGGUUCGUACCGAAUUCAUAACUGAUUUCAAAUUCAAUUCAGUAAUUUGAAAUCGGAUAUUUGGUAAUUCGGUACCAAUUCGGUGCAUACCGAAUUCACCGAAUUCUAAUAUGGUAUAAAAUAGGUAAUGGGAUUAUGAAUUUGGUAAUAACCGAUUUCGAAUUCAAAGUUCGAUAAUUGAAAUCGGGUACCGCAUUACCGCAUUCGAAUACCAAAUUGAUAUAUAAAAUUAUAUAAUAUAUAGAUAAAUGCUAUUUAGUAUUAGUAUAUACUACUAAUACUUUAUUAUAUUAUAUAGGUAAAUGCUAUUAAUAAUAAUUAGUAUAUGGUAUUAUCAUCAUAUCAUGUACUUAUAUUACUAAUAAUAUAUAAUAAUGUACAAUAUAUUUAUAUUAUUUUAGUAUUUAUUAAUUGUUAUAUGACUACAAUAAUGCAUAGUAAUACAUUACAAGAUAAGAUAACUAUAAUACUUAUUAUUUUAUACAUGAGUAACAUACUAACAUGACUAGAAUUAGAUAAUAAUUAAUACAUAUAUGUAUAAUACUAAAUAUUAAACAAUAAACAUAAUUAGUAAUUAGAAUUUAGAUAUUGGUAAUUUGAUGCAUCAUUCAUGUUUGAAUUAUUGAAUAUUUGAAUGCGUAAUCUAUAACUUGCAAGUAUUAGUGUACUCUAAAUUUACAUUACAUAUUCACUAAUCUUAAGGCUUUAAGUAUAGAUAAGACAAUUAAGCAGUGUAAGUGAAUGUAUAUGAAUUGCAAAUCAAUGUAUUAGUGUAUUGACUUUCACAAUAACAUAUGUAAGUAAAUAAGUUUAAUUUUGAUUUAAAAUAAAUUAUAAGUUUGUAACUAACAUAACUUAUCACUAAUCAUUGUAAUUUGUAAGUUUGUAACUAAUAUUACUUAUUAUUAAUCAUUGUAAAUUAUAAAUUCAUAAAUUAUUACUAAUCAUUGUACAGUCUAAGGUUUAUUCUAGUUUAAAUUAAUCACUUUUUAUAUGUUCCUUAAAUCAUAGACUAAGGAUUGUAGGUAUAAGUGAUCAAAUAAGUUAAAAUUCAUAUUCUCUAUUUACUAAUCUUAAGGCUUUAAGUAUAGACAAAAUAACUAAGCAGUGUAAGUGAAUGCAUGUGAGUUGCAAAUCAAGUAAAUAAGUUUUAUUUUGAUUUGAAAUAAAUUAUAAGUUUGUAACUAAUGUAACUUAUCACUAAUCAUUGAUUCAUUGUAAUUUGUAAGUUUGCAACUAAUAUUACUUAUUAUUAAUCAUUGUAAAUUAUAAAUUCAUUAUAACUACUAACUAAAUUAGUUUAAAUUAAUCACUUUUUAUGUGUUUCUUAAAUCAUAGACCAAGGAUUUUAGGUAUAAGUGACCAAAUAAAUGCCAAUUAAACCACAAAAUGAUUUGAACAUAAGUAAUGUGUUCAAUUAUGAAUAAAUUUGGGGAUCAAAUCAAUAAUAAUUUUUAAAUCAUUAAGGAGCAUAAUGAAUGUAUUAUAAUUUAGGAGCCCCAAUUUAUAAAUUAAAAAUUACAAAAUCACUUCAUUUGGGAAAAGUCGGAUUUCAUCUUUAGUUGAUGAAAAGUGAGAAAACAACCAUUGCAAAUUUGCAAUAUUGCAUAGUGCCGUGAAUUCGGUUAGACCGAAUUCAUUACCGUUUUCGAAUUUGAAAUCGGGUACCGCAUGAAUUAGGUAAUGCCCAAUUCGAAAUUGAAAACGGUUUAGAUUUCUAUAAGUGUAAUAACCGAAAAAACCAAAUUCAGCGCACCGAUUUACCGCAUUUGCACCGAAUGCUCACCUCUAACGUCGUGUGCGUGUUGCUACCAAUAUGUAUAAAUUAAUCAUAAUUCAUCUUGCGUGUCUUGGUAGGGCCUAGAAGGACAAAUUGCAAAAUAACGCGUUGUCAAAGAAAGCAAUAAGUUCAACAUCAUGAGUUAAGAGUUGUAACAAAUUUUCUCACGGACGAUCUUUCAAAAUUUGAAACUAAAAAAAAUUUGUCAAUCCUAUAACAAUGAGUAAUUCCUGAUUCUGGAGCCAAAACAACCAUAUAAUAAUUAUGUGCCAUCUGUUGAAUUCAAGGUCAACCAAUAUUUUAUAUUUUAUGUUCUGGUAUGUCAGUUUUAGAUUAGAAUGAAUCUCAAAAAAACUAACUCUCUAUGGAAAUUUUAUAACUUAACAGAAAGGAGAUAUGAACAUGAUGCUAUGGAGAUGAAUUCUUUGGAGAGAGACUCAACACAGCACAUGAAGAGCAACUGAAGUGAUUUGCUUAUAUGGGACUUCUUCUUUCACUGAUUUCUUGAUUUUUUUAAUGUUUAUUUGUGCUGAAAAAAUAGAGAAAAUAGAGAAGCCCUGUAUGCUUCACUUAUGCUAGUUGAGGCAGUGAAAGAAAUGCGGCAAAAGGUUGCUCGUAGGCAAGGACCCGAAAGAUGUUGUUUUUUGCUCAAAAGAUGAGAAGUAUGAAUUUGGUAAUUGUUGGUAUAAUAUGUUUUGGAAGUGGUAUGCUUAGGAAGGGUUAGAAAGAUCAGAAUCAUUUGUUUAAUGAGAUUAGAUUAGAAAGAUUGUUUCGUGGGACUACAGAAAACAUACGACAGAUAAUUAUAAUCUCUCGCAAUCAUUUGUUUAGGAAGAUUGUAACCAUGUACGACUCAAACAGAAGCAUUAGAAAAAUUAGAUUAGAUGAGCAGUAUGAGAAAGGGUAUUUUAAGCAUUACAAAAAAAAAAAAAAGAAGAAGGAAGAAAUACCAUUAUACAAGAUUUUGGUCCUAAUGUUUAGUACCUGUGCAGCUCUAGUCCUUAAAGUUUUGCCAAAAACAAAUUUAGUCCUCAAUGUUUAGCACAUGCACUGUUGUAGUCCCUAAAGUUUUUAUAAGAACAACUCUAGUCUCCAAUGUAUCCAAUAUAAAUUAGAUUUAGAUAACUGAAUAUUUUUCAAUUACUAACAGAAUUUAUUCAUGUGUACAUUAUAUUAAGUAUAAAAAUAAAGAAAAAAUAGUGGCUAACUUUAAACUACAAUAUUAAGGACUAAUAACUCAUGUGCUAACUAAUUAAUUGGUAAAAAAAUUGUUCAAGUACAAAAUUCAAACUAGUCAGAGCAUUUAAUUCAUCAAUUUAGAACUCAUUUUCUCUCUCUAUCCUUACUUACCCUAAGAAAAAAAAAAAAGCCCCAACACUUGGUUUUUGUGCAUAAUUAAACAAAUUUCCUUUUUUCCUGUUUUCUGGGUUAAUUAAUAACUCACGUUUCAUCACGUGAGUUGCUCUUACUAUUUAAGGUUAUCCAUGUUGGAAAAUUGGCUAUAUUCAUUGUAGAGUGAAUGAGAAAAUUGUUCUCAUAAUGGCACUCUUGAAAGAAUCAAAGGAUAAUUAUCUAUUCAUGUACAUAGGAUUCAUGUAUAUUAUUCAUGAUAGGAUACAUGUACUUGAUACAUGAUUUUAUCGUUAUCUUAUUGAGAUACGUGUAUGUACAUGAAUAUGGUACUUUGAUCAACGUAAAGAUAAUUAUCUGGAUUUUAACUCUUGUUGCCAAUUUCGAACAGUCACCCUAAGCUAGCAUCUAUAAAUAUCUCCUUUUAUUUCAAAAGCAAGGGCGCUCUCUCUCUCUCUUUUUCCUUUUUGCAUCUUCAUAUUUUAUAGUGUUCCAUAUUGCUCUAGUUCGAGUUCGCUGUGGUGAAUAAAGUUUGGUGCUGACAUAUUCACCUUUAAUCCGUUGUAUCCUGGGAGACAGACGCCUACUCAACCUCGAGCACUCUACCUGGAGGGGGCGAAUCUGUUUUAAGGAAAUUGUGCUCACAAGCCACGGAUUGUUACUAUUGUUAUUUUUCUAUCUUUACUUUCUUUCUAGGUUGUAUUUAUUCUUCUCUUUUGUAUCAGCCUACUUUAUUAUUUCACUAACAAUCUUAAAACAGAUCCGUUCUCAAUGGCUGACAAUACAGGAAGAGAAACCAACACAUCUACUGUUGAUGCCUCUGCCUCUGGCACAAUUGUGAAACAACCUGAAGGGAAGAUUACUCCUAUGGUUUCUACCAACCAUAGUGAGAAACCUGAGAAGUUCCAUGGCCUAAACUUCAAGACAUGGCAACAAAAGAUGUUGUUCUAUUUGACAACAUUGAAUCUCUCGAGAUUCUUAAGUGAGGAUGCUCCAAAGCUGUCUGAAGGCUUAACUGAUGCACAAGCUGUCAGUGCUAUUGAUGCUUGGAAGCACUCCGAUUUCCUUUGUCGAAAUUAUGUCAUGAACUGCUUGCAUGACUCGCUGUAUAACGUGUAUCAAAUACACAAGACGGCGAAGGCACUGUGGGAAUCCUUAGAUCGGAAAUAUAAAACCGAAGAUGCCGGAGCAAAGAAAUUUGUCGUUGGAAAAUUUCUAGACUAUAAAAUGGUGGAUUCCAAAACUGUUAUCAGUCAAGUGCAAGAAAUUCAGAUUAUCUUGCAUGAGAUUCUUGCUGAAGGCAUGCUUUUGAGUGAAACCUUUCAAGUGGCUGCUGUUAUUGAGAAGCUACCUCCUGGGUGGAAGGAUUUCAAGAACUAUCUCAAGCACAAGCGCAAAGAGAUGAGUAUGGAGGACCUUAUCGUUAGACUUCGAAUUGAAGAAGACAACAGGGGUUCUGAUUGCAAGGCAACAACUUAUGUUGAUGCUAAAGCAAAUUUUGUGGAGUAUAAGCAAGGGCAAAACUCCAAAGGCAAAAAGCCAACUCGAAAUCUUGGGGCAAAAGGGAAAAUCUCUAAGCAGAAAUUCCAAGGGAAGUGCUUCAACUGUGACAAAAAAGGUCACAAGUCCACUGAAUGUAAGCUUCCAAAGAAGAAGAAGCAUGAAGCAAAUUUGCUUGAUAGAAUCGAGGGAGACAUGGAAAACAUGAACCUGACUGCUAUGGUUUCUGAAGUAAAUUUGAUAGGGUCAAAUCCGAAAGAAUGGUGGAUUGACACUGGAGCUACAAGACAUGUUUGCACAAACAAAGACUUGUUCACUACCUUCGAAAAGGUUGAAGGUGAAAAAAUGUUCAUGGGGAACUCUGCCUCAUCUGCUAUUGAAGGUCAAGGGAAGGUGUUACUAAAGAUGACUUCUGGCAAAACAUUGACUUUGAACGAUGUUCUGUAUGUGCCAGAAAUCCGCAAGAACCUUGUUUCUGGAUCGUUGCUGAACAAGCAUGGCUUUCGCAUGGUUUUUGAAUCGGAUAAAGUUAUAUUAUCCAAAUCUGGGAUGUAUGUAGGGAAAGGAUAUACAACCGAUGGGUUGUUCAAAUUGAAUGUAAUGACUAUUGUGAAUAAUAAGAAUAAGUCUUCUGCUUAUUUGCUUGAGUCUUCCAAUUUAUGGCAUGGUAGACUAGGUCAUGUUAAUUAUGAUACUUUGCGUAGACUAAUUAACUUGGAUCAUAUUCCUUCCUUUCACAUCAAUUCAAACCAUAAAUGCGAGAUUUGCGUAGAAGCAAAAUUAACAAGGUCAUCUUUUCAAUCAAUUGAAAGAAACACCGAACCCCUUGAAUUGAUUCACACAGAUGUCUGUGAUUUGAAAUUUGUUCAAACAAGAGGUGGUAAUAAAUAUUUUAUCACUUUCAUUGAUGAUUGCACAAAAUACUGUUAUGUGUAUUUGCUCAAAAGUAAAGAUGAAGCCUUGGAAAAAUUCAUUCUCUACAAGAAUGAAGUUGAAAAUCAACUUAACCGGAGAAUUAAAAGGUUAAGAAGUGAUAGAGGUGGUGAAUAUGAAACACCUAUUGGUGGUUACUGUGCAAAAUAUGGAAUUGUUCAUGAAGUAACUGCACCUUACUCACCACAAUCGAAUGGUGUUGCUGAACGGAAAAAUCGCACACUAAAGGAAAUGAUGAAUGCGAUGUUACUAAGUUCAGGAUUGCCUCAAAAUAUGUGGGGCGAAGCUAUUUUGUCAAGCAAUUACCUUUUAAAUAGGGUACCCCGGAAAAAACAAGAUAAAACUCCUUAUGAGUUAUGGAAAGGUAGGAGACCAUCCUACAAAUACUUGAAAGUGUGGGGGUGUCUUGCAAAAGUGGCUAUUCCAGCACCAAAAAGAACAAAGAUAGGUCCUAGAACUGUGGACUGUAUCUUUAUAGGCUAUGCACAUAAUAGUGUUGCUUAUCGGUUUCUUGUGUAUAAUUCAGAAAUUUCGGAUAUACACAAAAAUACGAUAAUGGAAUCAAGGAAUGCUUCAUUCUUUGAAGAUGUGUUUCCUUGUAAAUCGAAUGGUGCAUCAAGUUCUUCAAAACGAACACAUGAAGUUGUGAAUCAAGAAAAACAUGAUCAUGACUUGAUUCAACAAGAUGAACCGAGACGUAGCAAAAGGGCUAGAGUGGAAAAAUCAUUUGGAGAUGAUUUUACAACUUUUCUAUUAGAAAAGGAACCACAAACCUAUACAGAAGCUGUAAGUUCUUCUGAAGGAUUUUUGUGGAAAGAAGCAAUAAAAAGUGAGGUUGAUUCUAUUUUACAGAAUCAUACAUGGGAGUUAGUGGAUCUUCCUCCUGGUUGUAGACCUUUAGGGUCCAAAUGGAUCUUUAAAAGGAAAAUGAAACCUGAUGGCUCUGUCGAUAAGUACAAAGCCAGACUUGUAAUCAAAGGAUACAAGCAACAAGAAGGUUUGGAUUAUUUUGAUACUUAUUCUCCUGUUACGAGAAUAAAUUCUAUCAGAAUGAUUCUUGCUAUCGCUGCAUUGAGAAAUCUGGAGAUACAUCAAAUGGAUGUAAAGACAGCUUUCUUAAAUGGUGAUUUAGAUGAAGAAAUCUACAUGGAGCAACCUGAGGGCUUCAUAACUCCGGGAAAAGGAAAUAAAGUUUGUAAAUUAGUGAAAUCAUUGUAUGGACUAAAACAAGCGCCAAAGAAAUGGCAUGAAAAGUUCGACAAUGCAAUGAUAACUAAUGGAUACAGAAUAAAUGAGUGUGACAAAUGUGUCUACACUAAAGAAACAGACAAUGGCUAUGUCAUCUUAUGUCUUUAUGUAGAUGACAUACUUAUUGUUGGUAGUAAUGACAAAAUGGUCAAAUCUACCAAGGACAUGUUGAAUUCAAAAUUUGACAUGAAAGAUAUGGGGCUUGCUGAUGUAAUUUUAGGAGUUAAAAUUACAAGAAUAUCAGACGGGGUGGUCUUGAGCCAAACUCAUUAUGUGGACAAGAUUCUGGAAAAAUUCAAUAAGAAUGAUUCUGGAAUUGCAAGAACUCCAUUAGACAAUAGUUUCCAUCUAUCUAAGAAUAGAGGAGAGAGUAUUUCUCAAGUAGAAUACUCAAGAAUCAUUGGAAGUCUAAUGUAUUUAAUGAGUUGUACUAGACCUGACAUUGCAUAUGCUGUGAGCAAAUUGAGCAGGUUUACAAGCAACCUGAGUGCUGAUCAUUGGAAAGCAAUUUUAAGGGUGCUUAAAUACCUACGGUACACUCGGAACUAUAGACUGCAUUACACUAGAUACCCUGCUGUUUUAGAAGGGUAUGCUGAUGCAAAUUGGAUAUCUGAUAUAAAAGAUUCAAAAUCCACAAGUGGAUAUGUGUUCACACUUGCCAGUGGGGCAGUAUCUUGGAAGUCUUCUAAACAAACUAUUGUAGCUAGAUCUACAAUGGAAUCUGAGUUCAUUGCCUUGGACAAAUGUGGAGAAGAAGCUGAAUGGCUCCACCAUUUCCUUGAAGACAUUCCAAAAUGGGAAAAACCUGUGCCACCAAUAUGUAUUCACUGUGAUAGUCAAUCAGCAAUUGGAAGAGCACAGAAUAACAUAUAUAAUGGUAAGUCUAGACAUAUACGUCGUAGGCAUAAUACCAUUAGACAACUACUCUCAACAGGAGUUAUCUCUAUUGAUUAUGUGAAAUCAAAGGAUAACAUAGCGGAUCCGCUAACCAAAGGAUUGAAUCGAGAGUUGGUUGCAAAAAUGGCAAAGGGAAUGGGACUAAAGCCCAUGGAAGGCUAAGUGUUAUAAAGGAAACCCAACCUAGUUGACUGGAGAUCCCAAGAUCUAGGUUCAAAGGGACAACCUAAUUAUAAGGACUUAGCAUAGUCAUUGUGGGGGGAUACCCCUAGACCCAUUCCAUAAUGAAACAAUGACGCAAAGGAGAAUUAAGGAUAGCACAAUGGUGUGCUUUAAUGAUUCUUAAGUGAAGUAAUUAAUUACUGAAGACUUAAGUAAAUCACCUAUGUGAGAGUGAAGUGGGGCCGCUUCGAAAGAGAAUUGUUUAGGGCUCAAUUCUUAAAAAAAAAAAAACUCUUGCUGAACCAGGUUGAUGUUCAUGGCCAAAACGAACAUAACUAUGAGAACUGAACAAAUGGAGCAUGAUUCCUGUGUGAAAUAUAUGGUUCAUUUACACUAAAAAGCGGGACAGUUCAAAGACAUCAUGUCUACUGGAUUGCUAGUAAAGUAAGUGUAUUUCACAAGAGAAGGUUCAAUGGGUAACACCAACCUAUCUUAUGCAGGUUUCAGUCGUGGAACACUACUGUCGAGUCAAAUCAAAACAAUUUUUCAUUCAUGUGGGGGAUUGUUGGAAAAUUGGCUAUAUUCAUUGUAGAGUGAAUGAGAAAAUUGUUCUCAUAAUGGCACUCUUGAAAGAAUCAAAGGAUAAUUAUCUAUUCAUGUACAUAGGAUUCAUGUAUAUUAUUCAUGAUAGGAUACAUGUACUUGAUACAUGAUUUUAUCGUUAUCUUAUUGAGAUACGUGUAUGUACAUGAAUAUGGUACUUUGAUCAACGUAAAGAUAAUUAUCUGGAUUUUAACUCUUGUUGCCAAUUUCGAACAGUCACCCUAAGCUAGCAUCUAUAAAUAUCUCCUUUUGUUUCAAAAGCAAGCGCGCUCUCUCUCUCUCUUUUUCCUUCUUGCAUCUUCAUAUUUUAUAGUGUUCCAUAUUGCUCUAGUUCGAGUUCGUUGUGGUGAAUAAAGUUUGGUGCUGACAUAUUCACCUUUAAUCCGUUGUAUCCUGGGAGACAGACGCCUACUCAACCUCGAGCACUCUACCUGGAGGGGGCGAAUCUGUUUUAAGGAAAUUGUGCUCACAAGCCUCGGAUUGUUACUAUUGUUAUUUUUCUAUCUUUACUUUCUUUCUAGGUUGUAUUUAUUCUUCUCUUUUGUAUCAGCCUACUUUAUUAUUUCACUAACAAUCCAUUCAUUUGCUUCUUUCUUACAAAAUUAAUUUAACUUACACAUAACUAAACGUUAUUAGGUUCCAUUAGUAAUUAAAAAAUGUUAGUGAAUUGUCCUAAAUUUGCUUAAAAUAAGAAACAAUUUGGAACCAAAAUUAUUUUUGACCAAAAUUUUUGCCAAAAAUUGAGGUCCAUACUUUUUUUUGCUGAAACUUUAGAACUAAAACUGUACAAGUGCAAAACACUAGCUAAGGAGAAAACCUUCAUUUUUUUCCAAAAAUUAAAAGAAAAUUCAGAAAACUAGGAAAUGAAUAUUGGCAUUCAAGAAGAGGUGGGAUUUAAGAAGCUAAAGUUUGGAACCUAGAACAUCCAAUUCCCGUAAUCUCAACCUUAACUAAUUGUCCAAGGCCUAUUCUGCGCAUAAGGGCUCAUCUCAUGAAGAAGAAGGCAAAUUAUUAAAUGCCAAUACAAAUUUACGGAAGAAAGAGGAGCCGUGCAAGACUGGUGUAGUUGUUUAUUUUUGGACACUUUUGAGGUUUUUUUGCCGUGCAAAUAAUUACCCAAGUCCCUUAAUAAUUUUGUACCUUCUUUUCAAUCAUGUGCACCGAGCGUGCCAGUAGACACCCAAAAUUCCUGCCUAAAGGUAGAUGCCACCCACAUAGCUAUCAUUUCUGGGCAUUAAUGUGAUUUCUUUCAGUUUUUGGACUUAAUCUUUGUGUUAAACAAUUUAUACAGUCAUCCUUAGGGAACAAAGCAUAAAGUGUUGCAUCUCAAUCCCAAGUUCAAGAGUGUAAAAUGUAGUUAGCCCUUAAAUUCAGUCAUCAUUCUCUUAGGAUCUUCUUGGUCAGCUUCUCAAAGCAUAAAGAAGCAGGGCCAAGAAUCAGAACCAAGAACACACGAGAUUUUUCUUUGCUAAAAUAUUUUGAGAAGGUUGGGCCCAACCUAUUAGAACAAAAAUGAGGUCUAAAUUAUUGUACAAAAAUCAAAAGUCAUCUAUUAGAACACCGCAAUCCAAAUCAUUAGACUCCAUUAACUGAAUCAUACUGGUAACUCGUUGUGUGACCUGCAAGUAUGAUUUGAUGGAAACCCAAGUUUCAUCAAAUUAACUGAGAGGGUAGUGAAGGGUGAAGAGCAGAGCCACUCCAGAAUGCCAAAGAGACACGGAGAUUAUGACAAAAUUUACGCCAAAUGCCGAAUAUAAGAAAUCUUAGAUCACUCGUGAAUCAAUAGUUGGGGCAAUCAUGAUGAAGAGAAAGAAAAGACCGACUCUGAUGCUCCAAUUGUAGAUUUGUCCGGUGAAAAAUUCUACAACAUUUUUCUGCAACUGAAUGGCAGCUAAUUUGAGAAGCGAAGAGUCUGAGACAGCUUACCAAAUUGACUACUAUAACCAGUUGAUAUAUACUUUCAAGGGUUCCCGACUGAGCUUUAAGCCUACAGUCCCUGCAAAACAGAAAACUCGGACUCAGGACUUCACCUAGCAAAUCAUAAGGCUAAAUGGGAAUUGCAUGACAUUUUUGUUUAGUCAAUUAUUCGGAAAAGCUCAAUCAAUAUUUGUUUUCGUUGUAAGCACAUAUCAAAUCUUUCUGCUCAGUCAAUAAGUAAAUGAUAAGCAAAUUGAUAAGCAAAUGAACUUUUAGCGUGCUUAGUUGGAUGAGGAGCUUCUAGAUUCAAAAUCUAAGGCAGGCAUGUUUGCCAGCAUUGCAAUAAAGAUAGAAGAGCAAUUUCCAUGUCAUUUUUGAGCUGGGAAUCUUACACAAAGAAAGAGCUUCUUUUUGUUGCCUUUGUUCGAAAAGUAAUAAGCAGGAUAGAAGACUUGAUACUAAGUACAGCUACUUAUCCAUUUAGAACAAAAUCAAUAACCUGAUGCUAUUUCUAGAAAAUUUGCAAGCUUCUCACGAUCAAUGUGUUUCUCUAUCACCAACCAAACCUCUCAGGAUGAUCACCAGAAAUUCACGUUAAUGAUGUCCUUGAUCUUGAGAGACUUUACAUAUGUUGGGGAAAGAAAUUUUAGCGAGCAGUUCAUAGAGGCCAGCUGAAAAAAAUAGAGCAUCUUAUCAAGUUUUAGACACUAAGAAGAAAGAAAAGUGUACCUGUAGUGUGCCAUCCUAGUCAUUUCUCUCCAAUUGAAACAGGAUCUGAUUCAACAAAGUUUUCAAAGGUUAAGAGCAGUUGUAGAUUCCAGUUGACGUUUGAGCCUGAUAUCAUUGCACAACAGAAAACUCGAACUGGGACAAUAUGUGGUCAACAAGAAAGCUAAUGAGAAAGUUCAGAUAAUUCAACAAUACUUUGGUUCUGUCAAUCUCACAAAAGGGUAAAAUGUUUGUUUACAGAGUUGUGUUUACAGUUAUUCCUAUGACCAUUACAUUAGUUUGGUUCCGACCGCAAUGCAACGCAAGUAAUUACAACUUAAAAACUUGAAAAUAAUGAUAGGCACUUUUCGUAGCACAUGCAAAGCAUCCCAUAUUGAGGCAUUGAUGCACAAUAGAGCUAUGGGACAAUGAGGCACAAUAGAGAUCCACAUUCAACUACUACCAUAACACUGGGUAGAUCUAACUCCUAACUACAAGCAGCAUGCCAGAGAUGACAAAUUGAGUUCUAAAACAUGUAAAUCAGCACCUUAUUAUCAUGACAACAAAUGUCUGAAUCAUUUGCUAGUUUAAAAGCAUCAAUGAGGUUCCCUGUUGAGCUUUGGGCCUAAAAUCACUCCAAAGCACAAAAACUCAAACUCAGGAUGGCAUAUAGCGUAGCAUACAACUAAAGGAAAAUUUCAAUAAUUGCAGGUUUUCUGUCAUUGUAACCAAAGCCCCAAAAGAAGAAAUUUACCAUACAAAUACUAGCAACCAACAAUCAUAAAAACAGAGAGAGCUUGAGAGCCUUUAUCAAGGUAGGUUCACUAAGAGCAGCAAGUAGCAACAAACAGGCUUGACUAACUACCAGAAUGCUCCAAAACAUUCCGCUUAGACUUGAAUGUUGGAAGAUACUCCACCAAGUUUUGUGCAACUUCAUUGCUUGAACGGUACAUCUUCCUUGGCUAACUCAAAAAUAUCUUCAGGACGACAAGAUUUCUUUUGUUUUGUGGAUAUCAAAGUGGUUAAAAGUCACAAUUGAGCAAUGAAAGAAAAGCAUAUCUAAAAUUACCAGAAUUUUUGAACCAAAACAUGAAAGCGAUGACCAACAGCUGCGAAUAAUCCUUGGUUGACCAUAGUCUUCAUGGCUAGAAAGUCAAAACCAAGGAAAAGAGACUCAGAAAACCAUCAUAUAUGACUCUGAUAGAGCAGUUACUAAUCAAAUGGUUCAGAUAAGUAUGUAAGCUCAUUAUCAAGAGAAAAAAGUUCAGAGAAACCAUUUCAUUCCCGUAGAAUCACAAGUUUAAACAGAGUGAGCUGACUUUAGCAACAAUAACUUACAAUCCACGAAAGCAGACAUGUAAAAUCAAUAGAAAAAACUGCUGGUUGUUUUAAACGUUGAUGGGCUAUUUAUAGGAAAUGCAAGCCAAAAGUUAUUGAGUUCCAGCCAUAUAGAUCGUGCUGAAGAAGCUUCAAAAUUCUAACAUCUGUUUGUCUAAGCAAGAGACCACCAAAAUCAGUUUGGAAAGUAUUGAAGACAGGAGUGUGGUCAGAAUUGUAAUUUAAGGACAUAUAGAAAAAGUUCCUCAAAUUUUCUACAUACCCUAUGGAAUAUAAAACGCAUUUGCAUUUUAAAGAGAACUCAUUUCAUCCUGAUGCACAUCGUGAGUUUAAAGAGAGAGCUAAUCUUAGAAAUCAUAAUGUACAACUGAUUGGCUGACAUACACGAUAAACAAAGUAAAGUCAAAUCUUAAUUUCUUUUAUAUUGUUACUUGAUUAGUUGAUUUGUUUCAUUUUUCUUUUAUGCAAAACUUGCUUUGGUCAUCCAAGAAAUAUGAAGACAUGUAACCAUCGCAUAUUGAUGGUAAUUUUUAUGAACUACCUAUAACUUUGAAUCAUGAUUCUGAAACCUAAGAAAGACAUUAGACAAUAUUGAAAAGAACCACUACAUGCAAUUCUUCAUUUUUGGUUAAACGACUACCAACAUAAGAUGUAGUACUCAACAUCAUAUAGACCAAGUAAUAUUGGAAUAAUAACAAAUCUUAAAGUAACAGAAUCAUUCUAGACAUGCCAUUUUUAACUGCAAAAAGAGAACAUGAAAACUCAGAAAAUCAUGUAAUGGCGCAAAGAUACAGCUUCAAGAAAGGUGGCGAGCAACUUGUGGAGGCUGACUAAUGGAGAAUAAGCAGUCACAAGACGGACCAAUACUUUUUCUGCAACUAAGUUGCAGCUAACAUGAGAGACAAGCAGUCUGAGAUAGAAAAACAAAUUGAGGUCCAUAACCAGUGAAUUACUACCUCAUGUCAUGACCACAAAAGCUACAGCUGAUUUACAGUUUUAAUCACCACAUUCACAAUGUAGAUCUCAGGCUUUGGCAUUGUUUUCUAACAUAAACUGGUACGCAGAUGUGAAUCUUUCUGCUUAGUCUACAGAUAUAAGUAGUGUCACAAGAACUAUCUCCUAGUUUGUGUCCGAAACUCUGAAAGAUGACCAGUUGAGUAAUUUAGAAAAAGAGAUGCAAGGUCAGUGAAAGCUAAAGAAUCUUCAUGAGGCGAAUUCCCAGAGCAGCAACCAAUACAUUCUGUAAGGUCAUUGAAGACACACUUUGAAGGUACUUGAGGUAAACCUAUUUUUAAAUAAAUCAUUAAAAAUUAGAAAAUAUAGAAGCAAGAAUUAUUAAAGAUGGAAAUUUAAGAUAAAUAGGCAUUUUUUCCAAGUAAAGUUUGUUACUAUCAUUUAAUAAAACCUUUUGUAAUGACAUCGAAAUUACACUUUGAAGGUAAUUGAGGCAACUCUCUUUUAAAUAAAUCGCGAAAAAGAAAAUGCUACUGCUGAUUGACAGUUUCAACUUUGGAGGCAGCAUAUUCACAACAACAAAUCACAAGCUUUGCCAGCUAAGACAUGAAGAAUAAAAAGACUGUGCCCAAAUGUGAUCCAGUUAAGAAUCAAAUGAAUUUCAAAAGUAAAGGCAGUAAUACUAAUUAGGGGCCAACAAGGUUUAUCCAAUAAACUGGAAACAUAAUUUAGUCGUUUAGGAAGGGACCAUAUAUACUGAGAAAAUUCCAGCACUUGGUUUUCAAUAUCAAAGACCUCGAAUCUUUUGGUGAUUCUUGGAGUAGAAAUCAAAACUUUUUUGGUAAAGCACUAAGUCAUAAGAGGUUUUCAAUAAGAGGGUUAAAAUAGUUUUGAUUAAAAUAAAGUGCAAAUUAUACUUUACCCUCCUGUGAUAUAGUUAAUUUUCACAUUACCCCCCUAUAGUUUUAAAAGUUAUAUAUAACAUUUUUAUAGUUUGGACUAAAGUGUUAAAGUGACGGAAAUAAUCAUCUGUAACGGAAUUUAUGAAAAUAUCAAAAUUACCAAAAUAUAGAAAUAUAAUAUGCAUGACACUCUAACCUUGUAUGGUUUUAUAUUUUAUCAUAUAACUCCUUUAUAAUUUAGUACUUUACCAUAUAACCCUCUUAUGAUUUAGUGCUUUACCAUGUAACGCCCUUAUGAUUUUCAAUAUAUGUACAUAACUCCCCUAUGGUUAAUAAAUAAUUUUCAACUUUACAUAGGAGUAUUUUUUAUAUUUUAGUUGUCUCCAUUAUGGAUUGCAAAUUCCGUCACCUUGAUACUUUAAUCCAAAUCAUGAGGGAGUUAUGUAUAGUUUUUGACACCAUGUGAGAUUACGUAAGAAAACGCUAAACUACAAGAAGGUACAGUAUAAUUUAUCCUAAAUUAAAAUAUUAAGUUUUUUGUUAUAGUUAACCGGUCGUAAAGUGUAAGUUGGUUAUUUGAUUAUAAGGCAAUUUAUAUUAUAUAAAAUGGGAAAAUAGAAAAUCUUUUUCACUUCUUUCCAUCCAUAUGCCUUACAAUGUAUCUCUUUUUUGUAUUUUUUGGUUAAAAUAUUGUAUCUCCUUCUCACUACUUGACCUUCCCUUUUCUUUUUUCUUUUUUUUUUUAACUUUGUUCCUAUUCACCUCUGAAUCACCCAUAAAUUAGUACUACUCAAACCCAAAAUCUUAUGACCCAAAAUGACAGCAUCUUCAAAAUUUCAGAAAUGGAUGGAGUGCUUGAUCAACUUCUUCAUUUGUGCAUAUAUGAUAUUUCUGUCCAUGGCGCCAGCAUUAUUUAUGCCAAGUAAUUCCGUGCGGUGGCUGCUUGCGGUGCACAGGAGCGGUUAUAUGGAGAAGAUGAUAUGAGAAAAGACAAGUUUGUUUGGAUAAGAGUUUAUUUGGAUGAUUUAUUUGAGAUAUUUACUGUAGCACUUUUUGUGAUGUGAUGUAUGUGAGAUAAAAAUGUGGUUGAGAAGAUAAAAAGGUGAUUGGGAUUUGUGAGGCUGACAGGUGUCGUGUCUGUGCAAUAAUAAAUACCUGCUUAAGAAAAAUAAAUUUUCUGUGUAUAAUAGUAAGCAGGGUCGAAUCCACAGGAACUGGGAAAAAUUUGAUUCUUUUUAAAUUCGAAACACGGGGGAUUUUUAUCAAAAUGAAAUUAAAAAUAAAUAAUUAAACAAUUUAACUAAAAAUAAUUAAACAAUUAAUAUAAAUGUAAAUAGAAAUUUAAUAAAUAAUAAAUAAAUUCUAGUCAAGGAUACAACUACGCAGACACUGUCUAUUCAUCAGAUCAUUGAUGCACAGGGGUUCACUUAAUUUAAUUAAUAGGCUAGUUAUAGUCGCCGAUAAUCUCUAACGACCAGUUUUUCCUUAAUUUAUUGAUAACCAAGGUACAACCGUUGAUUACCCCUAACCAGGAAAUACUCCUAGGUACGACCGUAGGAAUUAAUUUCCUAAUUGCCUUAAAAACUAGAAAAGCCUAACCCAAAUUAAUAACACGCUACGAGGGUUAUUUAAAUUAGAUUGCAUGUUCCCAUAGGGUAAGAAAACACUAGUUGCCACUAAUAUUAACCAAUUAAACAAUUGCAGAUUUAAUUGAUUAAUUUGACAAGAGAUUAAAAAGUCAAAUUGCACAUCGGGCCCUUGAUAUCCAAUUAACAAAAUAAUCCCAUGGAAAUUCAAAUAGAAAACAUGCAAAUAUUAACAAAUUAAGGAACACGUAAAAACUAAUUAGAUCUCACAUAUAUUUGGGACUGCGUCUUCGCGUUGAUCCUUGACUAGAGGAGAAAAUUAGCCACGCCUCAUAAGAAAAUUCCCACACAAUUUAAUUGAAUUCAUAGACAUAAACACUCGCUAAUAAUUUAGAAUAAAACUUUGAAUCUCCGUAGACUCUUUGAAGAAAAAUUACAUACCACACAACAAAAGAAGGAACAAGUUCCUUCUUACACAAAAGACUACCUAUUCUCCUCCGGAGCUUCUUUGGAGAGCAAAACUAAACUCUCCAAUGCUGCCAGAAGCACUAGCUAAAAAUAGCUCUCCUCCGUGAGCCCACUAGUCUAGUUCUUCCUUAUUUUAUUGGAACACUAAGUUCCACAAGAGAACUAGUUACGUAGGAAGCAAAUAGAAAAGCUACUUUCAUCAUCAAAGUGGCUAAUGAAUACAUCUCCCAAAAGAAGGACAGACUUUCUAAAUCAAAUAAUCAAUCCAUCCACUUUCUACGUGGUCCCCUGACCUUUCUUCUUUUGAUUUCUUAUUGGUAGUGGAUUUCAUCAGACCAAGUCAGUUCUUCAUUAGCAAAAAGGGAAGGAAAUCCGUUGGUUUUGCACAAUGUGGGCUAGUUGUGUAAAGCUUUCAGAAGCUUUCACGUGUGAAUUAAUCUUCUCAAGAAAGUCCCCCUUUUUAGUAGUUUUCUACUCCAUUCCCUGAAAUUAAAUCCAAAUACCAAAUAUAAGUAAAUAUUAAUAAUUAAAAUAAUAUUUGGCAAGGACAAAGAGGAAAAUUUACAAUAAAAUUGCUAACAAUUGACACCCUAUCAGAGGCAAAAAAAUUUUUUCCAAAUUCUCUUUGUCCAAACAAACUUGAUCGUAGUUUAAAAAUUUAUACCCUGUGAUUUGGUGUUUUACUACAUAACCCUUCUAUAGUUUAAAAAUUUAUAUACAACCCCUUCGUAGUUUGGAUUAAAAUGUUACCAUCAUUUUUUCCCAUUAAAACUAACAGUCAAUAGCAAAAAUCAAAGUCAAACUAAUAAAUAGACAAAUUCACCUUUUCGCUACAUUUUUUUCCUUUCUUUCUUUUUUUCUUUUCUUUUCUUUCUUUCUUUUUCUUUUUUUUUUGGAAGAGAAUAGAUGAUUUAAAAUUUGUACUUUAGCUUAUAAAAUUUUAAUUUUCUUCGGAUACAAAAAAAGGAAGGGAAAUGAAAAAUAAACAAUUAAGAAAUAGAAAAGAUGGAAGGAAAGUGAAAAAAAUAAAUUAAUAAGAAACCAAAAAUGGAAGGGAAAUAUAAAACAAAUAAAUAAGAAACAAAAGAUACCAAAUCUUUAUUGGCUGCAAAUAUCAUUAUAGGCUUUUAGACCAAAUCUUUUAUGGUAUUUUCUAUUUAUUAUUUAUCUAUUUUUACUUAAAUUUCUUCUUUUUUGUAUUUGGAGGAAAAAAAGGAAAGUAGUGAAAGAGUAAAUUUGUCAAUGUAUUAUUUUGAUUUUGAUUCUUUUUUAACUAUUGAUAACUUUGAUGGAGAAACUAACGGUGACCCAUUAAGUCACACCAUGAGAAGGUUAUAUAUAGGUAUAUUAAGUCAAAUCAUGAGGGCAAAAGGUAAUUUGUCCUAAUUAUUAUUUUGUUUGCUUAAAAUCUUUGAGAAUUUGGUCAAAGUCCAGAGACCACAAAGUGAUAAUUUCCAUACUACUUAUCAGGCUGGUUGGUUCAGUAUGGAGGAAUAUGUGUACUGGAUGAUGUCCACCUCAAUAAUCAGACUCGGUCAUACAUCAUGUAAUUGGCCACGAAUUGGAUUCUUUUCUUUGCAUUUUAACUUGUGAAAGUUGUUCAAAUAUUCUCUCGUACUUUAGGAAGUCUUCUAAAGCAUCAAUGAUACUUGAAAGAAGAAUUUAACAACUCAUAUCUUAGACCGUAUUCUUCUAUUAGCCUCCUAUCCCAUUUAUAAUUAGUUUUCACACUCAAUAUGUCUUGGUUAGGUUUCAUGUGCAAGAUUAAGUGUUGAAAAAAAUUUGAAGAGUUUGUUUAACCAAAGUACAAUAUGAUUUUCCCAGGGAAGCUGCUUGGCCUUUUACUGGAAAAAAUUUCCCAGGUCAAUGCAGGGAUUCCAUUUUUUUUUUUUUUUUUUGAAGUGGCUUGUUUGUGUUGUCAUCCUGCACUUGGUUUUGUGAAUUGGAUUUUGACUCUUGGCUAGCUUGUUCAAACUCCCGGAAUAGAGAAAAUACCAAAUUGAGGGCCGACUUCUACUCUGUGUAUUAUCAGCAAUCAGGUUUGGUUAGGCAGAGCCAAAGAAGAAGGAAGAUUUACAGCAACUAGUAGGCAUUGUUCUGAAGCCGCGGAUUAAAACGCAUACACAGAGUCAUGCCAGUAAAGAGAGAAUAUCUGAGAGCAUUGGCAAUCAAAUAUCAGAGGGUAAAUUACAUACAAUCCCCAUGAAAUUUUGAAUAAUACCACAUUUCAAAAUAGUCAUGCAAUUCCAUCUAUAUAUAUGGCUAUAAGUGAUGUCCUGAAUCAAAAAAUGAUGGAGGAAACUGGACUGUGACGUGGGUUGGUAAGAGAAUCAGAUGCGUGAUAAUUGUUGAUUUCUUGCAAAAUCUUGUACAUUUGGUUACUUGAAAUAGGACAUUGAUAAACAUCAAAUGAAAACGCAAAGGUUAUUCAAACCUUUGCGGAAGAAUCAACUCCGGUGCAGCAGAAUCUCCGGCUUGUUAUCCCAAGGACACAACAGCCCACCUACACUUGUUGUCACUUUCAUUAGUCCAUACAACUAAGAGAGUAUAACUCCACUAACACUGGUCUUUCUUGUCGAUCUAUGAGAUAGAAAAUAACAAAGGAGUAGAUAUUUUUCUCUUAUGAAUUGUAGUUUAUAAAACAUAAGUUGUUGUAGCGCCUUUUCCUAUCUCAACUACACAUAUUUAUAGGUGAAGAAAAAUUAGUCAAACAUAACCUACACUAAUAAUAUGCUAAGUAACUGUUGAAAAUGAUUGGCUAUUCAAGACACAUUCUAAUUUGUAUUGUAGGUUAUAAAAUUUAUUGUAAUUGAAAAGCCAUAAUUUCAUAUAAUAAAUAUUUAGUAAAACAUCAUUCAAACACCAAUAAAUUUCAAAAACAUUUACCAAUUUAUUCUCCUUGUAACUUACACAUUGAAUUGAGAAUUUAACUAUUUUAUUAAAAUACUCCAACAGAAACUGUCAAUAUUUAAGAAUUCUUUUGAAGUAAUUAUUACUAAUAUAGUUUCCAUUUCUCGUGGAAUGUUCUGAAUCUCUCCUAAAGCAACAUUUUCCAAUUUGAGUGCCAGAAUUGUUGCAAACUUUUUUGGUUUGUGCGUCACUUUGCAUCUAAGAAUUCAAAAUUUCACCACCAAUUAAAUAGUUUCCCUUGCAACUUUAGUUUUCUUUUCUCUUCUAUUUCCAAUUUCUCCUAACUUAUAUUUCCUUGUUGCGGAUCUUGCCCAACUAUAUGAGAUAUGUCUUAUCGAUUCUUUGAUUCCUGGAACACAAGAAAUUUUUCAUUCCUAAUAUGUAUUCUUGUUUAAUUGUUUAAUUGAUUUUUAAAAGUUAUUAGUAAAAAAAUUAGAUCUAAUUUCGUGCAGUGCUCCUUUGACAAACUGAAUCGGAUGCUUUAGCGACGGAAGUCGCUUCGCAUCUUCAAUUCACCUUUCUUAAUGAGAUACUAAAUUCUUUGUUAAAUUUUGACUUUAAACAUCAAAAUAGAGUAAUUCUUUUGGUUUAAUGAUUAAAGUACUUCAAGAAUAAAAGGUCCUAGAUUCAAUUCUCCGAAUUUUUACUUCUCUUGUAUGAAAAUAAAGUAUGAACAUAAAAAUGAGCUAACCUAAUGUUUCAAAAAAAAAAAAAAAAAACAAGACAUCACCUAAAACUACAAAUGACCUUUGUAUACUCUUAAAACUUAUGCCUAUAAUUUCUUCUUGUUAAUUUGCAACCUCAAAGUUUUAUCUUUUUAAGUAUCUUUCCAUUUCAAAAAAUUGGAGAUCCCUGAUAUUUGUAGUUGUCUUGACCGAUUCAAUUUCUUACCUCCAUUUCAUAUUUAGUGUGCAUGCAUUCUAAUGGUGAGUUUAUACACGAUUUGUAUAGAAUACACCUAUGGCUGUCAAUCCGUCUUUGAGCUUGGGGUUGCUUGAUUAAUUUUAAAAAAAUCUUAGGUCGAAUGAACUCUAGCAAAGAAUGAUUUGAAAUAUCUAUUUGCAACCCUGUUAAAAAUUUAUCUUCAUACCUUUUGCAAGGUCAUUGAAAACACACAUUGAAGGUACUUGACGCUAACCUGUUUUUAAAUAAAAUCAUUAGGCAUUAGAAAGUAUAGAGGCAAGAAUUAUUAAAGCCAGAAAUUUAAGAGGUACUUUGAAGACAUCAAAAAUAUGGUUUGAUGGUACUUGAGGCAAACACUUUUUGUUAAAUAAAUCAUAAGCAUUAGAAAAUUAAGAGGCAAGAAUUAUUAAACAUAGAAAUAUUAAAAAUCUACCUAAUAUUCCUUUUAGGAUAAAUUUUGAAUACACAAAUAGUAUAUAUACAAGCGAGGCUGAAUACAUGCUACCUUUACUGUGGAAGAAAUAAGUACAUCAGCAAUUCUUUUUGUUCCUUUUUUGUUCCUUGGAUACUUUUUGCAGUGGAAGGUUUUUGCCCUGGGUGGAGGCAAAAAGGAACUAUUUUUUGCUUUAGUAGAAGUACGGCCGCAAACGAAUCGAGCUGCUCGAGAACGGCUCGAGUCGAGUUCGAGUUGGCUCGAGUCAAAAUCUAGCUCGAACUCGAGUUCAAAAUAUUAAGUUCGUUAGGCUCGCGAGCUCGAGUAUAUGUAUGUUAUAUUUAUUUAUUUUUUUAUUUUAAGUAUAUAUAUUAUAUUUUUUUAAUUUUAAUAGUAAAAUUACAUAUAUAUCCUUAUUAUUUUAUUAUUUAUUAAUAAAAAUAUUAUUUUAUUUAUUUUUUAAAAAAUAAAAUAAUUAUUUUUUAUUUUUUUCGAGCUUGAGCUCGAACUUGGCUCGAAUCAAGUCGAGUUAGAGCUCGAGCUUGAAAUUGUCAGCUCGUUGAGCUCGAGCUCGAUUUCAAGUUCAAUGAAAUUAAAUCAAGACUCGGCUCGAUUAAGCAAAAACUCGGCUCGACUCGGCUCGUUUACAGCCCUAAGCAGAAGCAACAAGACUUUGACAAACUUGUAUGCUUUUGCAACAAGGAAGAGGUUGCUACUUGAUCCGGGGCCUCACAAUUUAUGUUUUAUACAAUUUCGUACAAGUUGAUCUUUGGUGUAAAUUAGUCGGAUUUCAGUGUGAAUUAGAUCUAUUUUAAUAUAAAUCAGGUGCAGUUCAGUGUAUAUUAAUUUGUUAUUAUUUUGUAUAAAUCAGAGACACUUGGAUAUAAGUUGAUUAUUAUCAUUUAGUAUAAGUUAAGGUCAAUUUGAUGUAAACGGAGAGUAAAUGGUUAAUUUACAUCAAAUUAUACAUAAUGGAACUUGUGAGGCCUAUUUCCUGCAUAGGACUUGUGAGGCCUGUAAUUUUGGUAUCCAAAAUUUGACACGUGAACAGUUUUAAUUCCCAAACUUUGGACGAAAACAAAUCUAGUAUCCAAACUUUCAAUAUUUGAGCACAUUUAGUAGCCUUAGUGAAUUUUUUCCAAAUUGUUACUUGAAAAAGUCACGUGAUAGUCAUAUGUUCGACAAAAAUUAUAUAAAAAAAUGUCACAAAAAUGUAAAAUAUCUUUCUGACACUAAGAUGAAGAUGAAAUACAGCAAAAGAAGGAGAAAAGAAAUAAGAUGAGUAGAGUUGGGUAAGUGAUUAACGUUUUUAAAAUAUCUUGGUACUUAGUGCUAGAAGGAUAUUUUACAUUUCAUUGGUAUUAUUUUUAUGCAAUAGUUGUCGGACAUGCGAUUAUCGCGUGAUUUUUUCUGAUAGCAUUUUGGAAAAAAAUUGUCAAGGGUACUAAAUAUGCUCGAAUAUUAAAAAUUUGAGUAUAAGAUUUAUUAUUGUUCAAAAUUUGGGGAUUAAAACUGCUCAUGUGUUAAAAUUUGAGUACCAAAAUUAACAUUUUUCUCUACUUGUCGUUGCCCGGGCCUUCAUCUACUUUUGAUCCACAUGCUGGAGCCUUGGGUUGUGUGAAAUAUGACAAUCAAGGAUUUAAAAUACGACAAAACAAGAAAAAAGAAAGGGAAAAUAGCAAUCAUAAUUGCAACUCCGGCAACUAUUUUCUUUUUGAGUUAAAUACAAAAAACCUCCUUAUGAUUAAUCGAAUGUUCAAGUUAACUCCCUAUACUUUGGAAACAUACAUAAAAUCCCCUUAUGCUUUUGAUUAAAAUAAAGGGCAAAUUACACUUUACCCUCCUGUGGUAUAACUAAUUUUCACAUAACCCCUUGUAUUUUUAAAAGGUAUAUAUAACUUCUUUAUAGUUUGGACUACAUUGUCAAAGUGACGGAAAUAAUCAUUUAUAACGGAAUCUAUGAAAAUGUCAAAAUUACAAAAAUAUAGAAAUAUAAUAUGCAUGGCACUCUAACCCCAUAUGGUUUUAUAUUUUACCAUAUAACCCUCUUAUGAUUUAAUGUUUUAUCAUAUUACCCCAUUAUGGUUUUCAAUAUAUAUAUACAUAAUCCCCUGUGGUUAAUAAAUAAUUUUUAACUUUAGAUAGAGGUAUUUUUGAUAUUUUAGUUGUUUCCGUUAUGGAUUGUAAAUUCUGUCACUUUGAUAUUUUAAUUCAAAUCAUGAGAGAGUUAUGUAUAGAUUUUGACACCAUAGUGAGAUUAUAUAAGAAAACACUAAAUCACAAAGAGAGUAAAGUAUAAUUUGUCCUAAAUUAAAAUAUUAAUUUUUUUGUUAUAGUUAACAAUAAUAAAGGGUAAGUUGGUUAUUUGAUUAUAAGGCAAUUUAUAUUAUAUAAAAUGGGAAAAUAGAAAAUCUUUUUCUCUUCAUUCCAUCCAUAAGCCUUACAAUGUAUCUCUUUUUUAUAUUUUUUGGUUAAAACAUUGUAUCUCCUUUUCACCACUUGACCUUACCUUUUCUUUCUUUUUUUGGUAAAUUAUAUUUUAUCCCCCUGUGGUUUAGUACUUUUUCUACAUAACUCCCCUAUGGUUUCAAAAGCUAUACAUAACCUCCCAUAAUUUAGAUUAAAGUAUCAAAGUAACGAAAAUAGUCAUUCGUAACAAAACUUUUGAAAAUGUCAAAAUUACCCUUAUAAAUACAUGACACACUAACCCCGUAUGAUUUUUAUAUUUUACCAUAUAACCCCCUUAUAGUUUUCAAAAUAUAUACAUAAUUCUACUUGGUUAAUAAUUAAUUUUCAACUUUACAUAAGGGUAUUUUUGACAUUUUAGAUGACUCCAUUAUGAAUGAUUAUUUCCAUCAUUUUGAUACUUUAAUCCAAACCAUAAAAGGGUUAUGUAUAGUUUUUGAAACUAUAAGGGAGUUAUGUAAAAAGCACCAAAUCACAGGGGAUAAAUUGGAGUUUGCGUCUUCAAACCCAAAAUCUUAUGACCCAAAAUGAUGGCGUCUUCAAAAUUUCAGAAAUGGAUGGAGUGCUUGAUCUACUUCUUCAUUUGUGCAUAUAUGAUAUUUCUGUCCAUGGCUCCAGCCUAUUUAUGUCAAGUAAUUCCGUGCGGUGGCUGCUUGUGGUGCACAUGAGCGGUUAUCUGGAGAAGAUGACGUGAGAAAAGAUGAUCACAUCUGUGAUUUGGUAUUUUAUUACAUAACCCUUCUAUAGUUUAAAAAUUUAUAUAUAACCCCUUCAUAGUUUGGAUUAAAGUGUUACCAUCAUUUUUUUCCGUUAAAACUAACAGUCAAUAGCAAAAAUCAAAGUCAAACUAAUAAAUAGACAAAUUCACCUUUUCACUACAUUUUUUUCCUUUCUUUCUUUUUUUCUUCUCUUUUCUUUCUUUCUCUCUCUUUUUUUUUUUUUGGAAGAGAAGAGAUGAUUUAAAAGCUGUACUUUGGCUUAUAAAAUAUUAAUUUUCUCUGGAUACAAAAAAGGAAGAAAAAUGAAAAAUAAAUAAUUAAGAAAUAGAAAAGAUGGAAGGAAAGUGAAAAAAAUAAAUUAAUAAGAAACCAAAAAGAUGGAAGGGAAAUAUAAAACAAAUAAAUAAGAAACAAAAGAUACCAAAUCUUUAUUGACUGCAAAUAUCAUGAUAGGCUUUUAGACCAAAUCUUUUAUGGUAUUUUCUAUUUAUUAUUUAUCUAUUCUUUAUUUAAAUUACUUUUUUUUUGUAUUUGGAUGAAAAAAGGAAAAUAGUGAAAGAGUAAAUUUGUCAAUGUAUUAGUUUGAUUUUGAUUUUUUUUUAACUAUUGAUAGUUAGUUUUGAUGGAGAAACUAUCGGUGACCCAUUAAGUCACACCAUGAGGCGGUUAUAUAUAGGUAUAUUAAGUCAAACCAUGAGGGCAAAAGGUAAUUUAUCCUAAUUAUUAUUUUGUUUGCUUAAAAUCUUUGAGAAUUUGGGCAAAGUCCAGAGACCACAAAGUGAUAAUUUCCAUACUACUUAUCUGGCUGGUUGGUUCAGUAUGGAGGAAUAUGUGUACUGGAUGUCCACCUCAAUACUCAGACUUGGUCAUACACCAUGUAAUUGGCCACGAAUUGGACUCUUUUCUUUGCAUUUUAACUUGUGAAAGUUGUUCAAAUAUUCUCUCGUACUUUAGGAAGUCUUCUAAAGCAUCAAUGAUACUUGAAAGAAGGAAUUUAACAACUCAUAUCUUAGACCGUAUUCUUCUAUUAGCCUCCUAUCCCAUUUAUAAUUAGUUUUCACACUCAAUAUGUCUUGGUUAUGUUUCAUGUGCAAGAUUUAAGUGGUGAAAAUUUGAGGAGUUUGUUUAACCAAAGUACAAUAUGCUUUUCCCAGGGAAGCUGCUUGGCUUUUUACUGCAAAAUAAUUUCCCAGGUCAAUGCUGGGAUUCCCUUUUUUUUUUUUUUUUUAAGUGGCUUGUUUGUGUUGUCAUCCUGCACUUGGUUUUGUGAAUUGGAUUUUGACUCUUGGCUGGCUUGUUCAAACUUCCAAGUUUCUUAAACACAAGUACCUCCCGGAAUAGAGAAAAUACCAAAUUGAGGGCCGGCUUCUACUUUGUGUAUUAUCCGCAAUCAGGUUUGGUUAGGCAGAGCCAAAGAAGAAGUAAGAUUUACAGCAACUAGUAGGCGUUGUUCUGAAGCCGCGGAUUAAAACGCAUACACAGAGUCAUGCCAGUAAAGAGAGAGCAUUGGCAAUCAAAUAUCAGAGGGUGAAUUACACACAAUCCCCUUGUAGUUUUGAAUAAUACCACAUUUCAAAAUAUCUACAUAACUCCCCUGUGGUUUCAAAAGCUAUACAUAACCUCCCAUAAUUUAAAUUAAAGUAUCAAAGUAACGGAAAUAGUCAUUCGUAACAAAACUUUUGAAAAUGUCAAAAUUACCCUUAUAAAUACAUGACACACUAACCCCGUAUGAUUUUUAUAUUUUACCAUAUAACCCCCUUAUAGUUUUCAAAAUAUAUACAUAAUUCUACUUGGUUAAUAAUUAAUUUUCAACUUUACAUAAGGGUAUUUUUGACAUUUUAGAUGACUCCAUUAUGAAUGAUUAUUUCCAUCAUUUUAACACUUUAAUCCAAACCAUAAAAGGGUUAUGUAUAGUUUUUGAAACUAUAAGGGAGUUAUGUAAAAGCACCAAAUCACAAGGGAUAAAUUGGAGUUUGCGUCUUCAAACCCAAAAUCCCAAAAUGAUGGCGUCUUCAAAAUUUCAGAAAUGGAUGGAGUGCUUGAUCUACUUCUUCAUUUGUGCAUAUAUGAUAUUUCUGUCCAUGGCGCCAGCCUAUUUAUGUCAAGUAAUUCCGUGCGGUGGCUGCUUGCGGUGCACAUGAGCGGUUAUCUGGAGAAGAUGACGUGAGAAAAGAUGAUCACAUCUGUGAUUUGGUAUUUUAUUACAUAACCCUUCUAUAGUUUAAAAAUUUAUAUAUAACCCCUUCAUAGUUUGGAUUAAAGUGUUACCAUCAUUUUUUUCCGUUAAAACUAACAGUCAAUAGCAAAAAUCAAAGUCAAACUAAUAAAUAGACAAAUUCACCUUUUCACUACAUUUUUUUCCUUUCUUUCUUUUUUUCUUCUCUUUUCUUUCUUUCUCUCUCUUUUUUUUUUUUGGAAGAGAAGAGAUGAUUUAAAAGCUGUACUUUGGCUUAUAAAAUAUUAAUUUCUCUUGGAUACAAAAAAAGGAAGAAAAAUGAAAAAUAAAUAAUUAAGAAAUAGAAAAGAUGGAAGGAAAGUGAAAAAAAUAAAUUAAUAAGAAACCAAAAAGAUGGAAGGGAAAUAUAAACAAAUAAAUAAGAAACAAAGAUACCAAAUCUUUAUUGACUGCAAAUAUCAUGAUAGGCUUUUAGACCAAAUCUUUUAUGGUAUUUUCUAUUUAUUAUUUAUCUAUUCUUUAUUUAAAUUACUUUUUUUUUGUAUUUGGAUGAAAAAAGGAAAAUAGUGAAAGAGUAAAUUUGUCAAUGUAUUAGUUUGAUUUUGAUUUUUUUUUUAACUAUUGAUAGUUAGUUUUGAUGGAGAAACUAUCGGUGACCCAUUAAGUCACACCAUGAGGCGGUUAUAUAUAGGUAUAUUAAGUCAAACCAUGAGGGCAAAAGGUAAUUUAUCCUAAUUAUUAUUUUGUUUGCUUAAAAUCUUUGAGAAUUUGGUCAAAGUCCAGAGGCCACAAAGUGAUCAUUUCCAUACAACUUGUCUGGCUGGUUGGUUCAGUAUGGAGGAAUAUGUGUACUGGAUGUCCACCUCAAUACUCAGACUCGGUCAUACAUCAUGUAAUUGGCCACGAAUUGGAUUCUUUUCUUUGCAUUUUAACUUGUGAAAGUUGUUCAAAUAUUCUCUCGGUCUUUAGGAAGUCUUCUACAGCAUCAAUGAUACUUGAAAGAAGGAAUUUAACAACUCAUAUCUUAGACCGUACUCUUCUAUUAGCCUCCUAUCCCAUUUAUAAUUAGUUUUCACACUCAAUAUGUCUUGGUUAUGUUUCAUGUGCAAGAUUUAAGUGGUGAAAAUUUGAGGAGUUUGUUUAACCAAAGUACAAUAUGCUUUUCCCAGGGAAGCUGCUUGGCUUUUUACUGCAAAAAAUUUCCCAGGUCAAUGCUGGGAUUCCAUUUUUUUUUUUUUGAAGUGGCUUGUUUGUGUUGUCAUCCCGCACUUGGUUUUGUGAAUUGUUCAAACUUCCAAGUUUCUUAAACACAAGUACCUCCCGGAAUAGAGAAAAUACCAAAUUGAGGCCGAUUCUACUUUGUGUAUUAUCAGCAAUCAGGUUUGGUUAGGCAGAGCCAAAGAAGAAGGAAGAUUUACAGCAACUAGUAGGCAUUGUUCUGAAGCCGCGGAUUAAAAUGCAUACACAGAGUCAUGCCAGUAAAGAGAGAGCAUUGGCAAUCAAAUAUCAGGGGGUAAAUUACACACAAUCCCCCUGUAGUUUUGAAUAAUACCACCUUUCAAAAUAGUCAUGCAAAGCAAUAAGACGUUCAAUUCCAUCUAUAUAUAUAUGGCUAUAAGUGAUGUCCUGAAUCAAAAAAUGAUGGAGGAAACUGGACUGCGACGUGGGUUGGUAAGAGAAUCAGAUGCGUGAUAAUUGUUGAUUUCUUGCAAAAUCUUGUACAUUUGGUUACUUGAAACAGGACACUAAUAAACAUCAAAUGAAAACGCGAAUCCAACAAACAAGGCUUGAUAAGCUGUGAUUAAAAAUGCCAUAUCAACUAGAGUUUACUGAUACGAAUUCAAUCAGGAAGUUGAUGUCAGUUUCAUUAAAUUAACAGAGAGUGAGCAUGAAAAUAACAUUUAGCUCAGUAUAACGGAAUUCAACACGAAUAGCCAAAUAUACAACUUUCAAGAAGGAUGCAAGUUAUCUAGCAGGGUUCAGCUAAUCCACAUCUUUCUGCUGCAAAAGACUGGCUACUUUGAAGUACAAGCAGCACGGAAGAUAUGGCAAAUUGUGUUCCAAAAGAAGUAAAAGAGCACCUCAUUAACAUGUCUACAAAUUGCUGAAUCGGUUGGACAGUUUAAAAUCACAGCCGGCAAGGAAGAUCUGAGGCUUUGGCCAUCCGAGGCAGAGAGCAAAAGGGAGUUCCAUCCGGGAUGUUUUCAUCUGAUCUUACUGAAUCAGGAUCUGGUUCAACAAGGGAUCACAGGACUUCAUUACAAAUGAUAGUAAGAGCGAGCUAUCAAGGUUAAUGUUGAUCUUCGAGUGUAAAAUCACUGCAAAACACAAAAACUCAAACUUAAGAAACUCAAGACAGCAUGUAGUCAAGAAUAAAGCCAGCACAUAGUUGCAUGACAUUUUUGUUGUAUUUGAAACACUAAAAUAAGAACUUACCAUGAAGAGAUGAGCAAUAUCAACAAGUAUAGGUGGUAGAAUGAGCUUAAUAGCCAUCAUCACAGCGGAUGAAUUAAUUGCAGCCAACAAGCAUGCUUGGCAGUCUUGACUAACCACAGCGAUAUGCUUCAAAACUUGCAGCUUAGACUUGAUUGUGUUAGAAGAUACUAUAACAAGUCUGUGCAGCUUCACUGCAUGAACAGUACAUCUUCCAUGGCUGCUCCCAAAAACAUUUCCAUUAUGAGAAGAUUUCUCAAGUUUUGGUUGUAAUAUGUUCAGAAUCAAAGUAGUUAAAAGUCAAAUUUGACUAGUAAAAGAUGAGCAAUAUAUCUGAUCUUACCGGACUCUUAGAAUCAAAAAACCAAUUUGAUGACCAACAGCUCUGGGAAACUCCUGAAAUGUUUACGACUAGAAAAUCACAACCAAGGAAAAGUGAGACAGAAACCCAUCAUUUACAAGACUUAUCGAACAAAUCACAAAUCAAAUGGUUCAAGAAGCUUGAUAAAUGCGCCUUCAAGAGGCGAUUAAACUUUGGAGCAACUAUUUAUCCCUCUAGAAUCAUAAGCUAGGGAGCUGAUCACUUUAGCAAUCACAUCUUACAUCCACAAAAGCAGAUAUAUAAAAUCAACAAACUAAACUUCUAGUGCGUAUUUCAUAUUGAUGGGUAACUUGUAGGAAAUGCAAAACAAAAAUUAAUGAAUACCAGCUAUAAAAUUCUAAUCUAUGUUCAUCUCGGGGAGAGAGACAAAAAUCUGCCUGCUAAGUGCAGGAGGAAGGAGUGCAGUAGAGAAUUGCUGGUUUAAAGUCUUAUAGAAAAGGUUUCUAGAAUUGCUGCAUGUGGUAUCAAAUCUAAAAUCUCCAAUGCAUUUUCAACAGGUGAAACUUCAGAGAGAGCAAUCUUUUCAUCCUGGUGAAAUCACAAGUUUGAAGAGAGUGCACCGGUGUUAGCAAUCAUGACGUAUAAAGGACAGUAACUGACAUGCAUGAUAAACAAAACUAAAUUCUUAAAUUCCACCCACAUUAGUGCAUUUGUUUCAGUGCUGGUUCAUCCAAAACAUGAUUCAGUUAACCAAGAAAAUCUCGUUCAUUUUGGUCACUGAAACAAAUAUGCAACAAAAGCUUUGAAUGUAGUACUGAAACAUGGAUGGUAUUGAAUUGGAACACCAUUUGCCAUUUUGAUCUUUGCAACAGCAAAUAAGAUGUGAUACAACAGGAGAAAUACCAAUUUGACAUUAGAAAUUAGCCAAAAAGAUUGUAUAGUUUUGUUAGUUGAGAUUGAUAUGGAACCAUGCAUGGCUUAUUAGUGGUAAAGGUUAUGAAAUAUUUUGCUUAUUCGUGAUAAGAUUUACCUAUAACUUUCAAUCAUGAUGAAGAGGAAGAAAGGGCCGACUCUGCGUCCAACUUGGCAGACCUACUCUGUUGUUGUUCCAAUUAUCAGAUGAUAUACUUUCAAGGCAAGAAAGACUUUCAAAAGUAAAGUCACUGCAAAACAGAAAACUCAGACUCAGGACUUCACAUAGCAAAUCAUGAGGCAAACAGGAAAUUGCAUGACAUUUUUGUUUAGUCAAUUAUUCGGAAAGCUAAAUCAGUAUCCGUUUGUUUUUGUUGUUCUUUCCUAACCUAAAUCAGGAAGAAGAUAUCAAUCUUUCUGGUCAGUCUACAAGUACCAGAAGUAUCAUAGAAACUAUAUUAGUUUUUGUUCAAAACACUGAAAAAAGAAAAGUUCUAUGACAAUAGUGAUGCAACUGCCGUGAAGGCAGACUCUUUGAGACUGCAAGAUGCAACAGGUUGAGGUAAUUACAACUAUUUUACUCUUAAAAUCUUAUAUUAUUGCAUUUGAUCUUAAACUUCAGUAAAGGAUAGUCUACCACGUCUUUGCUGCUUGGAAAACACCUUAACAUGACAAUUUUUGAAGGUUUUAGUUAAUGCAUUGGUUAUUAAACUGCUUAAAACCCAACAAUAAGUAAUGGACGAAGAUUGUUGGUAUUAUAAAUUAUCAAAGGACCAAUCCCACAACCAAGGGCAGUGGGAGUAACUCGAUUGACUAUUGGAUUUAGGUCAAGAGAUCAUAGCUGAAGAAAGUAGAAUCCCAUCAUUUAAGAGACAUAAUAAGAAUACCAAUAAUCAGGUAAUUUGGAGCAAGAUGAUAAAUACAUUUCGAAGAAAUGGAAGUUCAGAGCAAGCAUUUCCAUCCAGGUAGAAUCUCAAGUUUAAAGAGAAUUAGCUCUUUUCAGCAAUCAUGAUAUACAACUGGAAGUAGCAGACAUAUGAGAUGAGCAAAAGUAAACUGCUAUUUUUUAUUUAAAACAAAGAAUUUUGUACCGUAGAUGAAAAUACAAAGUUUUCAGCUUUGACAUCAUGUUUAACUGUCCACAUCAAAUAAUCUCCUCUUGAACACCUGUAUUCCAUAAUUGAAUUUAAUAUAUGGUUAGAGAUAUUGUUUUCUUCCCGGAACAACGCUUGUUGAGUUUUUUUGAAUCAGGCUGAAAAGGCCAGGAAAAGUUCAACAAAGUAGACAACUGACCUUACUGUUACAUUACUAGACAACAUCUUGGAAGCAGACGUUUUAAACCUUCAGAUGUUUUGCAACAAAAUCAUCUUAUUGUACAAUUUCUAUCACCUGAUAUUGGAUAGAUUUAAAAGGAUUUAGUAAUGAUUUUACUGGAGUAUAUUGUCCUGAAGAAACAAAAAACUGGAAAUUGACUCCUAAAAUCUUUGUCCAUCAUUGCCUAUCUAUAAUUUUCUGUGUUCCAUCAAACUUUGAUUUAACAAUCUAUUUCAUGAAUGUAAACGCAUUAUCUUUCUUUUCUAGCAAAUUGAUAACCAAAUGAAAUUUUAGAGUAGUUAGUUGGAUGAGAAGCUUUUAGAUUGAAAAUCUCAGGAAGGCAUGUUUGCCUGCAUUACAAUAAAGAUAGAAGAGCAAAUUCCAUGUCAUUUUUGAGCUAGGAAUCUUACAGAAAGAAAGGGUUUCUUUUUGUUACCUUUGUUCUAAAACUAAUGAGCAGGAAAUAAGACUAGAUACUAAACACACCUACUAAUCCAUUUAAAACAAAUUCGCUAACCUUACAGUAUUUCUUGAAAAUUUGCAAGCUCCUCAUUGUCAAUCUAUUUCUCUAAUACAAGCUCUAUCGCCAACCAAACCCCCCAUGAUCAUCAGCAGAAAUUCAUGGUAAUGAUGGCUCUUGAUCUUGAAAGACAUUACAUAAGCUGGGGAAAGAAAUUCUAGUGGGCAGUUUGUAGAGGCCAACUGACAAAGAUAGACCAUUUUAUCAGGUUUUAGACACCAGGAAGAAAGAAAAGUGUGCCUGUAGGGUGCCAUCCUAAUCAUUUCUGUCCAAUUGAAACAGGAUUUGAUUCAACAAAGUUUUCAAAAGUUACAAGCUGUGUAAUUCAAUCAGUAAGUAAGUGCAAUUGUAGAUUCUAGUUCACAUUUGAGCCUGAGAUCAUUGCAGAACAGAAAACUCGAGUUGAGACAAUAUGAGAACAAGAAAGCUAAUCAGAAAGUUCAGAAAUUCAACAAUAAUUUUGUUCUGUCAUUCCCACAAAAGGCUAAAAUAUGUCUUGUUUGUUAUGAAACUAAAUAGAUAAGCAAGAACUUAGUCGUGUUUACAAUUACAGUAUUUUGGUUACAACCACAAAGCAAGUACUUACAACUCAUAAAAAGAAAAUAAUAAUGGACAAUUUGUAGUGCAGGCAAAGCAUUUCACAUUGAGGCAUUGAGAAACAAUAGAGCUGUGGGCCACUGAGGCACAAUAGAGAUCCACAUUUAAUUGCUACCACAACACCAAUUAGUUCUAACUUCUAACUCUGAGCAGUAUGUCGGAGAUGACAAUUUGAGUUCUAAAGCAUGUAAAUCAGCGCCUCAUUAUCAUGACUACACAUCACUGAAUUGUUUCGAUAGUUUAAAAGAACCAUACCCCAAUGGAUAUCUCAGACUUUGACCAUCUGAGGCACAGAGAAAGAGAGAAUGCCAUCCUAGAUGUUGCUAUUCAGCCGAAGCAGGAUCUUGUUCAGCAACGAAUUGUAGGACUUUCAAAAAGUAAAGAUAGUACGUAAGAGCCAUCGAUGAGGUUCCCUGUUGAGCUUUGUGCCCAAAAUCACUGCAAACUGCAAAGCACGAAAACUCAAACUGAAGACGGUGAAUAGCAUAGAAUAAAAGUAAUGGAAAUUUUCAAAUAAUUGCAGUUUUCUAUCAUUGUAACUGAAGCCCCAAAAGGAGAAACUUACCAUAAAAAAAGAAGCAACCAACAAUCAUAAAAGCAGAGAGAGCUUAAAAGCCUUUAUCAAGGUGGAUUCAUUAACAGUAGCAAGUCGGAACAAGCAGACUUGACCAACCACCGGAAUGCUUCAAAACAUUGCGCUUAGAGUUAAAUGUUGGAAGAUACUCCACCAAGUUUUGUGCAACUUCGUUGCUCAAAGAGUACACCUUCCUUGGCUACCUCAAAAAUAUCUUCGUGAUGACAAGAUUUCUUUUGUUUCAUACGUAAUAGAUUAGAUAUUGAAGGGGUUAAAAGUCAAAAUUGAGUAUGAAAGAAGAGAAGCAUAUCUAAAAUUACCAGAAUUUUUAACCAAACAUGAAAGUGAUGACCAACAGCUGCAAAAACUCCUCAAUUGACCAUUGUCUUCAUGGCUAAAAAGCCAAAAUCAAGGAGAAGUGAGCCAGAAAACCAUCAUAUAUGACUCUGAUGGAGC
rnacentral:lncRNA from 1 species